rnacentral:lncRNA from 1 species
GCAAUGUCAUGUGGUCGACUUUCCUCAGCUCCAAAAUUUGACCCCCAGAAUCAUUACCAAGAACCUAAAUCGAGCAUCACAUGGGAUCUGCCAUGUGGUUCGAACUGGAAGAUUGGAAAGAAAAGCCAUGUGGUAUUCCCCUGAAGACAUCGAAGUUGAAAUUCUCCUAAGGCACAAAAUCGAGAGUCAAAAGCAAAACAUGGAGGAAGUGAAAAAUUACGUGCAAGGGUGAGGUUGUGGGCAGAGAGUGAAUGAACAGAGAGAGAAUACGUUAGCUGCAUGUGUUGUCAAGGAAGUGAAGGUGCUCUUGGUGUGUGUUUUAACCGACUGCUAAGCAUGUCCCCGUUACUCAGGCCGCCAAUAAUAUCAUCUGAUCAUACUAUGAGGUAUUUACUAAGUCCUACGAUCUGAACAUGAAUGUGGAUAUAUUCUCAAUACACCAACUCGAAGGUUGCGUGUUGAACUCAGAGUCUUCGUCAUUUCAUUAUGGGAGGGGCUUAUGUGAAGCGAUCAUCGUAGUUAUGCAUCAUUAGCAGACUCUCAAAUGGUGGGUUUUCCCACUUCGGAAUAUUCAGCAUCUUUCAGUUCUUAUAAAUCUGUAUUCCACUUGAUCUUGAGCUGCCACAGAUGAUGUACCAAGCCAUUUUUUGAAAAGGGGGCUGAGAAAAAGAACUGGAUACUGAUUUGCAGUUGGAUAUGCGGCACCCGCCUUGCCUGUCUUGUUGGCUGUGUGAACUCUGGAAUUCAUUGAUUGCAACCCGUACCUUUCUCUGCAAAUUUGUGGAUGUGAAUGUUCAUGGCCACCCGCCCUUGAGACCGAUUGAUAGGUGUCCAAGUUGCUGUUUCUUCACGCUCGCGGAGACGAGCGAGGAAGGACGCUCGUACAACAGAGACAACGUUGCAGCGGCGGCGGCGAUCGUCGAGCGAGAAUUUUUGUCGGGGAGGUGACCAACAGAGAGGACGGGGGCGUCGACCUCGAGGAGAAGAAUCGCUGUUUGGUUGCUCUUUAAAGGGAGAGACUGAGAGGGUGAAGACGGUGAUUUCCGACGGUCCUUGCUCAAGGUAGGCCUCUUGCUGCCGUCGUCGUCAGUGCUGUCUUCCGAUGAUCUCGGGGCUUGACGGGGUCGAAAGAUGUGAGAUCACGGUUCAUCCCGUUUUCGUGUAUGGAAUGAACCUGGUCUUCUAUUUCCAUUGUCACCAUCUCGAUAGGGGGCUCUUGGCGUUUUGGGUGUCGUAUCUCCGUUAAGUCGUUGCCCGCAUCUCGUGAGUGCUCUUUGGUUGUUUAGUUUGAGUCGCUCUUUCCCAAGGAUCUUGGCUUGGAGCCGGCCAGAGCCGCGGUUCGCCUCGAACUCGCCCACUAGUCGUCGUCUCCGAGCCAGGUAGGGACUUCCUCGUUAAAUGGUCACCCACACGAGCCCCUUCAGCUCCGCCUUGUUCCGUUUAAAGGACGACCUGGGCUUGGUUUCUCCGGUUCUUGAGUGUUCCAUGUCCAACUGAGUUGAUUUCUUUGGCGUCACGGGUCUAGAUCCGAGUUCGGGCGUAGAACGGUCAGUUACUUCUCCUCGACGCACUGCACACCGGGUGUUUGAAGAAAUGUCUAAAUGAAGCUCUGUUAUUGUCUGGGGAACGUCUCCUGAUUUAAAACAUUUUUAUGACCAUUUCAUUUUUAAAUCGCAACAUCCGUCUUCGAUUGAUUCAUUUUGAGUUCAUUUUUCUGAGUUUCCAGUAUAUGGCCGUAUGUCCCGCCCUUCUUUUUUUCUCUCCUGUUUGGCUCCUUGUUCUGCACAUGUUUUGGUGUUACAUGUGUGAUGGUUGCUAGAUGGAGCGUACGGCUGGAAUGUAUAUGAUGAAUCGACAUAAUGAUUGGUAGUCAGUAGUGAAGUCCAUUUGUUUGUGGCUUGAGAUUUUGUUGCGCUGUCUUUAAUGGGCUCUUAUUCCACUAACUAAAACAAUGGACACAAAAAGUUUAGGAUGUAUUUGAUAACAUUUCUAUUCUCAAAAUAAAGAAAUAGAUUUUUUUGAUUUUUUUUUUAUAUUUCAAAUAUAUUUCCUGGUCACUUGGAAUAAAAUAAUUAGCUAACAUCGCCAAAUUGUUUUCUAUUUCUUUUCUAUUAUAGGAAACAAAAUAAUAGAAAAAUAGAAAAAUAUGAUGGUUAUCAAAUAGGGUUAAUACUUUCAAAAAUUCUAAACUGGUACACCUGUGAAAAAUUUACCCAAAACUACUUUUUUUACUAUCAAAAAUCCCAAACUGGUAUAUUUUUGACAAAUUUACCCCAAACUUGUACAGUUGCGACAAAUUUACCCUAUAUUAGUUUUUGUUAAAUUUUAUUGUCAAAUUAUUAAAUUAAAUUACACGUGACAGUUUAAUGGUAUAUCAAUUUGGAAUUUUACGUUCCGUUUAUCACAGUUUACAAUUUUUGUGAUUUUUUUUUGUGGUAUUAAUCCAAUUUAGUAGAUGGUAUAUUUGUCACAAAUUUAUCAAUUUAGGGUUUUUUUGCGAUCAAAUAAAUUAGUUUAUGGUAAAUUUGUCAUAAGUGUACAAGUUUAAGAUUUUUCAUGAUCAGUCGGGGUAAAUUUGUUACGGGUAUACAAAUUUGGAGUUUUUCAUGAUAAAAAAAAAUAGUUUGUGGUAAAUUUAUCACAAAUGUAUCAAUUUGGAGUUUUUCAAAAUAUUAACCCUAUCAAAUGUGUCCUUAGUAAAUAGUACGAGGAGUGAAAGAAGGAACCAAAAGAGGGGAAGUUUCAUAUUCUGGGAGUGUUUGUAUGGAUGAGUUGAAUGUGAAGAGUAAGUGAGUGUGAAGAAUAGAAAAUUAGGAUAUGAGCUCUACAAUAAUAAAUGGGUUUAACAUGGACUUGGGUUUAAUCUAUCCUUGUUUGAAAGAGGCUUUAGCAUGGCCUUGGUGUUGCUUUACUGGAGGAGUUGGCUAAUCGUCAGUCUUCUUAAUUUGGGCUUGGGUUGAGUUAAAUGAACAUGGGCUUAAAUUAGGAGUUUUUUUAAAUCGGGCUUAUGAAAGUUAAAAUGGAGUGAGCUUGAGGAUGGACUCAACUGCGCCCUUUAGCCCAUCUCGGCAGGGCCAAAAUUUUGUCUUUAUUCGGACUGGACUCAAGGAACCAGUCCGAUUGAAUUCAGGAUGCUUGGAAGUAGGUUUUCAUGAAAUUUUUAAGUUUUAGCAUUAAAUUUAGUUUAGUUUUGUUUAAUUAGUAUACAUGUAGCUUAGUCCUAGUGGAGUAUCCUUUUGAAAGAAUUUAAACUUGAUUUGCAGCUAGCUCAUUGGGAUCAUGUCCGGGAACUUACAGUAUGGCUAUGUAUAUUCAUUGUCCUACUCUUAUUGGAUUUCCUUUUUCGCUUUUACUUUAGAAAUCAUUUCAAUAAUACUUGGGUGUUUACUUAUCACACUGUAUUUUAAUAAAUUGGUUGUUUGUCACUUUUCUACAAUAGAUUAGGAUUAGUUUAGAAUUUGAUGAAAAUGAACCUUACAAAACAUUUGUAUGAUCAUUUAGCAACUUUUGAUGCAUUUAGGGUUAUAAUUGGCAAUCAAUACUGUGUGACUACUCUAAGUAAUGACCUUCCAAGUUAGAGCGAAAGGAGGAUAAUAGAUAUUAGCGUAAUCAAAUCCCCAACUCUAGAAUCUCUUAUUUUGUAGGAAUCAAGACCACACUCUUGCAUCUCAAUUGGUUUUCGGUCGACUCCAAUAAGUUAGUGGCGACUCUAAAAAAUAUUACGUUGUUAAGAACUAAAAACCUGAAAUCCAACAUCAUACGAGAUAUAGACUUAGGAGAGCCUGCACUUAAUAAAGAGUCAUUGCUUCGAAUUAGACAAUACCUCUAAACCUAUUUUUUUUCCCUCCGAAUGAAAAGGGUAAGUCGCAACAAUGACUACAAAGACCAAGCCAAUCAAAGCAUUCUAGAGAAAGUAGAUUUGGUUUUGACACCAAUUCACAAUCGAAGUGCAAUUUUUUUUUUCUUUGGGGUGGUCGUCUUGUCAAGUGUAACGUGUGCCCCCUCCCCCUCCUUCUUCUUCUUUCUUUUUAAUCAGAAAUCUUAAUGUCAAUCAAGUGCAUAUGUUUCUUUUCUUUCCCCCUUUUCAUCCCAUCAAAUGCAUAUUUGAGAUCCAAAAUUAACAGAAUCCCAAAAAAUGAAGGAUUUACUUUACUUGAAUUAUGACCAAACGAAGGUCAACCUUUCUAAUUAGCUAAAGUUACCUUUAUCAACUAAUCUAUAUCUAUCAUUAAAACAUUUGUUGAAGAUCCAUGCUUCAAAUUUGGCAAAUGGCACCAUACAUUAUAGGCGGGUUUUACUUUCUCCUAAAAUUUAUCACUUCUCUACAUUAUAAUAUUUAAAUAAUGAAUCAUGCAUUUAUCUAAUAGUUUGAGCUUUUAAAAUAAUUGAUCACGGUCCCAUAAAAUUUUACACUCUAGACAAAUUGGUUCUAAUGCAAUAGACAUGUAGAAAAGGUAUGUGAAAAUGAAACACAAAAUCAAAGUUGCAAUACUAUAAAGUAAAUAAAGCUUAAUAAUCAAUUCAUAAAGGAAAAACUGAAACUUUUAUGUAAAAUUUGAUCUUAAAAUGACAGAUUUAGGAAUUAGGACUGAGUAUUAGUUAAUAAUCUCUUUUUUCCAAGUCCGUGAGAAAUAUUAUCACAAGGUUCAAUAGAUAAGAGUACAAACAGAAAUCUUCCCCUGAUCAAUUAGUUCUAGGUGUUAAUUGCACAAGGUCACGGCCGCUACCCGACGCUCCUCAAAGAAGAUGGCUUCAAAGCUGAUUUCAUACAUGCAAACAAAACUGGAAACGCCUAGAUAUCUUAUAACUUUAAUGGUUUAGAGAAAUAAUAAGUUUAGUAAACUACAAGUACGAUGGAUGCAACAUAAAAAUUAGACGAUAAAAAUAUACACUAUUAUUACUUAGUAUUGAACUUAUGAGAGAAUGUGAGUUAGAAGGGAAUAAACGAUCAUCCAAUUAGCAGUCUACGAUAAACCUACCAUUUACUAAUUCGUAAAAUUUUAAAGACGUGCAUUUCUUUUUAGUUAAAUAAAUUUUGUCCAACUGCAGAAUGUGCUGGGGUUGGCUUUACAAGUUGACAAGCCAUUAUCUUGGCGAGAAAAGUACCCAGUUUCAUGCAUACAAAGAAUCAAGGAUGUGAACCUCUAAUGAUUAACAUCUCUUGCUAUACAGAUUUUAUGUACGUUAAAUAAAUCUAAAAUUUUUCUAUGUAUGUAAUAUUUUUUUCCUUAAACUAAUAUAUAAAAUUAAUGUUCUGCUAAGAUUACAGCUGCGGUACUUUAAUUUAUGCCCGUGUGUGGCACGGCCUUGCGCUCUAGUACUAAUAAGUGUUUUUGUGUUCUAGGGGAGACAUAGGUAAUGUGAUUGCGACCUGACCCUCUAUUAAUUUGACGCAGAGCCCCACUUUCCCCUUUUUAAAUUGUUAUUUUUCUCCUUUUCAUAUUUUUUUAUAUCUUUUUUUAAAUUAAAGUUUUGUUUGAGAUUACCAAAUACCAACAUUUUACAUUAUGUUUUCAGUUAAUUUUAAUUACUUAUCAACUUUUUUCACUACUUGGUUAGAAAAGUACCAGCAUCUAUUUAUAUUUGUAAGAUUACCAACUGAUUUGUGCCUAUAGUUAUUUUUGUGGCUUACCAAUGUCUUGAAAAUUCAUCAAUUCUUGUGCGAAAUUACGAACCUCAACUUGACUGGUAUAUAACAUCAGUCACGUUAAUCUUGCUUGGUUUUGAAAGUAUCAACAUUUGCUUAUGCUUCUAAGGUUAUCAACUACUUUGAUAAUCUACCAAUAUCUAUCUAAUGUUUAUUGGCUUUUGAAGUUAGCCAACUCUUAUUUGAAAUUAUCAAUUUUAUUGUGAUUAUCAUACCAACAUUCAUCGCCUUAAGAGCCAACUAAUGGUGCGGCAAAGGGUUAACAAAUCAUAAGGUUGACAACGUUGCAUCCUUAAAAAGAAAAGAAAAAAAAAAAAAGCUCAACGCCAAAGUAUUGAAAGAGGAACCGCAAAGUUUCUGGAAACUCACCUCAAAAGUCCUAGAUGCCAAAGGCCUAAAUUUCACGAAGACAAGACCCAAGAUAUAGCCCCCCCCCAACGGGGCUCCCCAACACAAAAAAGAAAAGAAAAGGAAAAGCCAAAAUAACAGCGUUUUUGACACUGUCCAUGUUUUGACAUUAGAAAGCUAACUUAUGCCGUCCUUCUGUUCUACAUCCGACAGUUGCUGCCAAAUCAGUCAAGACGGUUUGGAGGACUGCAGUUGUGAUAUUCCAGAUAUGAAGUUCUUCGAGAAGAGCAGCCAGAUACCAACCAAGGUUCACUCUUUCAACCAUUACUUCACAUUGCAAUGGGCUAAUGGCAAGUAAAGGAUCUGCCGUUUCUUUUAAAAUGUGCCGCAUGGAUUCGUUCAACAAUCCCGCCAAUAUCGCUUCUAUAUUAGCGUUGAGAAUUUGAAAAGAUUGGUCCCCUAAAAUGAAGCCUCGGCAACUGAAGGCGGAAUUGCAUUUAUGCAGUUUCGUCUUUCACUGACGUCCAUUCUAGUGUUGCCAAGACCCUGAUUUAACCCAUAUUAUAUUCCAGCCUGUUUUUUUUCCUUCCAUUUAUGCUCUUAGUGUUAGCCCGUAAUUAUAGAGAAACUUUUGCAACCAGCACUAAAAAACUAUCAAAUAUCAUUUGCUCUAACUUAUUAAAUUUAUUAUAAAAGGUUGAUGAUUGCUUUACAAUAAAUCUUUAAGAAAUUGGCCAUUCCUUUUUUUUUUCUUUUUGGGGAUGAUCCCUUAGAAAAGACUUUUUGGAUCAUGAGACAAUGUUUUGGAAUUCACGAGAGAAUGUGACCACAUGUGUUCAUUCUUUUCUUUUCUUUUUUCUUUUUUUUCACGAUUUGGAUUAUGGAAAGGCCAAAUAAUGAGUUGAUUGAUGAUGCGCUUGAUUAUGUGAAAAUAGACGCAACCUUCUCUAUGGUGAAUAAGGUAUAGCAUUUAUUAUAAAUGGUUCAUUGUAAAAGCAAUUGGUUUGACCAAUAUAUAAUCAACACUUUGAUUUAUAGCUUCAAUUUUUCAAUUUCCGUGUUGUGACGAUGAUUUAGUUAGCUUUUCCUUUAUUUAUGGACUAAGGCGUAUUAUAUUCAACUACUAUAUCGAGAGCAAAUGCCGCCAUUAAUAUAUCACGGCAUUUAUUACGUCACUCUGAGGGGGACUUCUCGGCAUCCAGAUUUCAUCCCUCUUUUAAUAAUUUUCAUCGCUUCAAUUAAUUCUCGAGUAUAGACUAAGUGCAAAUCUUGGGUUGAUACUAGCCUGGAAAACGAUUGCCAUGAGAGCUAUUUUCAUUAAUGUAAACUAGACUUUUGCUGAUGCGAGACUGUUAUGUCCAAACAUUACUUGCACAUAGGAUUGUCAUCCGAGAUGCUCACCAUCUGUUUGAACAUAUGCUCAAGAUAACUCAGUGUUAUUUGGCUCAUUCUUAUGCGUGCGGAAAAUUACCAAAAAAGUCAUAAACCUAUUGUAAUUAUGCCGAUUCAAUCUUAAUCAAUUGAGUCCUAAACAUUUUACAAUUGUGUUAAUUCAGUCCCUCCGACCAAAUUUAGCCAACCAGCACUAACGUGGACGUCAGCCAAUGCCCACAGGACAAUUUUUUAAUAAUAUUUUAUAUUUAUUUGAAUUUUAUUAAUUUUUUUUAUCUUUUCUUUUUUUCCCCUUUUUUUUUCUUUCUCUUUUUUCCCCCUCCUUCCUCCACCUUUUGGCGACCAGCCAGAAAGGAGGGCUAGUGAGGGUAAGCCUCGCUAGUGGAUUGACAAGGCGAGGCUAGCCAAGGUUUGGGAGAGGCAAGCCCUCCUCAAUUCUAGGCGAGGUCGAGCUUGCUUGGCCACUGGCGAGGAGCCUCGCCCUCGCCACUGGCUGGCCACCUCAGUCUGGCAACUGAGCCUCCCCUCUGGUUGAUCGUGGGAAAAAAGGAGGAAGGAGGGAAAAAAAAGACAAAGAAAUUUUUUUUUUUUAAAAAUGAAAAUAAAAUAAAAUAUCAUUAAAAAAUUUCUCUUCAACCUCAUCGGACUGGGGUUGAGGAUGGUGGGAACUGAUCGUGCGGAGCAAGGUCCCGGCCAUGGGCUUGUUGUUGUUGUCGGGUAGCCGUUGACAUCAGCAGGAAUCGUUGGAGUAACACCAAUGGCGGCGGCACGGCGGAGACACGGCCGAACUCUCUCUCUCUCUCUCUCUCUCUCUCUCUCUCUCUCUCUCUCUCUCUCUCUCUCUCUCUCUCAUAUUUCUCUAUUUCUCUGUGUUUUUUUUUUCUACAGAAUCAUGCGGAUUGCCUUUUGCUGCCAUAUGACCAAAAUUUUAGCAAUGUGAUAACCUAAUUGCUUCAGUUUAAUCAAGAAAUUAAUAUUUCUUAAUUGAGUGCUUCAAUUCAUGUGACAAUUUUUUUUUUUUAUCAUAAUAGAAAAGUAGCAAGCCUAGCUUAAUCCAAGAUCAUCCACCUGCCAAAUUUCACCGAAUGGACUGAAGUACCACAAAUUGUAAAAGGUUUAGGACUCAAUUGGCCAAAAAAAAAAAUAAAUAAGUUUAUAACUUUAUCGGCACAAUUGCAAUAACUUUAUGAUUUUUUUUUUUUGUGAUUCUCCCCUUAUGCGUGUGUACAGCUUUGUCGAUUGCUAAAUGUGGUUAAAUCAUUUCUGAAAAUGAACUACCGAUUAGAUAAGUUUUCCCAAUUCGGGUAGAGCUAUGUCGAUUCUCAUGAUUAUUUGUUCGUUAAAUAAACUUGCUAAAGUCUCUGCGUUGAAGUAGAUCUAUUAGUUCCACGUUCGUGCCUUGGUGCAGCGAUUACUGGAAAUCUUCCUUCGUGAAUGAACCAUAGUAUUCGUUGAAGAUUCAUUGAAUAUAAUGUUAAGAAUUUCUCUGAUUCAUGAAUGUUUGCUUCGAAAUUGUGUUCUGUGCAUGGACGAUGGCAGUGUUCGGAAGUGGUCACUGGAAAGGGAGGGAGUUGAUAUCACGUUCUUGUGAGUCACGUCGGGUGUUUGAACAUGGUGGAGCCGGCAACCGGAAGCAGUCGAUGAUGGAGAGUUUUAUUAUCGGUUUAAGAUAGUUUAUGAUUGUCUUUGAGGUUUUUAAUGUUCUCAAGUCAGUAGGUGAGUUUUGGGGGUGGACUUAGCAUAGGUCUGAUCUGGUUUUGAGUUUUCUUAGUCAGUUUAAUUUAUUUAGUUUGGGCUUGUUUUAACAAGCCCAAUCUUAUCCCGGGCCAACGUCUUUCGUGUCCAACUGAGUAAUACAUGCAAACUGUGCUCGAGGGGCCCAGCCCGAGUCCCUUAUUUUCCAGAAUAAUUAAAAUCGAAAUUGAUACAAUGGUCAAAGAUUGCUUGAAUCAUUUAGAUAACAUAUUAUCAAGUCAAAGUAUUGAAAGGGCACUCGUUAGAUAACCAGUGCAAUCAAAUCUCAAAUCCUAAAUUUAUGAGGUAUACUCUCGAUCUCACUUGGCUUUUCGCUAACUUCUGACGAGGGUUUGGGAGAAAUAGUUGAUAAUCGAAAAAUUUUAAAGGAAAUAGUUGAUUCUAGAUUUCCAAAAAAAAGUCAUAGAAACGCAAUAAUGGAUGGGAAAAAGCAAGAUCCUUUGAGAUUCCUUUCGUGACUGCUCAUAAACUUUUUCCUUUUGUUGAUGGCUGCACAAAAUACUAUUAGUCUUUUUCGUUUCGAGCGUUUUCCUUGGAAAUUUCCCUGUGGGCUCUAAGAAAUUGGUUCCUAACGUCUAUAAAAAAAAAGAGAGAGUAGGUAAUUGAAACAUUUUAAAGGAAACAAUUGAUUCUAGAUUUCCAAGAAUGGUAAUAGAAAUGGUAUAAUGGAUGGGAAAAAGUAAGACAAUUUGAGAUUUCUUCAUGACUGAUUUAAAAAACUAGAGUAAUUGUCCGGUAAAAUCUCUUAUGAUUCUCUACAGCAUUCUUCAAAGAUGCAUCGUCUACAAAGCUACUAGUUAAAUGGGUUAUCAUAUUUUCUUGUGUUUCACUUCUGUCAAAGACACAUGAAACAAAUAAUUCACAGAAGACAAAAAAGUACACCAGCUCACAUACUAUACACAACCUUAUUAUUUGAUUUUUUUUUAUAACCAAAUUGUUUAUGUCGAACUCACAAACAUGAACAUUUGGUGUGAAGGAUGAAAGAAGAAGAAAUUCAAUCUAUCCGUCGUAUAAUAAAUAUAUCAUAUCAUUAUGAUUUAUGGAAAGAAUUGAACUUUGACAUAAUAUAAUGUCGUUGUGUGGACCAUGAUUUGUGGAAGACUGGAAUCACAUAGAGAUUGAGGCUGCCUUAAAGCAAGACGAUAGUAAUUGAUUCUAGACUACCAAGAAAGGUUGUAGAAGCACAAUAAUAAAUUAGAAAAAGUAAAGCUGGUCUGCGAUUCCUUCCAUGACUCGUCUUUUAACUUUUUCAUUUUGUUGAUGGCUGGGAUGAUGAGUGCUACAAGUUUUUUCCAUUUCACACGGUACACCGAAAGUGGAGAUAACGUUUGGAAUGUUCUUCUUGGAAAGCUCUUCGUGGGUCUAAGAAAAUAGUAAUCAGCGUCUUUUUUUUUAUAAUUACCAAAUUUCUUUCAUGAUAUUUGCCAAAUUUUGUUCAAUUAUCAACAUUUUUCAUUUACCAAUUAUAUAGAAAAUUACUGAUAUUUUUUGUGUAACUUCCCAUAUUUUCCAUAUUAAGUAACUCAACGGAAAAAUUAAUAAAUUAAAAAAAAAACCAAGUAAAUAUUGAUAUUUGAAUGAGAGUUGGUAACCUGUCUAAAAUUUAAUUGAAGGAAAGGUUGACAAAUAAGAGUUAGUAAAUUUAAGGCAUAAUAAAGAAAGGUGAAUGAAAAUUGAUAAAAAAAAAAAAGACGAAGAAAAGUUGGAAAUCUUAAAAAAUAAAUUUAGUAAGUAAUUUAAAUAAGAGUUGGUAACUCAGAAAUAUUUGAUAAUUUAAAUAGAAAAAAGUAGGUAAGUCACUCUAAUUAGAGUUGGUAUUGUUAAGGUAUUUUUGAGAAAUGCAGCUAGAAGUUUAUAGACUGUGAAAAAAAUGAUAAUUAAAGUUUGAAGGCGUCACACUUUUCAUUUUGUUUUCGAGGUUAGAUUUGCAACUCCACGUGUCUACAUUUCUCAAACAUUUCAUUUGAUUCUCGCCCCAUACACCCAGUAACUUGUGGGGCAUAGGGCCCUUUAUUAGUCCUUCUUCAAUCAUAUCUCCACAACUUCUUACUUUUUGCUACAAGACCUUCGCUCAUUGACCCGUGUUCCAUACAUGGUUCUUGCAACUUCCUUGAAAUGCAUCUUGCUGCAUUUUUCAUAAUUCAAGUCUUGUAAAAUCGCUAUAAAAUGUGGUGUGAUUAUACAUGGUGCAGUUAAGAUGAAAAUGAAAAGGUGCUGUUUAUGACCACCUUACGUGUGAUUUUGUUCUUUUCAUCUUGCUUGGUUUCCAAAAGUAGCAAUAUCUCUCCAUACUUCUCACAAAAAUAAAAGGAAAGAAUAAUAAUUCGUUGUUAUUAGCCAACUUUUGAUAAGGGUUUGGAGAAAUAGUUGAUAAUCGAAAUUUUUUUAAAGAAAUAGUUGAUUCUAGAUUUCCAAGAAAGGUCAUAGAAAUGCAAUAAUUAAUUAUAAAAAGCAAGUUCAUUUGAGAUUCCUUUCAUGACUGAUCUUAACGUUUCCCCUUUGUUGGUUGCGCAAAAUAGCGUUGGUCUUUUCCACUUCGCUCGGUGUGCCAACCAAGAAGAUAACCUUUUGAGCACCUUCUUAAAAAUUUCCUCGUGGGCUCCAAGAAAUUAGUUCCUAACAUCUACCUAUUUGUCUAUUGUUCAGUUAAUAAAAUUAGAAAUUUCAAACCAAUAUUUACAUAACACAUUUAUCCAUUGUUAAAUUUCGUCUCACAAAACAUAUCAAAUGAUUACACUCACGAUAUAUUUAUCAAAAACUAAUUUCUUUGAAAGCCCUUAUCCAAAAACUUAUUAUUAAAGUACAGUUGAGUCCUAAAACUUUCAAAAUGUAAUUAAUGGAAUGACUUAAUUAUAUCAAUUUAACAAGUUUUAUGACUUGAUUGCACUUUUUGAAAAUUUUAUAUUUUAACUAUACUUUGAUAAAUUUUAAGACUUAAUUGCAUUUUUUGAAUGUUUUAGGAUUAAAUUACACUUUCACGAUAAGUUUUAGAACUUUUGAUGCAUUUGAUCCAAUUUCAAAAUAUACAAGAAUUUUGUAAAUUUUUUCUUUUUUUGGCUACGGACUAGGACUAACUAAUGAUUGUGAUCGCAUUGAUGCUCAACUCAAGUUAAAGUUGGAGCUAAUGGUUCUAAAUAUCAAGCAAUUACAUAAGCAUUUUCAUGUUUUUAUAAUUUAGAAAAAUCAUACAAACUUUAAUAGAUGUGUGCUGAUCGAAUUGUAAUCCGAGUUAAAGAGAGAAAUUGAUUUGGAAGACUAGAUUGAUUGUCCUCUGACUCAUGAUCCUCUACAGCAUUCUUCAAAGAUGCAUCGUCUACAAAGCUAAUGGUUAAAUGCAUUUUCUCAUUUUCUUGUUUUCCCUUCUGUCAAAAUCACAUGAAACAAAUAAUUCGCAAAAGACAAAAAAGAACACCAGCUCACAGACUAUGGGCAGCCUUAUUGUUUGAUUUUUUCUUUUUUAUAACCAAAUUGUUUUGAUUAAUUAACAUUCUGUCGGCACUCAUAAAUAUGAACAUUUAAUGGAAAGGAAGAAAGAAGAAAAAAUUCGAUUUAUCCGUCGUGCAAUGAAUAUCAUAUUGUUAUGAUUUUUGAAAAAAAAAAUGAACUUUGAUACGGUACAAUGUCGUUGUAUAGAUCAAGAUUUGUCAAAGACUGAAAUCAUUGUAAAGAGGGGACAAAUUAUUCAAAGUCAAGAUUAUGAAGAGAUUGAGGUCGUCUUAAAAGAUAAUAAGAAUUGAUCUAAACUACCAAGAAAGUUCGUAGAAGCAGGACAUUGGACGAGAAAAAAUAAAGCUCGUUUGCGAUUCCUUCCAUGAUUGAUCUUUUUAACUUUUCCCUUUUGUUGAUGACUGGGAAAAAAGGGUUAAAAGUCCUUUCCAUUUCACACGGUACCCCGAAAGUGGGGUUUACCUUCGGAGGGUUCUUCUUGGAAAGCUCCUCAUGGGUCUAAGAAAUUAGUAGUCAACUUCCUUUUAAAAAGUAAUAAUUAAUUAUCAAUUUCUUUCAUAACUGAUAAACCAAUUCUCUUAUUAUUUGGCAAAUUCUGUAUAAUUAUCAAGAUCUUAACUUUACCAAUUAUAUAGAAAAUUACCAAUAUUUUUUUGGUGACUUCUCAAUUUUUUCCAAAUUAAGUAACUCAAUGGAAAAGGUUAAUAAAUUAAGAAAAAAUAAACAUCUAUAGUUAACUCAUAUAAGAGUUAGUAACCGAGUUGAAAGCUCAAUUGAACAAAGGGUUGACAAAUAAGAGUUAGUAAAUUUAAGGCACAAUGAAUAGAGGUGAAUGAAAAAUUGAUAAUAAAAAUAAGAAAAUUUGGUAAUUGAAAAAAAAAACUUGGUAACUAAUUUAAAUAAGAGUUGCUAACUCAAAAUUAAUUGAUAAUUUAAACAGAGAAAAGUAGGUAAGUCACUCUAAUAAAAAUUGGUAAUGUUUAGGCAAUUUUAAGAAAUGCAACUAGAAGUUUGUAGAUGAUAAAAAAAAAUGAUAAUUAAAGUUUGAAGGUGUUACCCUAUCAAUUUUAUUUUCAAGCGAGCGAGGUUAGAAGUGCUACUUCACGUGUCUACAUUUCUCAGACAUUUCAUUUGAUUCUUGCCCCGUGCGCCCCGUCACUUGUGGGGCCUAGGGCCAAACCUUCAAUUAUAUCUCCACCACCUUGCACUUUCUUGCGUGACCAUUGCCCAUUGACCCUUGCUCCACACGUUGUCCUUGCAACUUCCUUGGAAUGCACCAUAACGCAUUUUGUAUCAUCCCAGGCUUGUAAAAUCACCAUAAAAUGUGGUGUGAUUUGUUUUCAGAAUUUUAGUAGGUGCAGCCAAGGUGAAAAAAAAAUGAGCUAUUUAUACUCUUUCCUCAGACUUAGACUUUAUAUGACCACCUUACAAGUGAUUUUUUUGUGACAUUUCUAUUUUCCCAAUGCUUAUGUUCCAACAAAAAUACAUGUAUGCAUAAAAAAAUUCCAAGUUCCCUGGGGUAAAUGCACUAGAAGAGGACAAUUUUUAGCGAAUGGUGCUGUUAUAGUUGUUGGCGAACUCACUUUGGGUAGAAAUGCAUUAGUAGUUUAUUCACUGUUGACAUCUAAUUUUUGACAACUUAAUUAAUUAUUAAUUGCAUAAAAAACUCGAUCCCUUGCAUUUUGCAUAUUAGUUGCAUAUUUCUUUCAUGCAUUAUUUAAACCUAUACAUUUGCAUUAAACCGAUGACAGAUAAAUUUAAGUGAAUUGUCUCGAAUUUAAUUGAUAAACUAGACUGAAUUUAUAAGAGCAUAAAAUUUUGGCUAAGCUAAUAGAACACUAAGUGGCCGAAAGUUAUAAACGGUAGGGGUGUGCAUGGUUCGGGCGGGCGAUUCCCGACCUAGAACCGGGAACCGCCCGCUAAGGACUGGUUCUGAAAAAUUGGAACCGGGAUCCACCCGUUUGUUGCAUGGAUCCACCCGAGAACCGGACCGUCAGUUCGGUCUGGUUCCCGGGUGGAUCCAUGGAACCGAUCGACACGGAGGGGCGGCGGAGCAGUGACGGAGGCGCAGCAACCGGUUUGGGAUUUGCCGGCGUUGGUCGUGUCGCCGCGGUUGUAGGGGUUGCAACGGCAUCGUGGGUCACUGUUGGGCGAAGCAGAGGCUGUGGCGGCCGGCGUGAGGGGGCGGACAGCAGUGGCGAAGGAGCAGCGGCGGCGGUGUCGACGCUCGGGGAAGAAUCAAAAUGGCUGCAGGGAUCGCGCGGAGGGGCGGCGGAGUAGCGACAGAGGCGCAGCCAUCGGUUCGGGAUCUGCUGGCGUCGGUCGUCGUAGCUAUAAGGGCUGCAAAGGCGUCAGAUUGCUGGCAGAGGGGGCCCGGAGCAGAAGCAACGGCGAUGGGUGAGCGGGCGAAGGGUGCUUGCGGCUGCUGGCGUGGUGGUCGGCGCGGAGGCGAGCUGUGGCGUCGUGGGUCACUGCUGGGCAGAGUAGAGGCUGUGGCGGGUUGCGGCCGGCGCAAGGGGGCGGACAGUAGCAGCGGCGUCGACGCUUGGGGAGGAACCGAGGAAGAGACAGAGAAGAGAGAUAGAGUCACAGAACCGAAGAAGUCGAAGACAGAGAAGUCACGCUCGGUUAGGGUUUGUUUUGUUUUAGUAAUUUUUUUUUUUUAGUAUUAAAAAUUAAUCGGUCCGGUCCGGGUGGGCGGGCGGGCGGAUCCGCCCUUGGAACCGGGAACCGGACCGGUACCCACCGGUUCCCGUAAAUUGGAACCGGGAACCGGACCGGUUCCCUCAAGAACCGCCGGUUCCGGGCAGUUCCGGUCCGGUUCCGGGCGGUUCCGGUCCGGUUCCGGGCGGUUCCGGUCCGGUUCCGGGCGGUCCGGUCGGUUCCCGAGUAUUUUGCACACCCCUAAUAAAUGGAAGAACUCAGAGGUGCUAAUGUGGAAAAAAUUAAGUAAAUUCGGAGGAUAAAGACUUUGUAAAAAAAAUAUUUUAAAGGACAUUGCAGGAAUAUCUUCACAACCCCAUCACGGCAAGAUUCGUUCUACUUCAACGGCUGAGAUCAUUUCCAUCCCAAUCGAGGGGCCUGUAUUGGUGGGGACAGGACAGGAUCGUGGCCAUUUCCCUUCCCUUCCCUUCGCUCCCCCCAACCCAAAUAUAUAUAUAUAUAUAUAUAUAUAUAUAUAUAUAUAUAUUAUAAUAAUUAUACCCAUGGACUCCUCCUCACAUUUGUGCUUCCUCCACGGUAAAUUUCCAAGAACUUGUCCCGAGGCUAGAUUAAUCUCCUCAGGAUUCGAUCCAAGCCCCAACGUAGACGCCCAAGUCGACGCCCGAGUCAAGGUAGUCACAUCAUCAUAAAUGCAUCCGUACGCGUUGAGGGAAACGACAAAAUGAAAACAAGAAAUUACAAAGGUAAAGAUAAUGAAUAUCUCAAGCAAUUUCUGGGAACUUUACGUGAGGUUUGAAAGGUAAAGGAAUAUUGAGACUAAUAUAUAAUUAUUUUAAAACAAGAAAGGGGAGACUAACAGUUCACAAAAAAAAAAAAGUGAAGGGAUUGCUUGUGCUUGUUCGCCGGUGUGGUUUAAUUUUUCAGCGUCGUUGCAGCUUUCGUCCGGCGGUCUCUGGAUUGCUUCCUCGUCGAAAUUCUCGAGACCGUGUUUGCCGGUGUUGAUCUCCGGCUCCUGUCCUUCUGCCAACGCAACCGCCGCGCCGUCCCUCACCAGUCACCGCGCUUGUUGCCGGCUUGUCCAUCGUCGCGCCUCUACCUCGCUUGCCGGCACUCUUCGUCGCGCUCAGCACGUCCUUCUGCAGCCGCAACAGCAGCUUUGCCGACUUAUUCUAACGCCAAAGCAGCAGUCCCUGGCGGUUUCCGGUGAUUCCAGGCGGCAUCCAGACUCCACUUGACGCCACCGCUUGCUGUUUUGUUUCCUCUGCUACGUUUGAUUUCGUUUCGCUGGUUGCAUAGAGCAGACUAGCAUUGACUGAAUCCACACUGUCGCCGCCAAGGAGAGUCCGGCUGACCUCAGCUUUCCAGUUAGACUGCCCAAAACCAACAAACCUUCACCGUUGCAUCUUUUAUUCUAGCUAACCUGUCUGCAAUUUGCUGUGUCCUUGCUGAAUUGCCAUCGUCGCUGCUUUGGGCCUGACGUUCCUCCUCACCCGUCGCUGUAAAGCUGCCCGUCGUCAGUCCCAAUUCUUGGAAAGAAAUACUUCAAACUAGGUAAUUUCUUGAACCAAUCUGAUAGGUAGCAAUUAUUGAUUAUCUAAUUUAUAGUAUUCGAUAAUAAUCUUGAUUUGUUUGAGAUUUUUAAGCAUCUCCAUGUUAGGAAAUUUCUUAUUUCAAUAAUUUGAUCUGGGUUAUGGAUUGCAUAAACAAUUUUUAAAAAAAAUUAAUAAUAAUUUUGAUUUUCCUUAUACGUCAAUUUUAAUUCAAUGAAAGAUUACGUAAACAGACCAUCCAACCUAAAUGAAUAUAAGUUAACAAAGUUUCAUAAAAUUCUAUUUUCCCAAUCUUCUUUUAGAAAUGCAUGUAUAAUUAAAAUUAAAAAGCACCUAAAAUUGUCAACAAUCCAGCUUUUUUAGAUUUAUUUUUCUUGCUUUUGACUAGUAAUACUACAAUAAAGUAACUGCAAAAACUAAAAAGCAUCACUUGGUUCAAGACUACGACUAUAAAUAUUAGGCCACUCAAAGCAACCUAGAAUAGUAGGUAUGCUUCUGACGCUAUUCGCUGUCAAGGAGGCAAUUUUUUGUUUCUUAUUUUGAUUUAUAUAAGAAAUCUUAAUGUCAAUCAGGUGCCAAUUCUUCUUUUCUUUUACUUUUUUGGGUACACGUGUUUCGUAUUUUCUUAGACUACGACUAAAUUAUGUUGACUUGACUCCAGUGGGCCCCCUGCUAGCCAUCACGGGCGUGCAGAUAAAUGGUGAUUUUAACAACGGAAGUGAAAAAUUGUUGCUUUGCUUCAAUAACAUGUUAUCUUACACUUUAUAUUUGAAUAAACAUUUAAAUCUUAACAAGAAAGUAAAAAGGUUUUGCUUUUUAAAAAGCACCAAGCAAACUGGUCCUAAUAAAAUUCAACUGGCUUUGGCCAGGAUUAGGAUUACCUUCUUAAGUUAUAUUUCAUUAUGUGUCAUUUGUGAAAUCCAACUCUAUAUACACUUGCGUCUAUCGAUGAUAAGAAAGUAAGUUAAAAUGAAGCUUGAUGGUUGGUUCCGUCUCCGACCUUUUCCUUAACAUUAAUUAGACAUAUUACUUUACCAUAAAUUAGAAAAAAAAAAGAAAAAGAAAAAAGAAAAACUUAAUCAUCACAUUUGAUUCAGUAACGGCAACUUGCCUUACUUAUUUUCAGUUUACUUAGACCUUGGUGGGCCUCAGGCCAGCAAUGGAAAUCGGAAAUUGAAACUCAAUUUCACAGAACCCAACUAAUAUAAUCUUGCUCGAAAUUUACCAUAUUGAAUUUCCCAUCCACCAGUGAACUUGUGGGACUUAGGCCAUUAAUUAAUCCUUCAAUCAUAUAUCUAGCAAUUUCUCUCGAUCAAUGCCCCGACGGGACGUAAAUGGAAACUGAUCCUCGCUUUCCUACCUGACCAUCGCUCGUUGGCCCUUGUUAAAAGCAUGUCAAAUCUUUUGUGAUUUGCUUUCAGAAUUUUAGUAGACGCAGCUGAGAUGAAAAGAAAGAGGAGCCCUUCUCUGGAAACUGGGUCCACACUCCAUGGCUCAUCGGGAAAUAAGUUCGAGGUGUUCUUGAGUUUUCGAGGACCGGAUACUCGCACUAAUUUCACAGAUUUCCUCUAUUAUACCCUACUUGAUAAGGGUAUCAGUGUUUUCAUAGACAAGCAGGGGAUUGAUGUUGGUGAAGAGAUCGGUCCCGAGAUUUUCCAAGCCAUCGAUGACUCGGAAAUUUGCAUUCCCAUCUUCUCCAGAGACUAUGCCUCUAGUAGCUGGUGCCUACGUGAGCUGGAACACAUGAUGAAGCGUAGGAAAACCAAUGAACUUGAGGUUAUGCCCAUUUUCUAUGAUGUGGAACCCUCUGACGUGAAGCUUGAAACCAGAGUGUACAGGGAUGCACUAACUCUACAUGAACAAAAACGUGGUAUUGAGAUUGUGCAGCGCUGGGCGGAGGCACUCAAGGAAGUUACUAGAAUCAAGGGUUGGGACACCAAGAAUACAGGGUAGGUUAACUCACUCAACUCCAUCUUCCCUUUGCUCUCUGUUUCUUUUGCUUGAAUGCGGAUUCUGAUUUGAAGAGCACAAUCUUUUUCUUUUUUUCUACUUAAAAUUGUGAUAGAUAUCGCAUGGAAUUCUACACUCCAUUGUCUCAAGACUCAAGGAUUACUUGCUCGACAUAAGCAUUAUAACUUAGUAUCCUAGAUUGAACAAAAACCAGAGAAUCAUGUACUUGUUCUUUUGUUCACUGAGCCCGGCAUCAAUUUCGUGACUUCAUGUUAUUGUUUGAUCGUGCAAGUUUAUAAGUUUCCCAUCAAUUCUUAUAAUUAACUUAAUUAUGUUGUGUUUCAUGGCACAGCCACGGAGAACUCGCACGAUUGAUAGCUCGGAAAGUGUUAGUUAAGCUUAAGGUGCCUUGUGUUCAUAUACCCAAUCAUUUAGUUGGAAUGGACGAAUCAGUGAAUGAAUUAGUAGAUUUACUUAAUGUCGAAUCUAAGGACAUAAGGCUCAUCGGAAUUUGGGGGAUGGGUGGAAUAGGCAAGACAACUCUUGCCAAGGUUGUUUACCGGAAGGUAUCUAUUCAUUUUGAGAGCCAUACCUUCAUUUCAAAUGUCCGAGAAGCAUCUAAAGGUUUCGGUCUUAUAAAUUUGCAAAGGCAAUUAGUCUCUCAUAUCAUUGGUGAAAUAGGAGUUGAACUUUAUAGCAUUGAUCAGGGGAUGAAUAUGAUCGGAGAUCGAUUUUGCAGAAAGAAAGUUCUUAUCUUCCUUGAUGAUGUUGAUCAUACAAGCCAGCUCAUGGCAUUGGCAGCAAAGAAAGAAUGGUUGGGUUCAGGAAGUAGAAUAGUUGUUACAACAAGAGACAAAAGUGUUUUAUAUCGAUUGCAAGAUCAAUUUAAUUGUUGUUUGAUUUAUGACGCUAAGGAACUCAACCGGCUUGAAGCUCUCCAACUUUUUAGAAAGCAUGCCUUUAGAAGCGACCGUACUCCAAAUGCAUUCUUGAGUCUAUCCGAGGAAAUUACUAGAAAAACCGGAGGGCUUCCUUUGACUAUAGAAGUGAUUGGCUCAUUUUUAUAUGGAAAAAGGGAAGCGGUUUGGCAAGAUGCAUUGGAAAAGAUGGAAUAUCAUCCUCAUAAGGAUGUGAAGGAAAAAUUAAUGUUGAGUUAUGAGGCAUUAGAUCAUUUACAAAAACAAAUAUUUCUUGAUAUUGCUUGCUUUCUAGAUGGAGAAGAUAAGAGUUAUUCACAUUACAUGUGGGACAAUUGUGGAUUUUUUCCAAAUGAGGGGAUUGAUAUUUUGCUUUUAAUGUCCUUAGUGAAGAUUGAUGAAGAGAAUAAACUAUGUAUGCAUGAUCAGCUCAAGGACUUAGGCAGGAGCAUUGUGUACGAAGAAUGUCGCAAAGACCCAAAAAAGGGUUAUCGGGUGUGGUCGAAUGAGGAGGAAGGUCCUGAUAUUGUCCAGCAAAAGAAGGUAUAAAUCUAAGUGCACCCUCGUCUACUUUUUUUUCAUUGCAGAAAUCUUCCUUGGACUGUUUUCCCUUUAUUUUAGGCUCUAUUUGGAACUCCUCACAUUAAACCGACUCUUUCCUCAAUUUAGGGAACCGAAACUGUUGCAGCGGACUAUUCGGAAUAUGACCCGCCUUCUCAAGACUGUGUUUUGACAUCGGAAGACUUUAUCAAAAUGCCAAAUAUUAGAUUUCUAGAAAUGUCUGGUUGGUCCCUCUCUGGAGACUUUGAGGAUCUCUUUUUGGAAUUGAGAUGGCUUAAUUGGAACAGUUGUCCAAAAGAAAUGCAGGCAACCAACUUUUGCCCAAAAAAUCUAGUCAUCCUCAACCUAUCAUAUAGCAAAAUUGACGAACAUUGGGGUGGUUGGACUCAACUCAAGGUAUGUGUGUGCAAAUAAUUUGGUAUAACAUGUUAUAUUUUCUUCUAGUCGCACUAUUGGUACUAUAAGUGGUUAAUAAGACUAUUGGUACUAUACGUAUGAUGCCAGUAAAAUUGAACAUGCAAACUGACUUGUUUAGCACAUCAAUAGUAUACAAAGAUGCUAUACUCUUCAAAGGUUAUGUGAAAGCUAAUAACACCCUUAUCUUAACGUAUGAAACAAAACAAAAUGCAAAAAAUAGUAGACUGCAAAUAUAGAUUAGUUGAUAGUCAGAAGACAUAUGAAAUUAUUUCUAUAUUGAUAUUAUGAUGAAAAUAGUAGACUGCAAAUAUAGAUUAGUUGAUAGUCAGAAGACAUAUAAGAUUAUUUCUAUAUUGAUAUUUUGAUGAUGCAUUCACAUAGGAAAGUCAUGAGUAAUUGUGUCAGCGACAAUAUCGGUAAUUCCAUGAUGAAAUUGGAAAGGGAUGUUUUCAUAAGAGAUAUGUUGGUUACAUUCUUUUGUCUUUUUAUUAUUUGUUACAGUGGUGAUCUGAAACUAGAUCCAUUUUUUUUAUUUGUUGUUGGGGGACAAGAAGAAAUGAAAACAGUGAGACAGAGUGGUUUUGACUUAAGGAAUUGACAUGAACAAAUUAUUUAUAAAGUUACUUUGGUGAAAAGCUCCCUCAGUCAAUACAUUUGUUUAUGUCCUGCAAAAUUUUAUAAAUCGAACUUGUUGAAUAUACAUAAUUAUUUUACAGGUGGCUACAAGAUUGAAGGUCCUUAAUCUAUCAUAUUGCCUCUACUUGAAGGAAAUUCCUAAUCUCUUCGCAUAUUUUUCCUUAGAAAUAUUAAUUCUCCAGGGGUGUGAAAAUUUGUUAAGGAUUGAUCGAUCCAUUGGUCGGCUAAAACAUCUGAAGCAAUUGAAUCUAGAUGAAUGCCGUCGUCUCCAAGUCCUCCCUAUUGAAUUGGGUGCCUUGGAAGCAUUGACCGAGAUGCUUAUAGAUAGUUAUGGUUUCCCUACAAGUAUUAGUCAAGUCCCAAGCUCUAUUGGAGCACUCGUAAAUCUUGAGCGCUUGGUCAUUUGUGGAGAUCCCCACCUAACGAAACUUCCCGACUCAAUUGGAAUGUUGAAGUGUUUAGUUGAGUUGGAUGUCUCAGGCACAGGUAUUGCAGAGUUGCCAAAUACUAUUAUCAAUCUAAAGAGCUUGAAAGCAUUGAAUGUGAGCAGAAGUUGCAUACAAAAGUUACCCGAGGCAAUUGGGAUGUUGGAGAAACUUGAAGAGAUUUAUGGAAUGGGUUGCAAUUGGCUAGAGACUAUUCCUGGUGACAUCGUGAGACUACCAUUCUUGAAGAAUUUGAUAUUAACAGAAACUCGUGUGGGGAAUGUACCAAAGCUUCCUCAGAGUCUGAUAUCUCUACAUCUGUCCUCAAGAUCCUUAGCAAAAGCGCCAGAUAUCUCCGACCUUGUGAAUUUAAGAAACUUGGAAUUGUGUUUUACCAGCUCAACCUCCAUCGGAAGGGAUACUAAAAGCCAAUGCUUUUAUCAACCAAUGCAUGGCUGCCGCAAUGAUGUGAAUUGGAGCAUUGGAGUCGCACGGUGUAAAUUGGAACUUCCGAGUAUCUCCAGUAUAAGCUCAUAUUUGGGUUGCCUUUGCCAUAUAAAAAUACUUAAACUCAUCAAUUGCAAGAACUUGCGUAAGAUUGGACAACUUCCCUCUAAUUUGAUGAAACUUAAGGUCGACAAUUGCAAUCUUCUUGAAGUUGUGGACCUUUCCAACUUAUCUAACUUCAAGAAUCUAAAGGACCUUGGAGUAUGGGACUGUCCGAAACUAGUUGAGAUUCAAGGUCUUGACCAAAUGGAGUCACUAGAAAGUCUUGCAAUCAAACGCUGCAGUUCCUGGCUACACUUACCUGAUCUAUCCAAACAACUUCCCUCUAGUUUGAGGGAACUUAAGGUUGACAAUUGCAAUCUUCUUGAAGUUGUGGACCUUUCCAACUCAUCUAACUUCAAGAAUCUAAAGGACCUUGAAGUAUGGGACUGUCCGAAACUAGUUGAGAUUCAAGGUCUUGACCAAAUGGAGUCACUGGAAAGUCUUGUAAUCAGACGCUGCAGUUCCUGGCUAUGCUUACCUGAUCUAUCCAACUGGAAGAAGCUAAAGACUUGGGACGUUGAUGCUCUUACGACAUAUUCGGCGAGGGGAAAACGAGUAGCUCAAAGCAGAUAUCUUCCACUCUUGCACUUGGCAAGGCUUAGAGGAUCAGCAAAUCUUGAACUUUGAGGCGUGGAGGAAUUUGUCAUCAAAUAUAUAAAUAAUAUACGGACUCAUUGUACAGUGGUUACUGAAGCAAAUAAACUGUGACGUUUACAUUUUUGUCAAGUAGCUCAAGAGGUGUUUCAGGCACUCUUCAACGAAAUCCCAUUUACAAAAAGUAUAGACAGUAUCUUCUCGCACAUUCAAUAUCCUACACGAAGAAGACUAAGAAAUAUCAUUAAGCACUUGAUCUCUCCAAAUCUAGCUUACUUUUUGCAAUAAAGUAAUGAUCUAUGAAGAUAAUCAUUGACGUAGCAGUAUUUCUAUUGAUACAAGAGCAUCCUAGUUACCGGCUUUAGCUGGUGUGGAGUGUACUAGUGUAAGUAAUUUGUUCUAACAUGAAUUUGACAAUUUUCUUAAUAAUAUAGAGUUGUGCCUAUGGUGUCUUUUUAGUCAUUUUCACGAAAUUUUGCAGAGAUCAACUAUUUGGUUUUGAAACAUAUUUUUAAUUUGAAAAUAACUUUUUUCAUUUUAAUUUUUCAUUUUCUCGAGAACGUGUUUGGUUUAUUAUUAUAUAAGUGGAUUACAACUCACAACGGUCCCCCAUUUAACAAGUCAUAUUAAUAAAAUACUUCAGAGAAAUUUGUUUUCAUUUGGCAUUAGGACACAAUUAGACUGGGGUCACGUCAGGAGAACUCGCAAGGUUCCUAAUGAUGCAUGACGAAUUAAGGGGGCUUGAAAUCUCGUCCGUCGGAUGUCAUCGCAAUCCCAACCGUUAGAUAAAAAAUGCUUCAUGUUAGCCGUCAGAUUGGGCAUGACAAUUUCGUUGUGUACCAGGGCAUGACAUGGACACGCCAGAACUGUCCUCAUGCAUGAUGAAUUGGCUAUAAUUUAGUAAACUAUAUUCAUUUAAAAUUUGAAAAGCACGAGUUUUUUAUACAGAAAUUCUAUAGUUUUUUUUUUACACUAGCCAUUGCCAGGUACGUCGAUAUGUAUACUUAUGAUUAUAGAUGAUUAAGGUGGCUCAUUAAUAAAGAUUACGGGGCUUAAAUAUUAUCUAGAUGAUGUGCAUAUACAUGAGUUGAAUAGCGAUAGAUGCUUAUUGAUAUAACUGAAUGAUAACUGAGCUUGAGUUGAGAUUUUUUAAUACAUUAUAAAUUAUCUAUCUAAGAAUAUAUUUGUGAUUGGAACUUGUUCCCAUACAUCAAAUACAUAGCACAAUAUUGUCAAGGUUGGGCCUUGCCAUAGCCGGUGAGGCUUGACCCUCAUUAGAUUUGGUGAGGCUCACCUCGCCAGCUUAGCACAAGGUCGCCUUCAUGGCCUUUGGUGAGGCUCGCUACCGUCACCUCUGGCCGUCACUAGACCUCAGCGACCGACUAGCGGAAGAAGGAAGGGAAUGAAAAAAAAAGGAUUAAAUAAAUAAACGAUUCAAAAAAUAUUAAAAUAUUAUUAAAAUUUGUCAAUGUUAAUACUAAUUAUGUCACGUAGGCCAACUAAUGUCUACAUUACCAAUAUUUGGUCAAAAUUAGCCGGAAUGAUUAAAUUGAUACUAUGUCAAAAGAUUUAUGAUUAAAUUGACACAAAUAUAAUAAGUGUAAGAUUUUUCGACACUUUUUCCUUCCAGGUGGGCAUUACAAGCUUACGAAAGAGAUGGACGCAAAAAACUCCUCAAUUGUAUUCACUCUAACUUCUUUUGUCCUUUUCGAUUAUAUGACUUUUCGCCGAGUUUUCUCCAAUUUAUAGAUCUCCAAAUUCGGACGUUGUCCUUGAAGUCCAUUUAAUUCUUUGUAGAGAAUUUCGGCAAAAUAUCUCCUGAAAAACAUGUGGGGAAUCUUCCCUUAGUAUAGACUGCAAUCAUAUCUUCUAUUGAUGGCUGGUUUUUUAUCACACCAUCUCACCAAAAUAUUAAACGAAUUUAGUUAGUGAAUUUUUUUUUUUUUUGCAUAAAUAAUUUUGGUAUAUCAUACUCUAUUGAUAUGAGCUGGGUCUCAAUUUGGGAACUCCAACGGUCAUCAAAUCUAUAUGAGAAAAGUGUCCGAUGAUCAGAAAAUCAAGAUUUUGGACAUUGUCUAGAAGUGAAUUUUUUUUAUGAGAUUUCUAUCUUUCCUCAAAAGGAUGAAGAUUAAAUAACUGAUUGAUGCAGUGUUAUUGAUUUUUCUGGAGCUUUCUCUUCUGAAACAAUACUAAUUAUUUAGAGUCUAUAUUUAUGAUUAGCUCUUUUGGUUCAAACUAAACCGUUUCAUAUUUUUUUUCUCAAUCUUAAUUUUAUUGUUGAACCUAAUCAAAAGAAAUUUGACUAGUGUUUUGGUGCAAAAGCAAAAGGCGUCUGUGAAGUUGAUAGAUGGCCCUCUUCUCAAUUGACACAUAUCCCACAUUGAUCUAUUUAUCGUUCUUUUCCUUAUCCUUCACCUUUGCCACAUAUCGUUGUAACCUUUGAAAGACAACAUAGCCAACAUAAACAAAUAGUAUGCAGAAGAUUCUUUUUUUCCAUUUUCGUGUAAAUUCCAGUUCAAUAAAAAUUUACAGAAACAAACCAUCGAACCUAAAUGAAGAUCACUUAGCAAAGUUUCAUAGACUUAUGUUUCCCUACUCUUUUCUUGAAUUGCAUAUAGAAUUAAAAUAAACAAGCACCUAAAUUAGUCAUUACUCAGGUGCUCGAUGCUUGCUUGGACUGCUUGUUUGGAGUGCAUGCUAGGUUUCUUCGGGAGAAACCAGAGAAAGAGAGAGAUUGAGCCUUGACCGAGAGGGAGCGAGAACUAGAGAGAAAAGAGUGAGGCCGCGCGGGUGUUUUCCGGUAGUGGCCGCGCCCGAGUCCCGACCGCAUUGAGCAUGUGGUAAGACCCCGUUGCCCUUUUUAAUUUUUUUUUUUCCAGUUUGGGUCAAUUCCUCGAGGAUCCCCGAUCGGAGGCACGCGAGGCAAACGGACAUGGGCCGAUCUAUCGAGCUCCCCCCACCAUUCGCCACCGCCGAGCCAAGUAGAGGGCGCCACCAAUGGCCCCCGUUUGCCAGGUUUUGUGCCCUGUUUUGGCUCAUCGGACCAGGCCUCGUCGGGGUCCGGUUUGCGCUAGUCCCAGCCCCCGUCUAUGUUGUGCUAUGCUGCAUCUUCAUCUCUGCUUGUCGAUUGCUAAGCGUCUUGGCGCGGGUUGAAUCCUGGUUGACUCAAUAGCCUCCCUUCAUUCGAUGCCCGUCAUGUGUUCAUGAAAAUACCCAAACGGAGCUUGGGUAGAUUUUCCGUGAUUUUGGUUUGGUUCUAAGCGUUUGUCGGUCCUUUGACAUGCUUGUGGACUCUCAUUGUCAUCCGUGGAGUCGUGCGCUGUUUCUUUUCCGUGUUGUGUGUGUAUCGUGGAGGAUGGUGAUGAGAAUGGGGGCUGGAUGUGGCCAACAGGCGGUGUGGCGGUGUCGGCUCGAAAUGGCCAACAGAGCCGGCCUGGUGGAUGAGGCCAACGGACGGUCCUAUUGAUUGAGCGAAGCCCAGAGACGAGCCGGCUCAUGGCUGUUUGUCUCUGUUCGGACAGAGAGAGAGCAACCGAGAGGGUGAAGUGGGAGGCGUCGGUACCGUGAAGGAUGAGUAGUAGGUUGGGCUUAAUUUGGUUUAGUGGGUUUAGGCCCGUUUCCAUUUUCAUGGGUUUAAAAAAAGUCCAUUGGUUUGGGCUCAACUAGAAUUUGUUAAGUUCGGGCCUGAUUUGCUUUAGUAUGGCUUAGGAUGCAUUUGUUUAACAAAAAACUCAAUAAUUAAGGAAAAUAUUUUCUUGAAAAAUACUUUGGAGGGAUACAAUUAGUUUUCCUUUAUUUGGUAUGUAUGAUUGAAAACAUUAUUUUGAUGUUUGGACCUCGUUAGAAAAUGCUUUCUCUCAAAUAAAUAAAAAAAUCAAAAUUUUUAAAUAAAUAUUUAAUUUUUCUUUUUUCCUUCUCUCCCACUCACCUCUCCACCUCACACCUAGCCCCUUCCUCCUGUCCACCAUCAUCACCGCAAUCUUCAACGACCUUGUCUCCCUCUGCGAUGAAUCUGUCUACCAAAGCUCGACCAAGCCUCGGGGCUGGUCUGGAUUCUUGACCCAACCCGGAUUGUUAGGUUCCGAGUCAAACCCACAUUCAAAUUGGAGUUCCUUUUUUAAAAUUAAAUACAAGAUACAAAAUAUUAGAAAAAAAUUUAGAAAAUUCAUAAUAAAUUUUAAAAAUUCGAGAAAUCCCAAAAAUUCUGAAUUUUUUUUUUAAAAGUAGAAUUCCUCAUAAAAAGCUUAAGAAUAGUCUUUUUGGGUAGUCUUCUCUGAAAUUUUUGGAAAGUCAUUGAUGAAAAAAUCGUGUUAAAAAAUUGAACAAACUCUUAGGAUUUUACCAUAAGGUCUCUUUUGUUCUUAGAGAUGAAUGCUCUUGAUUACGCACUUUCAAUGUGAUGAUUAUGGUUUUCCAUUAGCCUAUUGCAUUUAUUUAUUUCUUAUCGCUAGAUGCUUGUUUUUCCUGCAAUUUACUUAAAUGCUUCAUUGGUCGUUGAUUGUUGUUUUAAUGAUUAUGCACCUACUUAAUAACCUCACACGUUUGUGGAUAGGUCCAAAAUCAAUUAAAUUGUCUGACAUUUUUUUUUAAAUGAACAAAAUAAGUAUCAAAAAGGCACUAAUUGAUUAAUUAAUGUAGCCAAAUCAUUGACCCUAGAUUAUCUAGUUGCAUAGUGUGUGACAUCCUGAUUUUCAGGUUCUAUUUUCAAUUAAAUGAGAUGGGCUUUUCAUCAACACGCCUAUAGUUCUUUUCCCUGUACUGAUCACUCACAGGAUAACUAAUCUAUCAGGUGAAGCCGUUAAGGAAUCUAAACGCAAUAAACUUGAGAAUUCGACCAAGAAUCGACUGCUUGACCGUGCUAAUUUGCAAGGGUCAAUACGGCAUUGUCUAAAUCGAUCAGAGAUCGGAGGUAGGUCGAUUCGACUAAGGUAUGUGAUUAAAGUGUAGGUGAUUCCAUCAAAUUUCAAAAUUCUCGUUGAACGGCAUUAGACCGAUUUUUCUGUCAUUUCUAUAUCCUAUGCUCGUAUUUGAAAUCUCGAGAUUUUCACGACAACCGAGAGUCGCCAAUAUGUCGAAGAUGUACAAUGUGGCUCGAAAAUAAUCGACCAUGGGUCAAUUGCACUAAAAAUUCUUAAAAAUUACCCAGUAGGCUGGGUCACACUAAAAUCGCGCCUGGUUGAAAUUAACCGUGAAUUUAAACCCGAUUUCAGAAAUUGAAAGUUUUGUCAUGUCAUGAUUCAUUUUAGGAACGUCGACUCAUCCUCCAAAGAUUUUUCUACAAACCGAGAUUUUCGGCGAAAAAUCAAAGUAAGGUUAUUUUAGACCGGGAAAAUUAGAGGGCCGUUUUUUGUCACAUUUCUGGCCGUCAAGUUGGUUCAAUUGGCAAGGAAAAAUGUUGAAUUUGAUGUGGACACCUUGGUUGAAUUUAUGGACAUCUUGGUUGGGGAAGGUCCAAAAUUCGUAGGCCAACGGGGUGGACAACAUUUGGACCAUUUGGGAAGCUUCUAGGGGAAAUUUGGUGCAGCAAAUUGGCUGUGGAUGACAGCCUUGGCUGGUGGGGGCAUGCAAUGAGCAAUUUGAGAUAUUUCCAUGGACUUUUGUGGCCAAAUGGGUCCCCCUCUCUUCAGCUGGCUUCUUCUUCCUCAUUCAGCCUACUUUAUCCAUUAUUGAAUAACUUUGGAGCUCAAAAUUGCAGAGAGAAACCAAAGAGAGCUCCCCCUUCACUGUCGACCGCCCUUGCCGCCGUCCAGCACCAUUACACGCCUGUUGCGCACCACCCGAGCCCUGCGAGCCAUUCGCCUGCCUUGCUCGCAUCCCGCCUCCUUCUCGCACCUCCUCAUCGUCCCCCGAGCCACCCUGGUCGUCGUCGAGGUCGCCUGAGCCGUCGCUGACGUUGUUCCAGCCGCCGUCCGUCUCUGCCGUUGACUGCUACAGCCUCCGCCACCACCUUCUUGCCGUUUUUGCACCAACCAGCUGCUCGAGCAGCCCCUUCGGCCCAAGGACAGAGGCCGAAGGUAGCAAGGGCCCUUGGACUUCGAGGCCCGUUUUAGGUCUCUUUCGAGCCUUGGUUGAUGUCGACGUAGGCUUGGUUGUCGCCCGCUUUCGCAUCGCCGUCGCAGUGAACUCAUCGGAUAGCUAAACCGGUGAGUUUACUUGCUACACUCUGCUGAGGGAGUUAAUGAUGCUUAGUGGAUAAUUAGUUUAGGCUAAUUAAGGAUUAGGUGGUUAGUUAGUGUAAAUUAGUGAUUUAAUUAUUCAAUUGUGCAUGUUAAAUGGUUAGAAUUGAUUAAUUAGAGGCUAAAGAGGUAGUGCUAUUUAUCUAGAUAGGUUCGGAAAUUUUCUAGGCCCGUUUAGGUGAUUAGAUUAGCAUUUCCAACCUAAGAUGGUAUUUAUGGUAUUUAAAUUGCAUUAUUUAAUUAAUUUUGGUAUUUAUUUAAUUAUUUAAUAUUUUUCGAAAAUUAUACCGGGAUAGCUAGUGAUCGAAAUUUCAUGCUGAUUGCAAUGGUGUGCUUAGUUUAUACAAUUGAGUGUUAAUUUGUGCAAAUUGAGUAAUGAUUGUAAUUUUGGUUAAUUAUUCCAAAAUUGCAAAAUUUUGAUAUUUAAUUAGAAAAUCUCGAGUGUCGGGACUUGACACCGAAAAUAGUUUUAAAAACUAUAUCAAUCAGUGGGAUUUUAAAAGGAAGGAUAUCAAUUUUUCUAGUUCAAAUUGACCGUGUACCUAUACACAAUUAUUUUUAUCAUAUUUUUUAAUACAAAGAAAUCAGGCCAAGUCAUUAUUUUUAUUGAGGCAUUUGAGUGCAAAGCACAAUGUACUUGGCUAGGAUUGAUUGAUCGUGUGAUGGCUAAGUAAACCCAUCCCCGAUGUGCAUCGAUAGGAUGUUGCCCCUAUAUGGGAUGCCCCUGGACAACGGAAGCCGAUUGCAAUAGAUUCUGGACCGAUGCUCCUUCGGGAAUGUUGUUCCCGAUGUGUGUCGAUGGAUGUUGCCGUGCUCAAAGGAGUGAAACAAAGCCUGGCUACGCCAAAAGACCGAUGUGCGUUGGUAGUUCAUGCUUGUGCGAGCAAUAAUCAAAUUGGAACGUGUGAUUGAUUGAAAUUGACGCGUCGGAUUAUGAGACAAAAUUGUGUGACACAGUAUGUGAUGUGUCAUAACGAUUUGGUCUUAUAAUCGGGACCCUUGGAUCGAUUGUAUCAAUUGUAUUGAUUGCAUCAAUGGAACUGAUUGAUUGACCGAUUGUAUGGAUUGAAUUGAAUUGAUUGAUUGAUUGAUUGAUUGAUUGAUUGAGUAUAUGAAUUAUAUUGACAUACAAGAGGGAAUUGAGGUGAGGUAAGUCCUCUGUCUUGUGUGCAUAGACUGUCUCUAGGCGUAUCUCCUUCCUAGUCGGAGUUUAAGGGUUGAACUUGCUGAGAUUUUGUCUCACCCCGUCAUGGGCUCAAUCUUUUCAGGUCCUUAGAUGGCGGCCCCGCCAGUUCGUUACGGUUAGCCUCGGAGGGUUAUGGAGCUGGUUACUGACUUCCCUAUUCCUAGAGGCCAUGGGGUCUGGGUCUACGAGCUCAUAGUGACCACCGUAUGGGUCGAUGAAGGCCUACCUAAGAGGGUACCUCAUUGAUUUAGGGUGUGGUUUCACUGCGGGCUCAAUGGAUACAGAGUUAGUCCCCUCCAAGAUUUUGAGGUCCCAGCUGCAAUAGUAGACGCCGCUUUUGGCGAGGGUACAGCUGACCAUCCUGAUGGUGCUAUAGUGGACUCGGCGCCAUCGAAGCCUGUGGAGUCCGAAGGGUCAGUGAACAUGUCCGACUAGGGGGUCGUAGGAUAGUUUCCUUUUUGAGGGCUGAUCUUUUUGGUAGAUAGACUUUUGUAUAUAAACGGGGGUGUUUAUAAAAGCGUGUUUUGGUUGUGAAUUUGUUAUCCUGCUUUUCUAUCCCGUGUUUGUUGCUGUUAGGGGUUAUCGUUUCGCUUCCGGAUAUGCAUUAAAAUGAAUGGGUCGGUGACGCGUCCUAGGACGUCGUAGUUUCAUUGACCACCGAAGGAUGUGCACUCGCUUGGAGUUUCGAGGCGUGACACAUAGGAAGCGAGGUACACUACUCUUUAUUAGAAAAUUCUCCUAGCAUCAAUUUGAGUUAACAUUGAAUACCCAAACGUCGUGUGAGGUAUGGGUUGGGGAGAGCCUACGCCUAAUCAAGGGCCAUAGGCCCAUCUUUUAGGCAACACCUCUAAACCUAUUGUCAUUUCUCCUUCGGAUGGAAAGGGUAGGUUGCAACAAUAAUAAUAAAAAAAAAAGUCAAAAUUUCACAAAAGCUUGUGAUCUAGUCUAUCACAUUUUAGCAAGUUCUCUGCCAAGUAACUAAUUAGAGGAGAAUAAUUAGCACAAACUUUGAGAGUUCGUCAAAUUUAGUAAGGGCCUAUUUGGCAAUUAGCUACAUAAUAACUAUUUAGAGCAAAAUCAAGAAGUGAAAAAAAAAAGUUGCUUCUUUGCUCUUGGUCUUCUUCUCCUUCUCCUUGUUCUCCUUCUCCUUCUUCUCCUUCUCCUUCUGCUUCUCCUUCUCCUCCUUCUAUUUCUCCUCCUCCUCCUCCUCCUCCUCCUCCUCCUUCUUCUUCUUCUUCUUCAUGGCGAGGCUACCUUAACUAGCCGUUCUCCUCCUUCUCCUUCUCCUUCUCCUUCUUCUUCUUCAUGGCAAGGCUACCUUAACUAGCCGGGCGACGCCAACCUCGUAAUGGCGGGGUGAAAUCGAGCCUCGUCGGUGGUUGGGCGAGCUUGGCCUCUCCCAACCACGGUGAGACUCAGGCCAACGAGGCUAUGGCCGAGGUUGACAACUAGUUAGAUGAAGAAAAAGAAAAAAAGGCAAAAAAAAAAAGAAGAAGAGAAAAAUGUGAUAAAAUCAUAAACUAAAAGAAAUCCUAAGUCAUAACAAAUUUAAGAGUCGUACCAAAUGCAUUUCUAUCCUAGAAAUAGAAUUUUUGUUCAAUUACUAAAUGUCGUUAAAUGCUCCAAAAUUCGUCCAGGAAACAAAUUCAGAAAAAAUUAUUUCUUAGCAAACAUUUUUUUCGGGAACAGAAUGAUUACUAAACACACUCUAAGUCGGCCAAUAUCAGUUUCAUUCACAAUUUGUCCCAUCCUCUCGCAUGUCAUAAUUUUUCAGUUUAGUGGCGGGGCAAUGUCCAGGCCAGUUGUCGAUGUGUAUCUUUUAUGAUUUGGAUUUAAUUUUCAUGAAGGAACUCAUUAUAUCGCAUUGGAUUAAUUGUGCUAGCUUUAUGUUGCGUUCAUUUCUCUUCGCUGCAGUUUUCCUAUCCUAAUAUUGAUAAUAUUUCGACAUUUUGAACUCAUCAUUAAUAAGGCAAUCACGAGGCACGACCAUCGAAACUCAUAUAUUUCAUGUUUUCCAGAUUUCCCUCUAGAAAAACACGUAAUCGCAAUGAUUAAUAAUUAAAUUUUAAUAGAAGAAGAUAAACUCGCUUAUCACUUAUCUAUAUACGUAUUAAGAUCCAUAACACAGACCUUAUAUAAUGUCAUAGGAGUGGGUUUUGAUGGGCAUGCGAUGUUGGAGAUGCCGUUUCUCAUCCGAACAUCACUUUCUUCAUUUUCAAUUGUACCGUCUCUUAGUGUUUUAGGAGACGCCAAGUAAAGUCCUUUCUAUCAAGCAUAUUUUAACAGCCUCUCUGCUAUAAAUGGCCAUUAGAAUACCAGACUACACUAACCAUCCCCCCAUAUUGUCACCACUACGCCAGAAGACCACCGAACGUCGAAUAGAUCGUGCCCUUUGGGCCGUGAUAAAAUUGAAGCUCAUAAUUGAGUGUCUUAACCGCGCCUGAUUAUGGGACAAAAUCGUGUGGCGUGGUAUGGGACAUGUCAUAACGAUUUGGCCUUAUAAUCGGGACCCUUGUGUUUAUUGAGAUAUAAGUUAAGGCGUUCCAAUUGAUUGAGUUUUAUUACGGCUUAUGUCUAUGAUAGGAACCAUACUAAUAUGCAGGGAGAAUCUGAGAUGAGGUGAGUCUCUAUGGUUGUGUGGUUGUGUGGUUAGGUCGCCUCUAGGCGUAUUUCGUCACUAGUCGGGGUUUGGGGGGUGAACUUACUGAGACGUUGUCUCACCCUGUCGUGGACUCAAUCUUUUCAGGUCCUUAGAUGGUGGUCCCUCUAGAACGUUUUGGUCAGCCUCGGGCUAUUACUGAGCAGAGUAUAGGCGUCCAUGUUCCCAAAAUUCAUUGGGUCUAUGAGCUGGUUGUGACCACUGUCUGGGUCGAUGAAGGCCUACCUCAGAGGGUACCUCAUCGAUUUAGGGCGUGGUUCCACCAUGGACUCAAUGGGUAUAGGAUAGGCCCCCUUCAAGGAUUUGAUAUCCCUGCCGUUACAGUCAACGCCUCUUUGGGCGAGGGUGCAGCUGACCCUCCUGAUAGGGUUGUGGAGGACCUGAAGCCCCUAGAACCUGUGGAGGUGGAGUUCGAAAGAUCGAUGAAUGUGUCCAACUCGUAGGUCGUAAGACAAUUUAUUUUUGAAAGCCGAUCUUUUUGUAGACAAACUAGUUUGUAUAUAAAAGUGUUUGUGAAACUUGUAUUCUGCUUUUCUAUCCCAUAUUGUUUGCUGUUAGGGGUUUUGUUUAUAUACUUCCACAUGUGCAAUAAAAUGAAAGGGUUGGUGACGCGUCCUGGGACGUCGCAAUUUUAUCGACCACCGAGCGAUGUGUGCGCACUCGAGGUUCGGGGCAUGACACCUAAGGCCAGCAACCAACUAAAGGAAGAAGAUGAAGAAGAAGGAAAAAGGAAAAAAAAAAGAAAAAAAUGUAAUAAAAUCAUAAAAAAAAAAUUAAAAAUCUAAGUUGCAAAAAGAAUGUCAUGUUAAACGCAUUUCUGUUAUGGUUGCUUUCUUAUGCUUAGAAACUCAUUGAGGGAACAAAAUCAAAAAAAAAAAAAAAAACAUAUCAGACAAGAAAAUUUUUCUAAUAAUAGAACCUAAAUUAUGAAAAUUUUAGGAUUCAAGUGCAUUAUUAUAAAAGUUUUAGAAUUUAUGCUUCAAUUUUUUUUUUUAACCUUAAGUAACUAGUGGCAUUAUGGCUUGCAAAGCGCAAGAAAGUUAAAAGAAUGAUUUUCACAUGAAAAUUACAGAAUUCUCUGCACAAAAAAUUGUAAGAUGAUAAGGAAUAAGAUUUCCACAUUUUGCAUUCCCAUGCUUUCACAUUCUACAACUUGUUUCUACUCUACAUUCGCAUAUUUCAAUUAAUUAAUUAUUCAAUAGGAUAAGUCUACCUAAUUGCUUGAUCCUAAUUGUUGACACAUAAAUUUUGGCGAUCUAGUUAUUUAUUUAUUGCAUUAAAAAAUUAAAAUUAAAAAAUUAAAUUGUACAGCACAUAAUUUUAGGUGCAUUUAUUUAUUAUUUAGUCUAUAGUUGCAUUUGUAUUGGACCAGUGGACGGGUUUGAAUUAAUGGCUCUAAAAUUUAAUUCAAGGAAUCGGACUAACCCCGCAAUGAGAGAGAAUUUGGCCAAGGCCAUGAACAUUGAUAGUGGUAAAAAAUAUCAUAUGGAUUGGAGGGUUGAAUUAAGAAAGAUGAAUUUCUCAGAGGGCAAUCAUAUUAUACUCGUUUGAGUUUUUGGCGAUUGGCAGACAAGAUGAGGAAGAUACUGUCAAUAUUUUGAUGGAAUCAAGCCAGCCACUAGUCUAACUAAAUUGGGAAUGUGAUUUGCGGGCAAAGGGUGAGAAAAAAUUUGAUUCCUGCACAUGUGCAAUUUAAAAAAAAGGAAAGAGAUAAAGAUCAUAAUAUAUUCAGCAUCUACAAAAGGAGCAAAGACCGGCUCUCUUUCCUUGGAAGAUCCUCGGCUACCCUACGUAUAUACAGCAAGACCUAUUAUGAGAGAAGGGCAGGCCACACAAUUGAAAACACACGGCGACAGAAUCUAGGUCAGCCACAAUAUAAAAAUUGUGAGUGAGAGCCGAGAGAGAGGGAGAGAGAGGGAGAGGGGGUCUUCAAGGUCCUGAGCGGCAGCACUUGGAGGACUUCUUUGGGAUCAACAUUCGGCACAUUGGAGAGCACAAACUUGGUCUUCCCAGAGCACUUGCCAUAGACGCACGCAAAGAAGAAGACCAUUCUCGGUGAUCCUCGAGACGUCGAUCUUUGCCUCAGGUGUUUCGUUAGUUUUUUAUUGGCACAGCUCCCCGGUGCAUCUAUUAGGUCUAGCCCCGCUCAGUCCAUCUCGUAGUGCACUUUACGAAAAGACACAAGAAGGAACAAGUUCUUGGGACUCCUCAAGUCCUCAAAGUGGCUGCCGAUCCAUUGUUGAUCCACCGUGAGUCCAGGCCGCUGAUCCCCCAACGAGACCGUGAUUUCUCCUUGCAUCAAUCACUCGAGCAGCCAUUGCACCCUCGACGAUCCACGAUCUGUUGCUUCUGCUGUAUCACAAACCAGCAUACCCUAGGGAUGCUUGAACCCCCCUCACCCUGGUUCAGAGUGAACGAAUACUCCUGCGGAUUCCAUCUAGUGUGACGGUUUCGCCGAGGUCCAGCAAGGCCAAAAUCUCCCGAACAAUGUGAAUAUCUCGUCGUAUUUUCGUGGCCACCGCUUGUGAGCUUGAAGUCCACGGUCAAAAAUAGUUAUCGCUUGAAUAAUUCUGAGUGUUGGAUUGUCUUCUUUUUAAGUUUUAUCCAGAUUUUACUAUUGUGGGCUUUGUGAUUUUGUUUCAUGCAAGCAAAAGAACGGUUUUUUUUUUUUUUUUGGCAAUGAGAUCGCGAAGAAUUCGGAUGCGUGGCGACUAUGGACAGUGGGGAGAAGAAUAAACAGCACAAUGUCACGCUACCUCCCCGUGAGCCCUGUCCACCGUGUAUACCGUCGACCACCUCACACUGAGUCCCUAUUGCUGGCCACCCACUGAGAAUUGCAAGCCACCACGGUUCACGGUCCCAAACCGCGAGCUGCCCGUCGACGUCGACGUCAAGCUCGAGCCAGCAUUGAUCUUCUCUUCAAUCGAGCCAGCAUUGAUCUUCUCUUCAAGCCGAUCCGUUGAAGUUUUUACUUUGCAGGUUCAGUGGCUGUGACCCACCCGCAUCCCUGCUCACCAACCUCCACCAUCAAGUGCUGCAACCCUUUCUUGGUCAUCUGUCGAGUGGAUUCCGUUUGGUUCAAAUUUGGUGACAUUAUUGGCGAAAUUAGGUAAUUAUCUUAUCUAAAUUUGAUUUGGGUACUUUAUUGCCUAAUACGUGCUUUUCAAUAUCUUACGUGCAUAUUUGAAUUAUAGGCGUAUUCCCAAUUAUGAUUUAUUGCCCAAUCCGCAACCACAACUGCACGUCAAUUUUUUAUUCCAUCUAUAAGGCUUUAGAUGGAAUAAUUAAUCACGCGAGAAUAAAGUUGAUAUCUUGACCUUUAAGGCUUAAGAUCAAUUUAUUGAUUUUAUUAGCGAAAUAAUCAAGUUUAGUUAGAUAUCGUUUCCAAAUUCGAACGAUGGAAAAUAUCUUUGAUGACCGUGAAUGAUUUGGUGCUUAUCUUUUAAUUGUUUUGUUUAUCUCAAAAAUACAAAAAAAGAUUGCAUUUGCAUAUCAUGUAGAUUAGAAUUGAUUUCCUAGAUAGAAUUGCAUGAUAGAAUAGUUAGAUUCUUUUAUGAUUAUAUUAGAAUGCAUGUUUAGAUGGUAUGUAGGUUAGAUAAUAUCUUUGAAUUAAAUUGCAUCUCGAGAUAAAUUUCUAAGUUAAGAUAGGAUUCGGAUUAGUAUAUUUUCUAACUUAAAAUAGAUAAUAUCUCACUUUAGUUAGAUUUUUAUUUUAGCAAUUUUUAAUUACGAAUUUUUAUAAAAAAUACAAAAAUAUCAUGCACAUGCCAUAUAGAAUUAGAUUCAUGAAAAACAUGUCAUUUAGUGAUUGUUGCUAGGUCCAUUUAAUUAGAAAUUGCCCAUCAUUAGAUUAGGUCAUUUACUAAAUAUCGCAUGAUAUAUAAUGGGGCGUAAUAGGUUGCAUGUUGCAUGUCAUUUUAGUUAGGCAUUUUUGUACGUCAUUACAUUGCAUUGCAUGUAGUUUAAAUUUCAUUAAAUAAGAGAAAAUCCUAAAAAAGAUUGAGUGAUUGUGUUAUAUCUAGGGUUUUUGAUGUGAAUUUUGAGCUAACAUUGCAGAUGCUUUUGUUGCAACGAGGUAAGUCUCAUAAUUUUUUCAUCACUUUCUUGGGUGUUAAAUUGGUGGUUUGCGCACCCGUAUGAUCACCUCACAUGUUAGGUAAGUAAAUUAAAAUCAAUUCAAGCUACCUACAAAACAUUUUUUCGAAAUAAAAUAGAAAGGUACCGAAAGGGCGUUAGAGAAAUCUAGCGUAACCAAGUCCCCAAACUCACAAUCUCUAGUUCGCAGAGUAAAGUAAAUCUUCCGUUACUUUACUUGGGUUUCUAUUUGACCCACUAAAAAUAGAUUAAUGGCGACUCCUAAUUAAAAGCAAUUGCAUGUUAAGAACUUGAACCUAAGUGCNNNNNNNNNNNNNNNNNNNNNNNNNNNNNNNNNNNNNNNNNNNNNNNNNNNNNNNNNNNNNNNNNNNNNNNNNNNNNNNNNNNNNNNNNNNNNNNNNNNNNNNNNNNNNNNNNNNNNNNNNNNNNNNNNNNNNNNNNNNNNNNNNNNNNNNNNNNNNNNNNNNNNNNNNNNNNNNNNNNNNNNNNNNNNNNNNNNNNNNNNNNNNNNNNNNNNNNNNNNNNNNNNNNNNNNNNNNNNNNNNNNNNNNNNNNNNNNNNNNNNNNNNNNNNNNNNNNNNNNNNNNNNNNNNNNNNNNNNNNNNNNNNNNNNNNNNNNNNNNNNNNNNNNNNNNNNNNNNNNNNNNNNNNNNNNNNNNNNNNNNNNNNNNNNNNNNNNNNNNNNNNNNNNNNNNNNNNNNNNNNNNNNNNNNNNNNNNNNNNNNNNNNNNNNNNNNNNNNNNNNNNNNNNNNNNNNNNNNNNNNNNNNNNNNNNNNNNNNNNNNNNNNNNNNNNNNNNNNNNNNNNNNNNNNNNNNNNNNNNNNNNNNNNNNNNNNNNNNNNNNNNNNNNNNNNNNNNNNNNNNNNNNNNNNNNNNNNNNNNNNNNNNNNNNNNNNNNNNNNNNNNNNNNNNNNNNNNNNNNNNNNNNNNNNNNNNNNNNNNNNNNNNNNNNNNNNNNNNNNNNNNNNNNNNNNNNNNNNNNNNNNNNNNNNNNNNNNNNNNNNNNNNNNNNNNNNNNNNNNNNNNNNNNNNNNNNNNNNNNNNNNNNNNNNNNNNNNNNNNNNNNNNNNNNNNNNNNNNNNNNNNNNNNNNNNNNNNNNNNNNNNNNNNCAUGUACAUCGUUGUAUAUGUUUUUUACAGAUCUACCAAAAGUGCAAGCAAUAAUUUUAACAAAAACUAGCCUUAAUCUAUCAGAAAAAAGGAAAAAAAAAUGCAAUCGUCAAUCUAUCGAACAUGAUCAAAACAGGGCUUGAAAUAAUAGUUGACAAAGGUCUUACCAUGAGGGGUCGGCUUGCUGCAGAAAUAAAAGUUGAAUAAUAUUCUAGACCUCAUCACUUCACUCCUUUUGUGUGAUUGUUGGACGUCGAAGCGACAGUGUUGAGUGAUGGUCAGUGUAGAGAGCACCCCAUUCAGAACUUCCAUUUUACAAUCUAUCCUCUCGAAGCAAAAGGCCCUGUGCAGGUGAGUAUUUUGGAUAACUCUUCGUAACAGAGUGAUUGGGAUUAGAUUUUAUCUAAUUUUAAAUUCCAUAUUCAAAUUAUUUUAAGUUACCUAAUCCCAACACUUUCUCUUUGUUCAUAAAAACUUUAAGAGGGAAAAAGAUUCAACUUUUUCAUAUCAUAGAAAAAAUCUCUUGAUAGCCUUGUCGAUCAUAGGGUCUAUCUCCAUCGGGUUUAUCGACAAGAAGAAACAUGCUUUGAUCGUAUUUAUGAUACGAAAAUCUAAAUGAUAUUAUUAAAAGUGUAUUUUUAGUUAAACACUCAGUGAAAUCAGUUUAUUGAAUUUUUUUAUAGAGGCUAAAAAUCUAAUAUAUCAUAUCAAAUUGACUUUAAGCACAUUAAAUUCAUUCAUUUUUAAAUGAAAAUGUUCAUCUUUCUCAAAUAAUAUUUUGAAAGCUUUGUCAAGAGAAAAGUAAAAGUAUAGGAAAAUCAGUGGGUCAAUGGGUAAUAUAUGAUAAUAAAAGUGCUCUUUGCUCAUUAAGUGCAUUCAGUUUUAAUGAGUUUAGAGCAAAAUUUCUCGAUAAAAACAAGUACAACUGACUGAAAUAUUUAAGAGGAACCUUUUAAAAUGUUAUUAUAAUUACAAACGUCACAUCUAAAAACAUAUAAAUUUAAAGUAAUAUAUAAAAUUAAUUUGUCGAGCAUGAGAAAAUAGUAAUGUUAAUCAAUUCUUAGAAAUUUGACUUUGUUACGACAUGUGAUAUUAUAUAAAUUGAAAAAAGAAUGAAGGUGAACAUGAUUGAAUUGGUGUCUAGCCUGCAAGAAAAGGUUGAGAAUAUUAAUAUCUAUGCUUUAGUACUAAAAUUGUUGGCUCUUCUGACUACUACAGAGUUACAUGCUAUUUCUAAGAAGUUACACGCAUCCAAAUAAAAGAGGAAGGGAAAAUAUUUAAGCGAUAGAAUUUUUUGUUAUGAUAGUAAGAAUGGGGACAUUUUUUUAAAAAAGGAUUUGUAAUGUUAAAAAUAAAUAAAUACAUCAAAAUAACAUAAGUAUGCUAAAAUGAAUCGGCAUGGGCAUCCAAAUUUUUUACAAGCAAAUUGUUGGCAACCCAUUUUGCUCUAUAGUAUGCGAACAUGUGAUUUGGUUGACGGUACCUUUUGUCUUUAAUUGUACCUAAAAUUCGGGUUCAUUAAGUUCUUCUCCUCUAGUCACCAUAACAUGUAUUACAGUCACACACUUGAAUAUGUGUGUGUGUGUGUAACUAAUUAUAUAAAAAGAAUAUCUCUCUUGGAAAAUGGUUCAAACUGAAGGAAAGUUUAAUUGAGUACUUUUUUUUUAGACAAAUAAAUCGACAGGAGUGUUAAGUUUAGAAAAGUACUUAGUCAAAUUAAAACAUACAGAAAAAUAUCGAUAUGACCAGGUUAAAGAACACACUAAUAUAGGGAAACUGUUCUUAAAUAUAGUUAUCAUCCUAUAUAACAACAAAUAUUCGAGAGGCCGUGAAUGGUAAUGUGAAACGAAGAGUAGCGUCAAUUAGUAAUGAAGAGUUCUCUAGUUGAAUACCUCAACUAAAUAUGAGUACUUUGUAUUUGAUGUAGUGAAUUUCCAAGCUAUUAAAAAUAGUUAAUCAAUUGAAUUCUUGAAAAACUUAUUGGUAAAAUACAAAAUAAAUAGAUUAGGAUCAAGCAAUCAGGUAGACUUGUCUAUUGAAUAAUUAAUUAAUUGAAAUAUGCGAAUGUAGAGUAGAAACAAGUUGUAGAAUGUGAAAGCAUGGGAAUGUGAAACGUGGAAAUCUUAUUCCUUAUCAUCUUACAAUUUUGUGUGCGGAGAAUUCUGUAAUUUUCAUGUGAAAAUCAUUCUUUUAACUUUCUUGCGCUUAGCAAGCCAUAAUGCCACUAGUUACUUAUAUCUUACCUUUACCAAAAAAAAAAAAAAAAUGCCACUAGUUACUUAAGGUUAAAAAAAUAAAAAAUAAAAAUUGAAGCAUAAAUUCUAAAACUUUUAUAAUAAUGCACUUGAAUCCUAAAAUUUUCGUAAUUUAGGUUCUUUUAUUAGAAAAAUUUUCUGGUCCGAUAUUUUUUUUUUUUUUUUUUUCUGAUUUUGUUCCCUCAAUGAGUUUCUAAGCAUAUGAAGGCGACAAGAGUAGAAAUGCGUUUAACAUGACAUUCUUAUGCUUCGGCAUUCUUACCACUGGACAAGGCGAUCAUCCACAGCAAGGCUACCUUCUUCUUCGUGGCGGUGUCAUGCAUCUCAUGGUUUCUCUUCUACAAAAUAAUGCCGGAGACUCGAGGCCUGACAUUGGAGGAGAUAAUCCAAUUUUUCGGAUCAUUUUUCAAUUGGAAGCAGCUGGCCAGGGACAUAGCCUUGAGAAGGUCCACGCCAUUGAGGAUGCUAGGGACGCAAGUGGCUCAAACAUAGUUGCAGGAGCAAUUAUAAGAUAGGGGUGUUAGGUUAAAAUAAAUGUUUGUUAGGCUAUUACUCUUUGAAAGAGAUUAUGUUCGUGAUUGAUUAUGGAUUGUGCUGGGUUUGAGGGUUGUGUAGAGAGCAGGGACACAUACACAUCAUGAGAAACCUUUGACAUACCCAUAUCUUCCCAUUGAAAUGGAUGAUUUUAUUUUCUCAUAGUUUCAAAAUGGUGAAUGGGUUCACUGCUUUAAGAGGCUUAUGUAUUGUCUAUAUACGUAAGCAUCUUAUAACAAUAUCGAUAAGGCGUCUUGUUGUGUAUUCAGAUAAUGAAUCUUUUUAUUAAGCCGACAGAUAGAUGAGCUUUGUUCUGUUUUUUCUCUUACCCCAUAUGCCUUGAGCUUAAAAUGUUCACUACAGUGAGCAGAAGUAUGUUCAAAGUAUUAAAAAAAAAAUGCUGCUGAAAGUAGCCUACCAAUCCUAAAAAAUAUGCUGCUUCCAAAGAGAGAAAGGGUUUUAUGCAUGUGUCACGGGCCAAUCGAUUGGGAUCGUGAUCGUGCAGUGACUUAGGCACUUUUGGAUCGCCUAAGCCAAGCCUUACUCGAUCGAUCGCACACUCGCUCGCUUCACCUGGAUCGUAGAGAGAGAAAGUUUCUAGAGAGAGAAACUCUAGAAAGAAAUGAGCCUUUGUAUUGCUGAAAUGGUUGGAUGGAUACAAAUGAGGGGGAGGGCACCCCUUCUUAUACUAGAGGCCCUCUGAUUACAUCCAUUGAUUGGCUUUUCAUCUGGUGGACGAGAUCGCACCGCCAAACCUACCAACUACCGACACUAAUGAGAGGAGAAUUCUAGAAUUUGGCUCAAUUACCGUAUCGCCCGCCUUUGAGAUGUUCCGGAAGAAGUCUUGUUGGGAAUCCUAGCGACUGUAGGAGGUCCUCCAUGGAAAGGCACGGCCCUUUAGUUGCAGAAACCUCUUGGCCGUGACACAUGCUUGCAGGAGUUGUGGGUGUCUCUCGACUCCGGUUGUCUUAUAUUUACAUAUGUUUUGACUGAGGAAGUGGCAGGUUUAUAUUUAUGAUGGGGACCUCCAAUAUUGACCUCGAAGCUUCCACAUAAAUCGAUCCAAAAGUACUUCUCUAAUCAAUAGUCCUAACCAGGAAGCAAAUGUUGAUGGCUGGUGAAGGUUGUUCAUUAGUUCCCAGGAUUCCUCCAAGUCGGGAGUUUCUAAUGCUGAAGCAAAUUCAUUAGUUUUUCCAUGUGAAACUUGAGAAGCUAUAUCUUAAUAGGCACUGGGUUCAAUAUUCGACAUGAAGAAGAUGAAAUUACAAUUUUCUCCUUUCCCGGAUGAUGUAGGGGAUGACAUUGUCCCUAUUUCUUUUAUUAUUGAAGAAGAGAACAUUCUUAAAUUGUAGUCCCUACAUAUUGAGCUGAAUUGAGAAGAAAACAGUAUGGCAAAUCUUGUUCGAGGGAAAGACGGACAAAAAUGGUACUCCUACUAGGUAUUUAAAAUAUGAAUGACGUGUGAAGUAGUCCUAUCUUCUAUCCCUUCCAGCUUGAGUAAGCUUCUUUCCUCUAAUGCAGUUCACGAUGUGACUAUUGGCUACAAGUACCAUUGUCCAUCUGUCAUGGAUGAUUCAUUGCUUGGUUGAUGAAGACAUUCUACUUCAAGGACAAGAUUUUCAAGAACUUCCAUUCUAAGGGCCAUAUAUAUUCCUAAACCAAGAGCCAAAAGGAGCUCUUGAUGGUGAAGUGCCUUCUGAAUGCUCUUGGAAUUAUCUUCUUGACCGUCAUAUGUACAUAUCUCUUGCUAUUUUCAUCCAUCUGAUUUCUAAGGGCAUGUCUCUUGUUGGUGCACAACUAACGUCUACAACCUAUUUUAAAAUUCGCCCACGGCCAAUUGCUGGCUCUGGGAAAGCUAUCAUUACUUGCAAUUUUGCCAAGCAUUGAUCAGGAAUAAUUACGUGUCUACAAUUUCUUCAUUAAUUCUUCUCAACAUGAAACUUGUCUUUAGAUGUCUGGAUUUACUAAUAAUUUUGUUGAGGAGUACUCUUUUAUGAAUGAGGAACAUUGGCAGGAUGUGUUUUCUUCUCAUAGAUGAUAUCGUUUUGCUAAGUUGCUGCUCUCUGUUCUUUCGUUUGGUUUAUGCAGCUUUCAUCUUCUGUCAAACUCGGAUAGACAUUUGUCAUGCACAUAAUGAGCUCUAGACACAAUUCAAUGAAAAUUUAACUGUUUUAUCCUAGCUACUAACUUUAGCUUUUGGGAAGAACCUGAACCGUACCAUUUCUAUCAAAGAAAUGUUGACAAGAAUUAAUGGAGGAAGAAAAGUUUGAGAAACUGGGCUCCCGUGGGAACCUUGCAGUUUAUAAAGCAAACUCAUGGGUAACAUUAAAAAAAUAUAUGAGCAAAUACACUAGAAAGUAGAAGUCCGUACAAGAAUCCGCAUUAAACCAGGAAUUGAAGCACUGCCCCCUUCAAUAACUUUCAAUAAAAAGUGGUAGUAUACAACUUCGGACUUGCUCAGCCAUGUUUAAUCACUGGACAGCUUGCCUUCAUUACACUUUCAAUAAUGGCUCCAUUGCUAUUGGUCCAAGCAUCGGCCUGCUACAAAUUGUAGUCCUAGAAACAGAAGAUUAUGGAUAAACAGAUCAAUUAGAGUUAUUGCGAAUGGAUGAUGCUAACAGGCAUAAUUCCUUUCUUAGACGUUCCUGAGCAUAUGUAGUCAAUACAAAUAGCUUGUGGCAAAUGAGCAGCACUCGUUCCUAUUGUCCACCCUAAGUGACAACAAUUUGAACCAACCUAGUAAGGAAAGUAUAGAAUCGAUCUUCGCACAUCGUUAAUUUUCUCCAGAAGAAUAGUAAACAUGGCUUAGCUGCAUCAGGGAAUAUUACAAGAGUCUCAACCCAAAAAUCCUUCAAAGCUUUACCAUCCAAAUCAAGAGAUGAUGACUUCUUCAUCUUGAAUCUUGUGAUGGCUCGAUAAAUUGAUAGUUUUGCAUUAAGCCUGGCUUUCAAAAUUGGACCCUGUUCAUUCCAGUCCCGCUUUCUUAUAUGUGCCUAGAACCAACAAUUCAACAAUUGACUGCUUUUGCUAUCAAAUUGUAUCAAAUUUAAGCUGGGAAACCUAUAGCUAGAGCAAGAACUAAACCAUGAAGGGCUGCCCGAAUACUUCUGCCGAAAAAACAUCAAUUGAACUCCAUUGUUCUUACAGACAAGUCAAAUUUUAUCAUGGAAACAUAACAAGGACCAAGAGACUGCCAUUUACAAGAAAAGAAGCGGAAAGUCUAGAAAGAAAGGGCACCGCACCGCGUCACCAAAACUUACCUUAAAUAUGCAAGCAUAGAUUGGACUUGCUUCCUUGCCAGUCAUCUUACCUGCUCCGACAACAACUUACCUCAAAGGAAGCAACUUGCUGUCUGAACAAAGCUGCAACUCCAGCCCCAUUGCAGUAAAACUCCCACGAUGCUCCCUCUUUUUUUACCCUUAGGCCGUGACUCAUGAGCAUCCUUUAAGGAUGUACUAAAAAGAAAAUAACAUGAAGUUUUAUGCCUCGCAUGUUUUGUUUUGUUGCAUGAUUUGACCCCAUCAAAAGUUAAAAGGCUUGUGCUCAAAAUGGACCGGGUGUGGUCUACGAAUGUGAUGUGCAAGUGGCAUUUUCCGGUUCAAGGUUUUCGCUCUCAGUCUCUCUCCGUCCCUCUUUAUUUAAUCAAAGCGAGCUGGUGGAUAAGUCAACGAUGAGGCUAGUCCCUUAUGUACAUAAUCGAAUCACACUUUUAAAUCUUCUAAUUAAUUCGAUCAGAUGUUGCAUUUUUAUAAACAUACACAUAAUUAAGCCCUAAAUAUUUUAAUCGGCUCGAUUACGUCCAAAAUUUAUGUUGAAAAUGUAUAAUUUAAGGACUUAACGUAGCAACAAGUUUUAGGUGACAUUCGGAUAAUUUGAACUAAAGGUUCUAAGUGACACUCAGACAAUUUUUCCUUUCUUGCGGUUCCAAUACGGCUUUUAGAUGAACCAUAUUCUUUCGUUUUGCUCUUUUACUUCGUGCCCAUCUCCCUUUAAUUUUCUAAGGUGUUUUAUAAAUGGUUUAAAAAUUAGAGAAUUUUAUUAAUUUAAGAAGAAAUUCAUAAAUGGUCUUUGUGGUCCUUUAUGCAUUUGAUUUGGCUUUGAAAUGAAUCAAACGUGUUCUAUCUUCUACAUGUAUAUUUCAGGUCCUACUCUCUUUUUUUCUUUUUGGAUGUAACAACGUCAUCUAAUCAACAAUUGAAAUUAACUUCAAUAUGUGACGCAAGUGUUCAAAUAGGAGAGAAUUGAAGGGGGACGAAAUAUUAAAGUGUCGGAUACAAAUGGCAAUUAUCGCCUUUUUGUUUGACCUUUUCGAGUCCCAAUUUACAUCAACUUUGCCAAAAUAUAUUUCGAAGCCAACAAAACAUAGAACAAGUUUUCUACAUUCCUAUCUAAUAAUUUCCGUUUUUCUUGCCCAUUAAUUGUUGAAAUUUUAGGGUAAAAUUCUUCUGGCUUUAUGAUAAGUUUAAAAUGACAUUCACAUUUUAUCUUUAUUUAUUUAUUUAACAUUCAUCAGUUCAUUUGAAUUCAUUACUAUUUGAUAGUGAUCUAUGAAUUAUACAACUGAGACCGUAUCCAUAAGGCAUUUCAAAAGUAUCUGAAAAUGGACAUAUUGAUGGGUGCAAAUUGAUUCAACCCAUGGUUUUUAGUCUAAAAAUUAUGUAUAUCGUUCUCCCAAGCUCCCAUUAUCUUAAUUGCUUUUAGCAAAAUGGAAAUCGGGAAAAAAAAAAGGUAGGAAAAAAAACUGACACGUUAUAAACAAGUUUGGAAUUUGGGCAGCAACCCUCAUUAGCUUGCUAAUGACCCGAUUCGGGUAAUCAUUGCAAGUUGGACGCCACACAUGUCGGGCUCUGGUUUUGCAUCUAUUCAAAUUCGCCUCAUCCAUUUCUGAAAAUCAUUUCGCAUCUUAUAAUGGCAAAAAUGCGCGAGCAAAAGGACUACCUUACCCCUCACGCAGCAGAUAUAACGAGAAUAAACUUCCUUCCCCAGCAAAACAAACCCACUUAUCACCCACCCUGCCAGUGUCCACUCCCCUGGCACCAUCUUCGCAAGCACUACUACCUUCACUGUCUUCUCCUCCUCUGAUGGAGUCGUCAUUCAAAUGCUAACUCAGUGACAUCCCAAAUUUCACCGACCUUCAUUAGUGUAAUUAGAUCAUGAGGAACUUAGAUUAAUUAGAUUGGGCCAGAAAGUGAACUCGAUGGAUCGUGAGAAAUGUGUGGGCUUUAGAAGUAAAUGGGCCACACGAAUUGGACUUGAGAAGUCUAAUGAGAGAUGAUGGGCUUGGACUUGGCUUGAAGCGGGCCAAGGUUCGGAAUUAUCAGAUUUGUAGAUUUAGUUUAGUGGGCCGGAAUUAUUAUAGAUUAAGCCUGUUGGGCCAGAGACGAAUAUUUAGGCCUGAAUGAUUUUAUUUUAUAGAUUAUAGUUAUGAUAACUUGAUUAAUGUUUAUAAUGCUAAUAUCAAUUUCUAACUUUAGCAUUUUUGUGAUGAAUUCUUUAUAGACUAACAUUGACUAGUCGAUAUGUUAUAUGUUAUGUCAUGACUUUGUAUAAUCAUAAAAGAAUUGAAAUCAAGUAGAAACAAAAGGAAAUUAAUUGAAAGACAUUAGAAACUAAUGAACCGACUAAUGACAUGGAUUAGAAAUAAAUUGAAUUUGACAUCAAACUUGGAGGCCACGACACUUCUCUCUCUUCUCUCUUUGUUUUUUCCUCAUCACCCACGGUUUUGAUUCCCACGAACCGAGACAUGCAAACUCAAGGAACAUAAUCAUUAGCAAAUUUCAUCAUUACUCUAGCCUAGGGAUUAGCUUGUAGAUCUAUUUUCCCCCUUAAGUUUCGUAACCCUCUCUCUCUCUCUCUCUCUCCAUAUAAAAACCGAGAAACCCAUCUUCAUCUUCUUCUUUCUGUUUUUCUCUCGGUCGAGCAGUGAAACCAGAAGCAAACCAACUACCUUCUUCUUCUUGCAUGCGAGAUUUUGGUGUUGAUCUUGAAGCAUCUUUGUGUUGUUUAGUAGCUGAAACAGGGUAAGGAAAGAUACAACUCUAAAUUAAAAGUUAUCCAUUAUUUUGUCAAGGAAGCUUGAUGAUCUAACCAAACAGUGAAGGAGUUGGUUUGUAGUUGCUGUUUUGUGGUUAAUCUAAGCUUAGUAAGUGUUAGAUUGAAGGUAGAAGCCAUUGCAUGUUACUUUUGAGUCUUGCAUGUUUCGAAAUUAAAGUGGGAGUGUGAUGUUUUGCUGAGUGAAGUGAUGAAAUGGAUGCCGAGUGGAUGGAUGUGGUGUAUACUAUGAUGAGUGAACUCACGAAUGCAUUUAUACUUGAGCCGAGCUGCGAAAGGAUUCUUUGUUGAGAAAACUUGCUAAAGUUACUCUUAGUUGCUGUGAUUAAGUAAUGAAGUGUUGUAGAAGAGACUUGUGGAAAAAUAAAUGGUUUGGUCGGGCUAGGAGUGAGAAAAAUCGUGUAUACCUAUUCUGUUCUAGGAGAAAAUGGUUAGAGAGUCUUCUGUUUUGUGUUAUUUUCUUUAUGUAUGUUAAUGAAAAUAAGAUAGGAGCCAUUCUACAUAAUAAAACAUCCAUUAGAUUGAAUUAGAAACCUAGCUAUAACCAUACGAAUAUAUAAAACGUAGAGAUAGAAGUGAACUUAGUAAAACUAGUAAACUGUUCUUGUGAGAAACGGUUUGACCUUUAUUGAUUAUACGAGUUUUCUGUAUUUACCUAGCUAGAAUUGGAUUGAAUCCUCAAUGAAAAUUAUAGAACACAUAUUAAGGAAUAACAUGUCAAAAUUUGAGAUUAAAAGGAUAAGAAUUGGCUAGUAAAACAAUUUUCUUUGUAGAUAAAGAAUAUGGACGUCGAUACAGGGUGCCAGUAAAGAUUAUGGAAAUUGUUACUCUUAAUAAAGUGAGAAUUAGACUUAAGUUUCUUCACAGGAAUUGACAGUAUAUAUCUUAAAUAUAACAUACUAAAAUUUGGUAGUAUUUCGACAAGAAUUAAUAUACCUUCUGUGUCUGAAACCGAAACUGUACAUUUAGCUAGUAAACUGUCUGGACCCGAGAACAUAUACUAGAUGUUGUGUCUUUUCUAUUAGACUUGUAUGACACACAUAGAGUCUAGUAACCUCCUAAUAGAUGUUGGUUGUGUAAGAGUAAGUCUCAUAUAUCAUUUGAGGUGUAGGUACAUAUAGUAUCAUGUGUGUGCAAUGAGUGCGGUGCAUAGUGCUUAAUUAUGGGGUAAAUAUCUGUUCGGCAUGGAAUGGGACAUGUCUAAUGGGUUUUAUCUUAUAAUUUGGACACGCACGUGUGCUAGGUUCAUGAGAGUUAGAUAUAUAGUUAGAUACUUUGGAGUCUUUUCUUUUGCAUACAAUAAAUGCAUUAAUCAAAGGUGUGGUGGUGGGAAACGUGUGCAUAAGUGAGUGAAUGAACCCAUCGGUACAGAGAUACCGGUGAUGACCCCGGAAGUUUGGGAUGCCCUUGCCGAGUCGUCUUGGAUGCCUCGGUAGAGAGAUACCGGGAUGCCUCGGAGUGAGAUGCCCUUGUGUGUGAUCAAGGAUGCCUUAGUUGUGUGAUACUGAGAUGCCUCGGAGUGAGAUGCCCCUUGCUGAGUGGUCUUGGGAGGACCUUAGUUGUGUGAUACCGGGAUACCUCAGAGGGAGAUGGCCAUGAUAGAAAUAUUGUGGAAGUCCGGAUAAGGUAACUUCCGGAAGUGACUCGAUCGGGCCAGUUGAAUUCCGAUUAGUGAUUGAUCGAGGGUGGAUCAUAUGCUCACUAAAAAUAAUUCUAUUUGGCGAGUGAGUCCAUUUAUUAUUGUUGCAUUAAAUCUUGAUAUGAGAUUUAGCUUGAGAAAGGUAAGCAUAGAAAUGGAUGCUCAUAAGGUGAUUAUAUACAUAAUGUGUUAAUAUUCAAUUUUUAUGCUUGUGAUACACUUUCUUUAAUAUCCUAAAUUGUUUGAUGAUUCUCUUGUAAUCUUGAUGAUUGUGGAUUGUUUAAGUUAGACUUUUAUCAUUCUUUACUGGGCAAGGUUGUUUGCUCAUACCUUACAUUUUCAGAUUGAUAGCAUGGAUGUACCACCAGUAGCUCGAUAUGGGGCGGUAGUGCGACUUGAUGUUUCUCUUCAUGACGUGUAUGAUCCCGACAUUGACAUGAUUUUCUCCAAAUAUGAGGCGACUUUAUGGCUGGAUGACGGUAGAGCUGACUUGACACCGAUGACAUUCGUUGCAUGGUUUAUCAACCAUGAAGGGGAGAUGUUCGGACCUUUACCCUUUGGAGCAGGAGGACCUGGAGCGGGUAUGGAUGGCGCCUAGAUGCCUUGGAUCACGUAGAAGCUGACUGUCUUCUAUUUUUCUUUUGUUAGAUGUGGGCUGGUGUGGGAACUCGUGGAGUAGAUACCCUCACCCUUUAUCCCUGACUUUUGUUACGCCUGACUUUUGUUAUGUAUAUGUUGUAUAUAUAGGCGAUGAACAUGGAAAGAGUCCAGGUCGAUAAAUUUUGUAAGCCCUAAUGAUGAUGAUAUGAAGAAAUGAAGCUUCUCGUGUUCUUGUUUAUGAUCAUAAAUGAAUUGGCCAAUACUUAAAUUGAAGGUAGAGUGUUUGCAGGAUAACCUCAUAAUAUAAACUUGAGAUUUUAAAUAAUCCAUGUUAUACAUGCUAACCUUCAAUGGUAAACAUUAUAGAUUAGCAAGAGGAGAUUACAAGUUAGACAAGAAGAUAAUAAUAAUUAUAAUUCCGCUUGCGCUUAGUACGUGACGCCCUGGGACGUCACAAACUCUGGAUGAUAGCUUUAACAAUCACACAUUGUGGAAAAUGUCUAGAUCGAAGCUGCGUGACCUCGGUCUGGAUUGUAGUGGAGGUCGUGAUUCUCAUUGAUCUUUGUGUGAGACUUCAAAGAUUUCUGUGACGGUGCCAAAGCUAUGGUGGUCAACAUGCUGAGCGAGGCUACCAGUGUAGUGCCAAUUGAAUACAAGCUGGGUGCGCGCAAAUUGAUUUAUUAUUACGACGAACCGGGCCAAAUGAUUGCUCACAUAAUCAAAUUAGACUUCUCUAUUUUUCACUUGUUUAUUAGUAUCAUUAUCAUUAUUAUUAUUUUGUACUUUUUACUAAACUGUAUGCGUAAUUUGUCAGCAGAAAUUCUGAUGUCCAUAUGAACUAUCGAACGUUAAGAAGCCCAAAACUGAACCCUUGUCUAGACUCAUCCAUUAAUUGCGUACUAAAGGCGGGAAAUAGCGGAUAUGUCAUCCAACAAUAUCUACUCUUUCCUCUAGAAAUCCAUAUCUCGCAUAACCUAAAUUCCACUCAUCAUAAAAUGCAAGUGAUCUUGAACUCUGCAAUAUGAUCAUUACCUAAUUCUUGCUAAGUAUAAUUAGGCUACCAUCUAAAAUUUUAGUUCAAGAUCCUAGGAAGGAUAGGAAAGAAGGAAGAGACUCUCUUAAUCGAAUCACCACCUCGUAGGCCAUUGAAAUUAUAUUAAAAAACGUAUUAUUAUAUUUAGGUAUUGCAAUCCCUACAUAAAUAAGUAUUAGCAUCAUGAUUAUUGACAUAGUUAAUUUGACGUACAUGAUUAUCUUAACCUAAUAUCGUUUCAAAAUUGAUUUAAUAUUUUUUGAAUAACUUUCAAUACCUUUUGUUUUUUCUUUCUGUUAGAAAAACUACUUCAAAUGGGAAAAAAAAAUCGUACCGUUAAUGUAAAGCAAUAUACAAUGGCAUGAGUAAGAGGGUCCAAACGUGGCCGGACCCUCAGCUCGCGUUCAUCCGACAACCAAGCUAACGUCGUCCGUCCGAUGCAUUUGGAGACAGCGAGAGAGAGGGAGAGAGAGAGGGUUAAGGGUCAGAAGACGCCAUGAAGAUUUUCGGGAAGCACGUAUCCUCGCCGCAAAUCGUGCUCUUCAGUUCGUAGGCCAUUCCUUGAUGAAGAGCUUCGCAAAGAACCCGAAGAAGGUGUGAACUGUCCGUAUGCUCAUGAAGCACCUCUUCCUUGCCCUCGACUGCAUCAACGACGAGGAGGUCGUAGGAGAUUACGGAGUAGUCGAAUUCGCGGAUUCCUCUCCAAGGUGCCACUUCGAUUUCCAAGACUGGGUUUUGAUGCAAUGUUCAAGAACGAGCUGGGAGUCGGGCCCGCUUUCGCCCUCCUCGGAGAUGGAUUCUGAUCCGUCAUUCAUUAGAGAGGAUGCUGCCGCGUUGGAGAUCUCGUCGGAUUCUUCAUCGGUGAUGGAUCGGGAUGGUGAGUUGGCGAGCCACGAGAGGCCUAAUUGGGAACACUCCGAGGGUUGGGUGACCGUUCGAUGAUCGGAGUUCGUCCCAAUUCCAAAAGCAGAGUCAGCAUAGCUUGGAACAGAGCAGAGUUCUUGGAUGAUUCUUUUUGUUCAAUCCGAGGGUUCUGAUUCAAUUGAUUCGUUUUCUUUUUCUACGAAUGUGAAUAUUGAUUCGGUUAUCGCAGACAAGAGACGUACAGACAGAUUUUUGGUGAUGCAAUAAAAAUAAAAAAUCAGAUCUUUUUUGCGGCUGCAAUUUUAGUUGUGCAAAGUUUGGCUGAAUGCUCCGCACUUUUUUAGUUGAUGGGCGACUCAUGUGGGGUGCUGAAAAUUUAAACAUAUUAUAAAGCGGCUAAUUGAGUUUUGAAUUUUUGAAUUUAGCCAAUUUAAUGCUAAACAUUUUGAAAAAUUUUCAAUGUGGUCUGUGUUUAAAAAUCGCUAAUAUGAUAGUCCAAUUAGUAUCUCCGUCUGACAUAAUACAACUGACAAUAACAUUGACAAUUUUUUUAAAUUUCCAAGAAAUUUAUGUUUUUUUUUCUUUUCUUUUUUUUGCUCCUCUUCGCCAGUCAUCAGAUCUUGAACUAGCAAAGGAAUAAGAAAAAAAGAAAAAGAAAAGAAAAAGGGAAAAGAUUCAAAAAAUAUAAAAAAUUGCGAAAAUUGUUCAAACCAUGCCGAUCAAUGCCAUGCAAAAUAGCUAGCCUCCACAUUGGUGAUUUCCAAUCAAAAUUAACUCAAAGAACCAGAUUGACAAAGUUUAAAAAGGGUUUAGGAUAUAAUUUGCCAAAUUAAAUAAUUUAUGACUGGUUUAACCGCUAGAUAAUAGAUUUAUGACUUUCUGAACAAUAUCUCAAUACAAAAUUGGUAAGCUAUAGGUCAUAUGACAAAUUGCUUCCGAAUAUAUAAAUGAGUCUAUUAGUAAACCUAUUUUAAUAAAUGUCUUCAUAUCUCUCACAUUUUCUAAGAGGUUUUCUUCACCUUGCAUCUUAAAGCGCACGUGUUAGUAGUGUCAAAAAAGUUCAAUAUUGAAAAUUUAGCAUAAUCUAGAGCAAUUAAUAUAUAGUAGUUGGCCCAUACUUAUUAUCUUAAUUUUUUUAGCAAAGGUGAAUAUGAUUGGAUACGUUAAAGAGUUUGGACUUGAGCUUUAUUUUGGUAAUCUUCUUAUGAGAAUGUAUCUAGCAUUUACUGUUCAUCUCAUGGUCAAUGCAGUUUCAUGUGGAAAUGGCCAUUAUAAUUUAUCUAAAAGAGGCAACUAGAGUAAAUCGGCCUUGAGUUUGCCAUUACUGUUGUUGCAAUACAUAGCAAUAAUGUGGAACUUCAUGUUAAAAUAAGAUGUCAUAAGCAAAUAUGGAUUAGAGAAGCAUGCUUAGGAGGAGAUUGUUAAAGAGCCAAUGAGAAAAAGUGUUGGAGAAGUCCAACUUAAUAAAUUCAAUAUGAGAUGGAGCAGUUUGCAUAUCUUAAUUAGUUCAUUAAAUUUAAAUUUAAGUUGCAGAAAUUUGAACUAGAUAUCACGAAUGGGUUCGGACUUGAACUCUCUUUUGAUGAUCCCCCGACAUAGGACUAUGUGAUAGAAUCUCUUACUUUCUACCAAAAACAUAUCUCAAGAUUUACAAAAGUCUUGUUUACUGAAAAAAUAGGUGCAUGGAAGUUUUGAGUAGACUAGCACCAACUAUACCUUGAUCUCAUACCUACCAAGAUGUAGUUGAUUUGAAAUUGAUUCCAUGCAUACACCUCAAUAGAUACAAAUAUAAGUACGAUGUUGAAUAUAAAGAUGGCAUCAAUUAAAGUAUAUAUGUGCAAUUUUGUCGUGUGUUUCUAAAUAUCUUUCCAAAGAAUGGACACUAGCAAAUGCUAAACAUGACUACCGUCAAAGUCCUUAUUAAAUCCCAUUCAAUUCAUGAACGAAUUAUUAAGGUUAUUUUAUUUUAUUUUAAGAGGGCAUAUAAUUGUUUUUGACGUCAUGAAUGAGCUAAGCCACUUAACUGUCUUUCAAGGGACGAGACGCCUUUCUAUUCAACGCGAACCCGAGAAUUUUUCAUGUCGUAUCCAAUGGAUGUCGUGGACUCGACAUCGGUUCUAAUGAAGUGAACCGGUCGAUAUCCCGAAAGGCAACGAAAUGGGAAGUACACCACCAAACGCGCAGCCACUCGAGAUGGAGAUGGUCACCAGCCAGAUGCGGUCGGCGCGAGGGCUUCCCCUCCCACCAAUCGCAAAUGCAAUGCGUGCAGCCUUGGUGGGCCCCACCACCAGCCGAACGUACAGGAUCGGCUUCUAUGUCGAAGGGAUGGCCCACCGGCCGGGGGGAGUUAUUCGGUGCAGCCGUGCGAAUCGGCGCACUACGUGCAAUCCAGAUCGUCACUUUCCAAUUUCGUGUGACGAGGUGGCGUGAAUUUUUUGCCCGUGGCUCUCUACUGGUGCCGAGCUCGGCAUCCGUCGCAUGUAUAGAUCGCGAGUUUCGGCGGGGGGAAGGCCCCGCGGUUUGUGAACAAAAAGAGAUGUGACAAAGGAUAAUUCCGAAGAGCGAAACUUUACACGAAGACUCAAUUGCGUGCCACAAUGCAAGAAGCUGAGUAACUGUGGCCAAAAAAUUUACGAUCCCUUUGAAUAACCUUCGAGUACCAAAAAAGAUGUAUUAUAUAUAAUAAAAAAUUCAACUAAAGAUCAAAUUCCUUGUCUAGACGGAAGCAAUCUUGAAAAUAUUCAAAAUAAACUUCCAGAUCAAGAAAAUAAGAGGAGGUAAUUGUUAAAAUCUUCAACUAGUUAUUUGAAGUAUUGUUGAUGUCGCUCUAUCACCCAUGUGUUGACUUAAUUAAGUACUAUCCUGUUACAAGCGAAGCAACUCACCUUAUUUCUUAUACACUAGAGAAAACAAAUAAAAUAAAAUAAAAUAAAAUAAAAGCCCACCCACUCACAACAAGUCAUUUCAUUAGGCAACAACGUCAGAGCAGAGUUCACGGGGCUUAAACAGGACCGUUUGCGAUAGGCUUUGACGAUUCAAUCUAUCAGUUGAUUUGCAUCAUGGGGACAAUCGGACACGCAAGCCCACUUGAGCUGGGUCAGCUUUUCUUUUGCCAUCUUCGAUCCAGAUCGAACUUCAGAGUCCCCUGCUGGCGGAAUCCACUCGGCAGGUUGGUUUACUCGCUUUUUUCUUUCGUGUUUCGACACCUGGGUUCCAUCUCAUGAAAUGGUCAUUGCAAGAGCAGGAUCAACAAUUGAACUCGGAUCGGGCUGUCGGAAGCGGAAGACGAUGGUAGUUCGGGCUUUCUGGAGAAACCCUAGAGCACCGACGGGCUCCUCCGUAAUUAGAUGACAAGUCAGUUCUUGACUCAAAGAAAUUGGAACACCCAUUUUUGUCCAUUCUAGUAAUAUCCGGAUGCAAAAUCUGUACUUUCAGUCUCGGGUCCGAUCACAUUGCUUCCGUCCGGCGGCACAAAAGGAAGAGAUGCUCUACGGUUUCCGGGGCUUGUUUGCACAGAGGACACGGGGGAAUGAAGUAACGCUUUCUUAUGAAUAGAUUCUCUCUCCCGUGGGAAUAAGCCUUUUGGCGCUUACUCCAUAAAAGAAACGAAUUUUGGGUUAGGAUUUCGAUUUCCAGAUUUCAGUUUUGCCUCUUCUUGUUUCUCUUCGAAUCCUCUGCUUUCUCUCUCAUCAAUGGCCCCUCAUCGUUCGCUGCCCUGCUCAUGACGUGGNNNNNNNNNNNNNNNNNNNNNNNNNNNNNNNNNNNNNNNNNNNNNNNNNNNNNNNNNNNNNNNNNNNNNNNNNNNNNNNNNNNNNNNNNNNNNNNNNNNNNNNNNNNNNNNNNNNNNNNNNNNNNNNNNNNNNNNNNNNNNNNNNNNNNNNNNNNNNNNNNNNNNNNNNNNNNNNNNNNNNNNNNNNNNNNNNNNNNNNNNNNNNNNNNNNNNNNNNNNNNNNNNNNNNNNNNNNNNNNNNNNNNNNNNNNNNNNNNNNNNNNNNNNNNNNNNNNNNNNNNNNNNNNNNNNNNNNNNNNNNNNNNNNNNNNNNNNNNNNNNNNNNNNNNNNNNNNNNNNNNNNNNNNNNNNNNNNNNNNNNNNNNNNNNNNNNNNNNNNNNNNNNNNNNNNNNNNNNNNNNNNNNNNNNNNNNNNNNNNNNNNNNNNNNNNNNNNNNNNNNNNNNNNNNNNNNNNNNNNNNNNNNNNNNNNNNNNNNNNNNNNNNNNNNNNNNNNNNNNNNNNNNNNNNNNNNNNNNNNNNNNNNNNNNNNNNNNNNNNNNNNNNNNNNNNNNNNNNNNNNNNNNNNNNNNNNNNNNNNNNNNNNNNNNNNNNNNNNNNNNNNNNNNNNNNNNNNNNNNNNNNNNNNNNNNNNNNNNNNNNNNNNNNNNNNNNNNNNNNNNNNNNNNNNNNNNNNNNNNNNNNNNNNNNNNNNNNNNNNNNNNNNNNNNNNNNNNNNNNNNNNNNNNNNNNNNNNNNNNNNNNNNNNNNNNNNNNNNNNNNNNNNNNNNNNNNNNNNNNNNNNNNNNNNNNNNNNNNNNNNNNNNNNNNNNNNNNNNNNNNNNNNNNNNNNNNNNNNNNNNNNNNNNNNNNNNNNNNNNNNNNNNNNNNNNNNNNNNNNNNNNNNNNNNNNNNNNNNNNNNNNNNNNNNNNNNNNNNNNNNNNNNNNNNNNNNNNNNNNNNNNNNNNNNNNNNNNNNNNNNNNNNNNNNNNNNNNNNNNNNNNNNNNNNNNNNNNNNNNNNNNNNNNNNNNNNNNNNNNNNNNNNNNNNNNNNNNNNNNNNNNNNNNNNNNNNNNNNNNNNNNNNNNNNNNNNNNNNNNNNNNNNNNNNNNNNNNNNNNNNNNNNNNNNNNNNNNNNNNNNNNNNNNNNNNNNNNNNNNNNNNNNNNNNNNNNNNNNNNNNNNNNNNNNNNNNNNNNNNNNNNNNNNNNNNNNNNNNNNNNNNNNNNNNNNNNNNNNNNNNNNNNNNNNNNNNNNNNNNNNNNNNNNNNNNNNNNNNNNNNNNNNNNNNNNNNNNNNNNNNNNNNNNNNNNNNNNNNNNNNNNNNNNNNNNNNNNNNNNNNNNNNNNNNNNNNNNNNNNNNNNNNNNNNNNNNNNNNNNNNNNNNNNNNNNNNNNNNNNNNNNNNNNNNNNNNNNNNNNNNNNNNNNNNNNNNNNNNNNNNNNNNNNNNNNNNNNNNNNNNNNNNNNNNNNNNNNNNNNNNNNNNNNNNNNNNNNNNNNNNNNNNNNNNNNNNNNNNNNNNNNNNNNNNNNNNNNNNNNNNNNNNNNNNNNNNNNNNNNNNNNNNNNNNNNNNNNNNNNNNNNNNNNNNNNNNNNNNNNNNNNNNNNNNNNNNNNNNNNNNNNNNNNNNNNNNNNNNNNNNNNNNNNNNNNNNNNNNNNNNNNNNNNNNNNNNNNNNNNNNNNNNNNNNNNNNNNNNNNNNNNNNNNNNNNNNNNNNNNNNNNNNNNNNNNNNNNNNNNNNNNNNNNNNNNNNNNNNNNNNNNNNNNNNNNNNNNNNNNNNNNNNNNNNNNNNNNNNNNNNNNNNNNNNNNNNNNNNNNNNNNNNNNNNNNNNNNNNNNNNNNNNNNNNNNNNNNNNNNNNNNNNNNNNNNNNNNNNNNNNNNNNNNNNNNNNNNNNNNNNNNNNNNNNNNNNNNNNNNNNNNNNNNNNNNNNNNNNNNNNNNNNNNNNNNNNNNNNNNNNNNNNNNNNNNNNNNNNNNNNNNNNNNNNNNNNNNNNNNNNNNNNNNNNNNNNNNNNNNNNNNNNNNNNNNNNNNNNNNNNNNNNNNNNNNNNNNNNNNNNNNNNNNNNNNNNNNNNNNNNNNNNNNNNNNNNNNNNNNNNNNNNNNNNNNNNNNNNNNNNNNNNNNNNNNNNNNNNNNNNNNNNNNNNNNNNNNNNNNNNNNNNNNNNNNNNNNNNNNNNNNNNNNNNNNNNNNNNNNNNNNNNNAGAUCAAGCCGGUGACAACGAGCCCAGAUCUGGCUUUAUAGCUUGCGACCUGUUUUUGUCGAGGGAGCGCCUAUUUGUCCGAGUAGAGAGAGGGAGCGACUGUGAUCAAGGCACGGUGACUGUAGAGGCAAGGCGGGUUCGUGGCAGCAGCAGCAACGGUAAGGUCGUGUCUUGGCAACGGAGACGUGGCUAGGGAGAGGAGAGGAGAGAGGAACAAGGAAAUUCAUCACUUAUUAUGUGUGUCCGAUGGGAAGUAGUGAUAAGUUCCUGAGUGGAUUUCCGACUUGGUUCCAAAAAUUUAAAUUGGAAUAGGUCCAAUUUUUGUUUUGUCCAAAAAUCAUUUUUUAAUAAUAAAAUAUUAGCGUUACACCAUUUCAUUAUAAAAACAUAGGUUGAUCAAGUGGUUAUAUUGUUGUCUCUUCAUGAGGACUAUUAUUUGAUUCUUCAUAUGUGCAAAAAUGUUUUUCUUUUCUUUUAUAAAAUGUUUAUACAUGUUUACCACAAAUAAAAUCAUUUUACCAUAUUUUGGAUAUUUUUAUGAUGAAAAUAAAUUUUAGCAUAAUCCGACACAUAUUUGCUACAUGAUGAGUCUUUUUAUGUCAUAUUUACCUACACACAUUUCAAUCGCAGGCAAUGCAUUUUUAAGUCAAUGAAUGUCAAGAUGCCAAUUCUUGGUUCUAGACCCGAUGCUCACCCCAUUGGUCUUAGAUAUCUUUAAUAACCAAUAAAAUUAUGUCGUGUCCAAGCUUUUGCGUUAAUGGUGCAUCCGGAGGUGGUAUGAUUUGUCCCAUUACAAAAAUUAAAAAGCAUAAUCUCAAAUUAGCAGUAUGGUAAGUUGUUUGACAUGUGAUGCCAAGGAAACAGUAAAAUUCAUCUCUUCCAAACUUCUUUUAAACUAGAAAUAGCAAAAUUUAAUUUUUUCUAAAGUUGGGUUGCAGUUUCUAACCUCUCAUAUGAAUUGAUCGACUUUUGAUUGCUUUUGCAACUGGAAAUUGGGGGAAAAAAUAGAGAGAACUCAAGUAGAAAAUGUGCUCAAGCAUUAUUAUGUAUCUAUAUACAUAUAUUAAUAAUGUCUUUCCUAAAGGCUGCUUCUAAGUUGAAAGGGAUUGACUGUUCUCCUUUACCACAUCAUGCUACCCGUUUAUUACAUCCGUCCCUCUCGCUUCCCUCCCUCUUCAUAUUUAUUCUAAUUGUAUUCCUUUAUCUUAAAGAAAUUUUCCUCCUUAAUAGUAACAUAAAUAUUUACAUUAGUAUACAAAUAUGUUUACUAAAAGAAACAUGUAUACAUUACGUUUACUUAUACCAUAAUAAAGAAAGAGGUCAACCAUCAUGUUAACUAUUUCAUAAAUAAGUUGCUAAAAGAAUUAAUAAAGCAAUAUUAACAUUACAAUCUUAUUAUAAAUACGAUAUCAUGAAGGUGUCUUUUUACAUGAAAGUUUAUGGUUCACUCUCCAAUGUAGAUUUGUAUGGCAAUCCAUGCUGCUCGGACAGUGCAGAUUGUGUCUAGUAUUUGAGUAUUUCAUGGUCUUCAAAUGAAUAGUAUUUUUUUGUUGUUGUUGAAAACGUAAGUAUUAUAGAACAUAAGAAGUACAACUUUGGGGCCUAGAGCUAAUAAUUCAAAAAGAUGGAGGUAAGAAGUCUCCACAUAAUAGCCAAUACAACAUUUGACUGAGAGGGUUUAAUUUUUUGGUAAAGUGAAGCUCUACCUCUUAUAUUUUUAUGCACCUUGGCCAAAAUAAUAUGAAUGUUAGUUGAUUUGUUUUGAAACUGUCUAUGAUUGCAUUCCAUUUAAAUGCAAUAUAUGAUUGCUAGGAAAAAUACUUUGAGGAGUCUCGCCACCAAAUCUUGACCCUUUGUUGCCCUAAUCAUCCAUUGAAGUUCAACAUUCCAUCCUCCUUAAAAAUCCCUAAUCAUCUGUUUUGCAAGGAUACUACACCAAAUGCUACCUGUCCAUUCACACCGGAAGAAUAUAUGAGUUUUGUCUUCUAUGUCGACCCUACAGAAGUUACACUAGAUAUCAACGGAAUGCAUCCAUCAUGCUACAAUCUAUGCUAUCAAUAGUUUAUCUUUGCAAACUAGCUAGCCAAUAAAAUUGUAUGUGUUAAUACCAUUACUCCAAAUUAGGUUGCACCACUCUACAACCUAAUCCCCGUGUUUGAGUUCAUCAUAUAUAUCACAGCAAUAGUACCCUGAGCCAAAAAUAAGUGAGGUCAGAACAUGUUGUAACUCUAGCAUUGAGUUAAUUAGGAAAUUGUGGUGAUGGCUUUAUUAAUUUAGAUGAUUACUCCGCUAGCUUUAUCAUUUGAAGUCCCGACAAAGUUCUAGUAGCUUUAUUAGUUUUGAUGUGAUUGGAUGAUGGAGUCAUAUGUGAUCUAAAAGAUGGCAUCUUAUAGAUGAUUAUGCAAGAGUCAAAAACAGAUACUGUAGGUUAUGGAUAUUCUUUUGUAUGAGGCAGGAAGUUCAAGAUUUUAAACGAUGUUAGAUUUAGGCCUAUGAGACUUGCAUUGCAGAGUUCGGAGUGGUGCUGCUUUGGGAGACUGGAUUAGCAGUCGGCUUGAUUUUAUGGCCUAGCAAGCUUGUUGGGACCAAAUUCAUUUUUAUGGAGUCCCGGACAUUCACCUAGAUUCUCCUACUCCCAAUGUCAUCAUGUUGUGCUUUUGAGCUUACAAAUCGAAUCGGUGCAUUUCCGAGCGAGAAAAAACAAGUCUCCCUCUCCAUCCGCGGUUCAACUUCAAGCUCGGCGAUAUCCCUUCUUUUUAAGUAUCCUCAUCUAUUCUGAUGCUCAUAAUGCAUGAGCAGUGCUUGAACCUGCGGUAGUACUGACAUCAACAAUACUGUGAUUUAUACCCUCCUAUAUAGUGUUUUUUUUUUUCCUAGUGAAGACCUUAGUACGAUUGGCACCUGAUGCUCUAUUCAUUUGACACAAAAUAUGGGCUUCAACAUCGUGAGUUGCUUGUGUUGAUAACAGACAUUGGGGUAUCAAAAGCUUGUCCUAUUGGCAUGAGAGGGGGGUGUUUUAGAAUGAGAUUAGGGCGCUCGUAAUCUUUAUCGGAACCGGACCGGAUCACAGCUUGCCGGAGCAAGACAUGUCUCAGAAGAGCAAGGAACACCGAAGGACAGCAUAAGAAUUCACGGCAUAGCAGGAGCUAUCACCAACCAGAGGCGACAGCAAGUCUUCCGGAGGUCCAAGUGGCAGCGUGUAGGAGGAACACUGCCAUGAACCUGCAAGACACAGAAUUAAUUUGACUCAAGCAUGCUUGCUGCCCUCCCCUAUCCUUUUUUUCGUAUCUUUCUCCUCGGAAGUCUCGGGGUUGGGCUCCAACUCGACUGAAGAAAACUUGCAACAAGAAAGAUCCAAUUGUGGCGACUACGCAAGGACGAUCUCACCGGGGUAAUGUGGAGGCUGGCGGCACGUUAGAUAUCCACCGUGAUCACUGGAAAUUCGCCAGACGACUUGCAAAGCACAAAGAAAACAGGGCAAGCUCGAAAUGCUGGUGCAGCAGCGUCGCCUCACGGUGGCACGUCUCGGCGUGCAGGUCGUGUUGCUUCUAGACUCUCGGCCGCGGUGGUGGUGGUGCUUGCUUGAGGCGACGCUUGACAAGGUGCGACGCCGGGGUAACCGUCGAUGAAACCCAACCACAGUGGUGGUGGGAUACACGUGGCUGGCUCCCGUGGCGUGGCAGCGAGGCGCCAGUGUCAGGGUCUUGGACAGGGAGCGACGUCGACCUGGUUGAGAUGGUCACCGGAAGCGUGCGACCGCGGGAUGCUCGCUUGGAAAUCCGGCGUCCUCGCUGGGUGGUCGAUGAAAAACGAGGGUCGGGCUUUAGCCGCUGCCUUCUUUUCUUUCCCUGGCCCAUUUAUUUUAUUUUAUUUUGGCCCAGUUCUUUUCCCUCUUCAGCCCGAUCCCCCCUUUUCUUUCUUUCCCCAUUUUUUCUUCACGCUCGCGGAGACGAGCGAGGAAGCACGCUUGUACAGCAGAGACAACGUUGCAGCAGCUGCGGCGGCGAUUGUCAAGUGAGAAUUUUGGUCGGGGAGGCGACAGCAGAGAGGAUGGGGGCGUGGUCCUUGAGGAGAAGGAAUCGUUGGUUGGUUGCUCUUUAAAGGAAUCGCUGGUCGUCGUCGUCGUCGUCAGUGCGGUCUUCCGAUGAUCUCGGGGCUUGACGGGGUCGAAGGAGGUGAGAUCACGGUUCAUCCCGUUUUCGUGUAUGGAAUGAACCUGGUCUUCUAUUUCCACUGUCACCAUCUCGGGUAGGGGGCUCUCGACGUUUUGGGUGUCGUAUCUCCGUUAAGUCGGUGCCCGCAUCUCGCGAGUGCUCUUUGGUUGUUUAGUUUGAGUCGCUCUUUCCCAAGGAUCUUGGCUUGGAGCCGGCCAGAGCCGCGGUUCACCUCGAACUCGCCCUCUAGUCGUCGUCUCCGAGCCGGGUAGGGACUUCCUCGUUAAACGGUCACCCACACGAGCCCCUUCAGCUCCGCCUUGUUCCGUUUAAAGGACGAUCCGGGCUUGGUUUCUCCGAUUCCUGAGUGUUCCAUGUCCAACUGAGUUGAUUUCUUUGGCGUCACGGGUCUAAAUCCGAGUUCGGGCCUUAGAACGGUCAGUAACGUCUCCUCAGCGCACUCCACACCGUGUUUGCAGAAAUGUCUAAAUGAAGCUCUGUUAUUGUCUGGGGAACGUCUCCUGAUUUGAAACAUUUUGAUGACCAUUUCUUUUUUAAAUCGCAACAUCCGUCUUUGAUUGAGUCAUUUCGAGUUCAUUUUUUCUGUGGUUCGAGUAUAUGGUCGUAUGUCCUGCCCCUUUUUUUUUCUCUCUCUCUCUCGUGUUUGGCUCCUUGUUUUGCACAUGUUAUUGGUGUUACUCGUGUGAUGCUUGCUGGAAGGAGUAUAUCGCCACAUGAUCAAUCGACACAAUGAUUGGCAGUCAGUAGUGAAGUACAUUUGUCUGUCGCUUGAGAUUUUAUUGCGUUGUUUGUAAAUUAUAAGUCUAGAGGUUCAUGAGUUAGUGGGUAAAAUUUAAUGAGCUCUCAAUCCACUAAGUAAAAUAAAUGGACAUAAAAAGUUUAAGGUGUGUUUAGUAAUAUUUCAGUUCUCGAAAACAAGUUCUGUUUGGAAAUAAUUUUUUCCAUUUUUAUUAUCAGAAACAAAGAAGUAAAUUCUUAACCAAAAAAAACAAAGAAGUAAAUUUUUUUUAUUUAUUGUUUUUGUUUCACAUCUAUUUCGUGGCCACUUGAAAUAGAAAAAUUCGCCAAUGUUAUCAAAUAUAUUUGUAUUUCUUUUCUAUUCCAAGGAAUAAAAAAAGAAAAAUAGAAAAACAUGAUGAUUACUAAACAUGCCCUUAUUAAAUAGUCUAGGGAGUGAGAGAAGGAGCCAAAAGAGGAAGUUUCACGUUUUGGAGGUGUUUCUAUGGACGAGUUGACUGUCAAGAGUAAGUGAGGGUGAAUGGGCUCUAUAAUGAUAAAUGGGUUUAACAUGGACCUGGGUUUAAUCCAUUCUUAUUUAAAAGAGGCUUUGGCAUGGGCUUGGUGUUGCUUUGGUGAAAGCAGGCUGGCCAUGAGUCUUCUUAAUUUGGGCUUGAUUUAAGUUAAACGAACAUAGGCUUAAAUUAGGAGUCUUCCAAAAUCGGGCUUAGGAAGGUUACAAUUGGAGUGGGCUUGAGGAUGAACUCAAUUGAGCUCUUUAGCCCAUCUCGACGAGGCCAGAAUUCUAUCUUUAUUUGGACUGGGUUCAAGGACCCAGUCUGAUUCACCAUUUUCGGAAUUGUUAAUAUAUUAAAAAUUUUAAAAAUUCAGAAAAUGCUUGGAAGUAGGUUUUCAUAAAAUUUUUAAGUUUUAGCAUUAGAUUUAGAUUUGUUUUGUUUAAUUAGUAUACAUGUGGCUUAGUCUUAAUGGAAUAUCUUUUGAAAGAAAUUAAACUUGAUUUGGAUCGGCUCAUAGGGAUUAUGUCCUGGGCUUACAACAUGGCUAUGUAUAUUCUUUGCCCGACUUGUAUCAAGUUUUCUUUUUGACUUUUACUCUAAAAAUCAUUUUAAUACUUGGGCAUUUACUUACUGUACUAUCUUUCAAUAAAUUGGUUGUUUGUCACUUUAUUAGAAUAGGUUAGGAUUAGUUUAGAAUUUGAUGAAAAUGAACCCUACAAAAACAUUUGCAUGAUCAUUUAGCAAAUUUGAUGCAUUUAGGACUAUAAUCAGCAAUCAAGACCAUGUGACUACUUAAGUACGACUUUCCAAGUUAAACCGAAAGGGCAUUAAUAGACAUUAGCAUAAUCAAGUCAUCAACUCUAUAAUCUCUGGUUGUGUAGGAAUUAAGACGACACUCCCGUGUUUUGAUUAGUUUCUAAUAGACUCCAAUAGACUAUAGGUUGUUAAGAACUAGAAAAAUCAAAUCCAACAUUCUGCAAUAUAUAGGCUUAGAAGAGCCUACGCUUAUUCAAAGGCCAUUGAUCCGUAUUAGGCAAUACCUCUAAAUCUUUUUAUUUUCCCUUCCAAAUGGAAAGCAUAAGCUGUAGACCAGGCCAAUCAAAGCAUGCUAGAGGGAGUAGGUUUGCUUUUGACGCAAUUCACAAUCGAGGUGCAAUGUUUUUUUUCUUUUUUCUUUGGGGUGAUCACCUUGUCAAGGUAACUUUUCCUCUCUUUUUUUAAUCAGAAAUCUUAAUGUCAAUCAAGUGCAUAUGUUUCUUUUAUUUCCCCUUUUUCAUCCUAUCAAAUGCAUAUUUGAGAUCCAAAAUUAACAGAACCUCAAAAAAUGAGGGAUUUACUUUACUUGAAUUAUGACCAAACAAAGGUCUAACCUUUCAAAUUAGCUGGAGUACCUUUACCAGCUAAUCUAUAUCUAUCAUGGAAACAUUUGUUGAAGAUCUAUACUUCGAAUUUGACAAAUGGCACUGUACAUUGUAAGCAAAUCUUACUUCCUCCUAAAAUUUAUCAUUUCUUCAUAGUUAGAAUAUUUAAAUAAUAAAUUCUGCUUUCAUGUAUAAGCUUUUAAAACAUCGAUCGUAGCCCCAUAUAAUUUUACACUCUUGGCAAAUCAGUUCCAAUGCAAUAGACAUGUAGAAAAGGUACAUGAAAAUGAAACACAAAAUUAAGAUUGCAAUACUAUAAAGUGAAUAAAGCUUAAUAAUCAAUAAAUAAAGAAAAACUGAAACUUUUAAUGCAAAAUUUGAUCUUAAAAUGACAGAUUUAGGAAUUAGGAUGGAGGAUUAGUUAAUAAUCUUUUUUUUUUCCGAGUCCUGUGAGAAAUAUUAUCACGAGGUUCAAUAGAUAGAGUACGAAUAGACAUCUUCCCUUAAUCAAUUAGUUCCAGUUUAUUAUUGCACAAGGUGAUGGCCGCUACCCGACGAUCCUCAAAGUAGAUGGCUUCGAAGCUGAUUUCAUACACGCAAAUAAAGCUGUAAACACCUAGAUAUUAUAUAACUUUAAUGGUUUAGAGAAAUAAUACGUUUAGUAAACUACAAGUGCGAUGGAUGCAAUAUGAAAAAUUGACUAUAAAAAAUAUGCGCUAUUAUUACUUAGUAUUGAACUUAUGAGAUAAUUUGAGUUAAAAGGAAUAAACAAUCAUCCAAUUCGCAGUCUACGAUAAACCUACCAUUUACAUUCGCUAGUGUUAUGUGUCUGGUCAGGAUUAAUGAAUAAACUAAACAUGCAUUUCUUUUCACUUUAAUAAAUUUUGUCCUACUGCAGAAUAUGCUGAGGUUGGCAUUACAAGAUGACAAGCCAUUUUCUCGGCUAGAAAAGUACCCAAUUUCAUGUAUACAAAGAGUCAAGGAUGCGCACCUCUAAUGAUUUAUAUCUCUUGCUAUACAGAUUUUACGUACGUUAAUGAAAUCCAAAAUUUUUCUAUGUAUGUAAUAUUUGUUUUCCUUAAAAUAAUAAAUAAAAUUAAUGUUCUGGCUAUGAUUACAUUAUGUUGUCAGUUAAUUUUAAUUAUUUAUCAACUUUUUAUCACUUACUUGGUUAGAAAAGUACCGGCAUCUAUAUAUAUAUAUUUGUAAGAUUACCAGCUGGUUAAAUAACGUACCUAUAGUUAUUUUUGUAGCUUACAAAUGCCUUGAAAAAUUACCAAUUCUUGUACAAAAUUACGAACCUCAACUUGACUGGUAUAUCAACAUCCGUCACGUUAAUCUUGCUUGGUUUUGAAAGUACAAACAUUUCCUUAUGCUUUUAAGCUUACGAACUACUUUGAUAAUAUAUAUAUAUAUAUAUAUAUAUAUAUAUAUAUAUAUAUAUAUAUAUAUAUAUAUAUCUAAAUGUUUAUCAAUACCUUUGAAAAUAGCCAACUCUUAUUUGAAAUUAUCAAUUUUAUUUUGGUUGUCAUACCAACAUUCGUGACACUAAGAGCCAACUAAUUUUUCUCCUAUGGAAAAACCAAGGUGCAGCAAGGGGCUAACAAAUUCAUAAGGAUGACAAAAUUGCGUAAAAAAAGCUCACUAUGAAAGUCUUGAAAGAGGAACCGCAAAGUUUCUGGAAACUCACCUCAAAAGGCCUAGAUGCCAAAGGCCUAAAUUUCACGAAGACUCAAGAUUUUUCCCCCCUCUGCAUCCGACGGUUGCUGCCAAAUCAUUCAAGAUGGCUUGGAGGACUGCAGUUGGGAUACUCCAGUUAUGAAGUUCUUCGGGAAGAGCAGCCAAAUACCAACCAUGGCUUGGAAAGAUUCUCUCACUCUUUCAACCAUUACUUCACAAUUGCAAUGGGCUAAUGGCAAGUAAAGGAUCUGCUGUUUCUUUUAAAAUGGACUGCAUGGAUUCGUUCAACAAUUCCGCCAAUACCGCUUCAAUUUAGCAUUGAGAAUUUGAAAAAAUUGGCCCCCCAAAAUGAAGCUUCAACAACUGAAGGCGGAAUCAAAUCUAGGGGUGAUAGGAUCCAGGGUGGAUAAUUCUAGACUUAGACCUUGUACCCAACCUUGUUAUACCCAGUUCCCAUUUUUUGAACCAUGUACCCAACCCUAUUUGCACUGGACCCUAUACCCAAAUCACCCUGUUUUUCCAGUCCGAUUCUAGGGCCAACCCUGUUUUCACUAGAACCUAUUUUGCAACUGCAUGAUAUCUUAUAAGGCUUCAAAUUUUAUAUUAAUACGUGAGACAACCAUGUAAUCCUCCUAAUUUAUUUUGAAACAUUAAGCACUUGUAAUCAAUAAGUAUAUGAACUUUUUGACUAAACGAAAAACUAAGAAUCCACAAGGCUAUGAUAAUAAAGUAGCAAGAGUUAUAAUCUCCAAUUGAUGGCUUUUAAUGACGUUUGCAACUUCCUCGUUUUGGCAAUAUGCAUAAGUAUGUAACCUAAGGAAAAGGGUAAUAAACAAAGAAACAAUAAAACAUACAAAUCAUUAAGUUGCGAACUCAGUUGAUUUGAUUUUGAGAUCUUUUUACCCCCACAGAGCUGGACUAUUAACAUAGGUACCUAAGAAUAUGCAUGAAAAUGCCUCGUACCUUCAGUAACCGUGCUCAUUUUGGGUUUUGGACUUUUGGGGUUGGGCUUAUAAAACCGGUCUGGUCGAUGCGGUUCCUACGUGGGUAUUCAUUUGAAACCGAUUCUCAGACCAACUGAAACUGGUUCUAAAUUUUGGGAAUUGGUUCCUGAACUGAUUUCAACGGGAACCGGUUCCCAACCCUAUUUUUCAGGUGGGCUAGUCUGGUUCUCGGGUAGACUCGAUCCAGUUACACAUCCCUAAUCAAAUCUAUACAGUUUCAUCUUUCAUCGCCGUUUGUUUUAGUGUUGCCAAGACCCUGAUUUAAACCAUAUUAUAUAUCAGCCUGCUUUUUUUUUCUCCCUUCCAUUUAUGCGAUUAGUGUUAGCCCAUAUUUAUAGAGAAAUUUUUGCGAUCAAUAAUAAAAAACUAUCAAAAAUCAUUUGUUCUAACUUAUUGAAUUUAUUAUAAAAAAGGUUGAUGAUAGCUCUAAAAUAAAACUUUAAGAAAUCAACCAUUCUUUUUUCCCCCUUUUUGGGGAUAAUCCCUUAGAAAACACUUGUUGGAUCAUGACAACAAUGUUAUGGAAUUCGCGAGAGACCAUGACAACAUUUGUUCAUUCUUUGUUUUUCACGGUUUAGGUUAUGGAAAGGCCAAUAAUGAGUUGAUUGAUGAAGACAGAGACAACCUUCUUUAUGGGGAAUAAGGUAUAGCAUUUAUUAUAAAUGGUUCAUUGUAAAAGCAAUUGGCUUGACGAAUAUAUAAUGGACACUUUGAUUUAUAGCUUCAAUUUUCCAAUUUUCACAUUGUGACGAUGAUUUAGUUGGCUUUUCCUUUAUUUAUGGACUAAGGUGUAUUAUAAUUAAUUACUAUAUUGAGAGCAAAUGCCACUAUUGAUAUGUCAAGGCACGUCACUCUGAGGGGGCUUCUCGGCAUCCAGAUUUCAUUCCUCUUUUAAUAAUUUUCAUCGCUUCAAUUAAUUCUCAAGUAUGUACUGAGUGCAAAUCCUGGGUUGAUACUAGCCUGAAAAACGAUUGUCAUGAGAGCUAUUUUCCUUAAUGUAAACUAGACUUUUGCUGAUGCGAGACUGUUGAGUCCGAACAUUAUUUGCACAUAGGACUGUCAUCAGAGAUGCUCACCAUCUGUUAACAUAUGCUCAAGUUAAAUCGGUGUUAUCUGGCUCAUUCUUAUGCGUGUGUAUAGCUUUGUCAAUUGCUAAAUGUAGUUGAAUUGUUUUUGGAAAUGAUCACCGAUGAGAUGAGUUUUCCGAAUUCGAGUAGAGCCAUGUCGAUUCUCAUGAUUAUUUGUUUGUCAAAUAAACUUGAUAUAAUGUCUGUGUUGAAGUAGAUCUAUCAGUUCCUCGUUUGUGUCAUGGUGCAGCGAUUACUGGAAAUCUUCCUUUGUGAAUCAACCAUAGAAUUCGUUGAAGAUUCAUUGAAUUUGGUGUUCAGAAUUUCUCUGAUUCAUGAAUGUUUGCUUUGACAUUGUGUUCUAUGCAUGAACAAUGACAGUGUUCGGAAGCGGUCGCCGGAGAGGGAAGAUCGGGAGUUGAUAUCACCGUUUUUGUGAGUCAUGUCCGGUGGUUGAACGUGGUGGAGCCGGCAACCGGAAACGGUUGAUGGUGGAACGUUUUAUUAUCGAUUUAAGAUAGUUUAUGUGGAUUGUCGCUGAGGUUUUUUAUGUUCUUAGGUUAAUAGGUGAGUUUUUGGGGUGGACUUGGCAUAAGUGUGGGCUGGUUUUGAGUUUUUUCAGUCGGUUUAAUUUGUACUGUUGGGCUUGUUUUAAUAAGCCCAAUUAUCCUUGGCCCACGUCUUGGAGUCCAACUUAAUCUUACACGCAAACUGGGCUCAAGGGGCUCAGUCCGAGUCCCUAUUUUCCAGACUAAUAAAAUCGAAAUUAAAAAAAAAAAUUAAAAAAUCGAAAACUUAUCAAAAUAUAAGAAAAUAUUAUAGAUGCAGGUUUUGAUUAAUUUGAUUUAUUAUAGCGCUAGAUGUAGCUUAGUUUAUUUAUUUAACAUGCCCUUAGUUUAGAGGGUUGUCGUGGUUAUCUAUGUAGCUUAGGUUUAGAUAGGUUGAUCUUUUAGGCAAGUUAUUGGACUCAAUUUGAACUUAACUCACGGGGAUUGUUGUCUUGGGGCUUAAUAACGAGGCCAUGCAUAUCAUUUGUAUGAUACUUUAUUGAGUUUACUCUUUUGCACUUUACUUUUUUUGUAAUUAUAGUUAAUGGAUCAACGAAAGCCAAUAAAUUAAUAUACGCCUAUUCUGUUCAUGUAUCUAUUGAAUUCAUGAAUUUCCUAAAAUUUUAUGUUCACGUAUCUAUUGAAUUCAUGAAUUUCAUAGAUUCAUGUAUAUUUUAGUUCAUGUAUUUAUAAAGUUCAUGAAUUUCUUGAAUUCAUGUAUCUUUAGAUUCAUGAAUCUCUUGAAUUCAUGUAUCUCUUGAUUCAUGAAUUUCGUGGAUACAUGCGUCUAUUUAAUUUAUGUAUCUCUUCUGUACAUGAACUAAAAUUCUCUAUAAAUAGAUGGGAGCAUAGAGCUUCAUGAUGGUUUUUUGGUUUUGGUUUUUCCGACUUGAUUCCAAAAUGCUUUAAUAUACUUUUCUACUCUUCUGAUUUUUCUGAGUGUGCUGGUUCAAUUGAACGGUUCGACUGUGUUCUGUUUGCAUAGUGCUAAUCCAAACAGAUUCGAAGUGUUGUAUCUUGAGAGGCAUAGUUCGUGAAUUUGCGAAGUACCAUUUACAGAAACUAAUUGCCUUAAGGAGAUUCGGAUAUCCGUACCACACCUCCAAUUUUAUGUUAUUUUUCUAGUGAUAUCUUAUUUUAUUCUUCUCCAAGAUUUGUAAGUUUACAUAAAAAGAAAGAUAUUAUAUAGCUGUUAUCAUCUUAUUUACAUUGAUGUUCUGAUUACAACAAACAGUUUAUUUUCUUUUAAUUAAUUUCCAACAAUCUUAAGGCGAUUAAGUCACUCACUGUUUGUUGUUCCUGUCAGAGUAUUGAGAUGGAUGAAAAUAAUCGAGUGUCAUUCAAUGUCCAUAAUGUUUCAGGAGACAUUCCUAUGGUCGAUUCGACUGUUGCUAUGGGAUAUGUUCAACCCUCAGGGUCUGAAUUUGUAGUAGCUAAUGCUACGGGCCCUUGGGCCAACACCAAUUUUGGUGGUGUGGGUACAAGUCAUAUGACCGGUAUGCCGAAUACUGUUUUUCAAAAUAGUAUAGGCCAAAUGGCUUUUGGCUUCAUUUUUAGAGGGAUAGUUCAACGAACAUUGCCUAUUGUGAUGGCAACACCUCCAAUGUCUGCUGUGGUAAUGUUCGAAGCAUCUCUGGUGUCAAACACUAAUGGCUGGUGGCUAGACACAGGUGCCACAAAUCACAUCUGUGCGGAUAAACACAUGUUCUCAUCUUAUGAGAAGGCUGAAGAAGAUGAGAAGUUUUAUAUGGCUAACUUUGCAUCUGUAAAGAUUGUCGGAAGAGGAAAUGUGAUCCUGAAAUUUACAUUUGGUAAGGAGGUCGCCUUGCUGAAUGUGCUGCAUGUACCAGAGAUUUGGAAAAACCUAAUUUCUGGCCCCAUACUUGCCAAGAAGGGUUUCAAAGUUAUAUUUGAAUUUGACAAGUUUGUACUUUCAAAAGGAGGGAUGUAUGUGGGGAAAUGAUACUUGUGUAAUGACCUGUUUAAAGCCAAUGUGGUUGUCAUUGAUGUAAACUCGAAGUAUAUGUACCCAAAGACUAUUAAUAAAGAAAAGUCUUCAAUUUACACUAUUGUGUCUCUUUAUCUAUGGCAUGGUAGAUUAGAACAUGUAAAUUAUGGUACAAUAAAGAGAAUAGCAAACUUGGGGUUAAUUCCAAGAUUUGAGUUGGAUGCCCGUUACAAGUGUGAGACUUAAGAAAUCUUUCAAAUCCAUUGAAAGAACAAGUGAACAUCUACAAUUAAUCCAUAGCGAUCUAUGUGAUUUAAAGUUUGUAGAAAGUAAAGGUGGAAAGAAGUACUUCAUCACAUUUGUGGAUGAUUGUACUAGAUUUUGCUAUGUUUAUUUACUAACUAGCAAAGAUGAGACUAUGAGCAUGUUUAUCAAGUAUAAAAAUGAAGUUGAAAACUAACUUGAUAAAUGAAUCAAAGUGCUUAGGUUUGAUAGAGGAGGAGAAUACAGUUUAAUCAAUUUCAAAGAGUUUUGUGCUCAUUUUGGAAUAAUUCUCCAAACGACUGCACCUUAUACUCCACAACAAAAUGGAGUUGCUGAAAGAUUGAACAUGACAUUAAAGGAGAUGGCUAAUGCCAUGCUUUUGAGUUCAGGUUUACCUCAAAACUUGUGGGGGGAGCCAAUUUUAACUGCAAAUUAUUUUAUUAAUAAAAUACCUCACAAAAAGACAGGUAAAGCUCCAUACGAGUUAUGGAAUGGAAAGUUGCCAUCUUACAAUUUUCUAAAAGUGUGACAAUUUUCUAAAAGUGUGGGGGUGCAUAAUAUGAUUUAUAACGGUAAGUCUAGACACAUUCGUCGUAGACACAAUACCGUAAGGCAGUUGCCCUCAAAUUGAAUCAUUUCUUUAGACUUUGUAAAGUCAAAGGAAAAUAUUACGGAUCCGCUAACAAAAGGUUUGUCAAGAGAGCAGAUAAAUUGCGCAUCGAGGGGAAUGGGUUUAAGAGCCUUGACCCAAUAAAGAGAUUCCAGGGUGGAAACCUAACCUAUGCGAUUGGAGAUCCCAUGGUCUAGGUUCAAUAGGACAACGCAAAUUUUGGAAACUCUAGUGUAAGCACUGUCUCCCAUUCCUAUGAUGCAACAGUGCUUUUCUACAGCGUUAUUAAGGGUAUGCUAUGCGUUUAAUGAUUCCUAUAACUUGGAAUAUAACAUCCAAGUGAAAUAUGAUAGGAUAUCUUUAAUAGGAAUGCACUUAUAUGCGUGGAGCUGGCCGACUCUAUGAAAAUCUUUAAAGGCUAGAUUUUCUAAAGCACGCAUGAAUCCCGAGAGGUUCAGGGCCGAAAGAACGAACACAACUAAGAACCAAUCUUGAAUUGGAAAUACUCUGUGUGAGGUUUAUUGUCUAGGCUUACACAAACAACUAGCGAUUCAAGGCUUAGUCCAUCGACUAGUUAAGUAAGUCUGAUAGGCUUUCAUUAAAAAAUGUUCAAAGCGAAAGCUACCUAUCUUGAUGCGGUGUAUUUCAACAGGCAUGCUCAGAUUCCUUCGGGUUAAAAAUAUUUUGUUGAUCCAUUAACGUGGGGGAUUGUUGUAAUUAUAGUUAAUGGAUCAACGGAAGCCAAUAAAUUAAGAUAUGCCUAUUUUGUUCACGUAUAUAUUGAAUUCAUGAAUUUCCUAAACUUUUAUGUUCACAUAUCUAUUGAAUUCAUGAAUUUCCUAGAUUCAUGUAUAUUUUAGUUCAUAUAUUUAUAGAAUUCACGAAUCUUUUGAAUUCACGUAUCUCUGGAUUCAUGAAUCUCUUGAAUUCAUGUAUCUCUUGAUUCAUGAAUUUCGUGGAUACAUGCGUCUAUUUAAUUUAUGUAUCUCUUCUAUACAUGAACUAAAAUUCUUUAUAAAUAGAUGGGAGCAUAGAGCUUCAUGAUGGUUUUUUGGUUUUGGUUUUUCCGACUUGAUUCCAAAAGGCUUUGAUAUAUUGUUCUAUUCUUCUGAUUUUUCUGAGUGUGCUGGUUUAAUUGAAUGGUUCGACCGAGUCCCAUUUGCAUAAUGCUAAUCCAAACAGGUUUGAUGUGUUGUAUCUUGGGAGGCAUAGUUCGUGAAUUUAUGGAGUACCAUUGGCAAGAACUAAUCGCCUUAAGGAGAUUCGGAUAUUCGUAUCUCACCUCCAAUUUUAUGUUAUUUUUUUAGUGAUAUCUUAUUUUAUUCUUCUCCAAGAUUUGUAAGAUUACAUAAAAAGAAAGAUAUUACAUAGCUAUUACCGUCUUCUUUACAUUGAUGUUCUGAUUACAACAAAUAAUUUAUUUUCUCUGGAUUAAUUUCCAACAACUUUUAUCGUAGUGUUUGUGAUUUGUCUCCCUUUCCUUGAUUGCGUACUCAUGCAUGGACAUAGGUUAAUACAAUGGUCAAAACUCAUUUAGGUAACAAAUCAAUAGGGCAUUAGUUAGAUAAUCAAUUCAUCAAUCCCAUAUCUUUGGUUGUAUAAGAAGUAAGGUAUGCUCCUGUACCUCACUUAAUUUUUUGCCGACUUUUGAUAAGGGUUUGGGAGAAACAGUUGUUAAUUGAAAAAUUUUAAAGGAAAUAAUUGAUUCUAAAUUUCCACGAAGGUCAUAGAGACGAGAUGAUAGAUGGAAAAAAGCAAGAUUGUUUGAGAUUCCUUUCAUGACUAAUCUUAAACUUUUCCCUUUUGUUGAUGGUAGGGCAAAUAGUUUUAGUCUUUUCCAUUUUGCUCAGUGUGCCAACCAAGGAGAUAACCUUUUGAGCGUCUUCCUUGGAAAUUUCCUCGUGGGCUCUAAGAAAUUGGUUACUAGAGUCUAUUAAAAGAAGUAGGUAUCGACAUUUUUUAAAGAAAAUAAUUGAUUCUAGAUUUCCAAGAAAAAUCAUAGAAAUAGUAUAACGGAUGGGGAAAAGCGAGAUCAUUUGAGNNNNNNNNNNNNNNNNNNNNNNNNNNNNNNNNNNNNNNNNNNNNNNNNNNNNNNNNNNNNNNNNNNNNNNNNNNNNNNNNNNNNNNNNNNNNNNNNNNNNACAAUGCAACAGAUACAGGCCUAAACUCUCUCAUGAUCCUCUACAACAUACUUCAAAGAUGCAUCCUCUACAAAGCUACUGGUUAAAUGUGUUUUCUUGUUCUCAAUUCUGUCAAGAACUUAUGAAACAAACAAUUCACAGAAGACAAAAAAGUACACCAGCUCACAUAUUAUACGCAAUCUUAUUAUUUGAUUUUUUUAUAACCAAAUUGUUUUGAUUAAUAAACAUUAUGUCGCAACUCACUAACAUCAUCAUUUGGUGGAAAAGAAGGAAGAAAAAGAAAUUCGAUCUAUUUGUCGUAUAAUGAAUAUUAUAUUGUUAUGAUUUAUGGAAAGAAUUGAACUUUGAUACAAUAUAAUGUCUAGAUCAUGAUUUGUCAAAGACUGAAAUUCAUUGUAAAGGGGGGACAAAUUAUUCAAAGUCAAGAUCACGAGGAGAUUGGGGUUGUCUUAAAGCAAGACAAUAAUAAUUGAUUCCAAACAACCAAGAAAGGUCGUGGAAGCACGACAUUGGAUGAGAAAAAGUAGAGCUCUUCUGCGAUUCCUUCCAUGACUGAUCUUUAACUUUUCCCUUUUGUUGAUUUUUGGGAAAAAAAGGGUUAAAUGUACUUUCCAUUUCACACGGUACCCCGAAGGUGAAGGUUACCUUUGGAGCGUUCUUCUUGGAAAGCUCCUCAUGGGUCUAAGAAAUUAGUAGCCAACUUCCUUUUUAUUAUUAUUAUUAUUAUUAUUAUUAUUAUUAUUAUUAUUAUUAUUAUUAUUAUUAUUAUUAUUAAUUACCAAUUUCUUUCAUGACUGAUAAACCAAUUCUCUUAUUAUUUGGCAAAUUUUGUUUAAUUAACAAGAUCUUAACUUUACCAAUAAUAUAGAAAAUUACCAAUAUUUCUUUGGUGACUUCUCGAUUUUUUUCCAAAUUAAGUAACUCAAUGGAAAAAGUUAAUAAACUGAGAAAAAAAAUAAACAUCUAUAGUUAAUCAAAUGAGAGUUAUUAAUCGGUUGAAAGCUCAAUCGAAGAAAAUGUUGACAAAUAAGAAUUAGUAAAUUUAAGGCACAAUAAAGAAAUGUGAAAGAAAAAUUGAUAAUAAAAAUAAGAAAUGUUGGUAAUUGAAAAAAAAAACUUAGUAACUAAUUUAAAUGAGAGUUGGUAACUCAAAAUUAAUUGAUAAUUUGAAUCGAGAAAGGUAGGUAAGUCACUCUAAUGUUGGUAAUGUUUAGACAUUUUUGAGAAAUGCAACUAGAAGUUUGUAGACAAUUGAAGGUGUUACCCUUUCAUUUUUGUUUUCGAGCAAGUUUAGAAGUGCAACUCCACAUGUCUACAUUUCUCAAUCAUUUCAUUUGAUUCUCACCCCAUACGCUUUGUCACUUGCGGGGCUUAGGGCCUUUUCUUGGUCCUUCCUUCAAUCAUGUCUCUCCUUCAAUCAUGUCUCUACCACCUUGCACUUUCCUGGGCCCGGGCCCCACUGUAUAAUAUUGUCCGCUUUAGACACUGAGUCCUCACCGCUUUAAAACGUGCUAUACAGAUUAAAAGGGACUCAAGCCUUUAUAAACUAGCCAGGACUCCCCCCUAAGCGAUGUGGGAUGGGAGACAUGCCCCUUAGCCUCACUCGCGUACUGCCAAGGCGAUCUCAGUCCAUCCUUCCGUACUACUCCAGGUCUGGGUCGUCACAGAAUACUAAGGAUGCGCAUGAAAACCAUUCUAUUUCUGUUCAAUAACUAUUUUUUUUAUUCCAGACUUAUUUCUAGAAUAUAAAUCCAUUUGGUAAAUUUUUUUUUUCUAUUUCUAGAAUAGAAUAGGUUUGGAACAUAAAUCAAAAGUAUUUUUUUUUUACUUUUCUAUUUUUGGAACAAAAAUGAGAAAUAAUUUUUUUUCUCAAUCUUUGUUCUGUCUAUUAGUUGGUUGCUCAUUCGUCGUCACCGACCGUUGUUUUUUGUCCGUUGUGGCCACUUUUAACCACCGGCCGCCGCUGCCGGUCGCCGGUUGCUGUUCAUUGUCCGUUGUUGUCGCUCCCAACUGCUAGCCACCGUCGUCGAUCGCCUACCGCUGCCGCCGUCAGCAGUCACCGCUCACGAGUUCACUGUUUGUUGUCACCACUCCCCGUCACCAACCACCGUCUGCCAGCCGUCGCCGUCGAUUGCCGGUCGCUAUUUGCUGCCCCCCACCUGCCGUCCGUUGUUUGUCGGUCACCUGUUGCCGUCCACUGCUCGUCGGUCGUUAUCGUUGGAAAGAGAGAAAUUUUGUGUUGUUAUCAAACGAAUUUCUAUUUCAAAAAUAGAAAUCAUGUGUCAUUAUUAAACGCGUAUUUUUCUUAGAAACUUAUCUAGAAAUAGAAAUAGAAAAAUCUAUUUCUCUUCCGGAAAUCAAUUUAUAGCAAGGAUGGUUACCGUUCAUGUCCUAAGUGGCCGAAAUUUAUAAAUGGAAGAACUAAGAGGUGCCGAGGUGGGAAAAAAAAAUUAAUUCAUUAGAAUAAAUUUUGGGGAUAUAGACAAUAACUUUAUAAAAAAAUUUCAAAGGACAUUGCAGGAAUGUCUUCACAACCACAUCGUGGCAAGAUUGGUUCUAUUUCAACAGCUGAGAUUCUUCCCAUCCCAAUCGAAGGGCCUAUAUUGGUGGGAACAGCACAAGAUCGUUGCGCUUGUCCUUGCCAUCCCCUUCUCCACCCUUUCUCCCCCCGGGCCCACAAUUAAGAUAUUAUAAUAAUAUUCCCAUCCGCUCUUUCCCACAUCUGUCCUUUCUCUCGGUAAAUUUCUAGGAACUUGUCCCAAAGACUCGAAUCACCUCCCCUUCCCCAUCUUUUUUCGACCAAAAAAGAAAAACCCCAACGCACACGCCCGAGUCGACGCCAAGCACGUCAUCAUUAAUGCAUUGCGGUCGUACACAUUAAGAGAAAUGACAAAAGGGCCUCUAUCGGUGGGAACAACGCAAGAUCGUUGCGCUUGCCCUUGCCAUCCGCUCCCCCACCCUUUCUCCCUCCGGGCCCAAAAUUAAGAUAUUAUAAUAAUAUCCCCUUGCACUCCUUCCCACAUCUGCCCUUUCUCCCGGUAAAUUUCCAGGAACUUGUCCCAAAGACUCGAAUCACCUCCCCUUCCCCUUUUUUUUUUUCGACCCCAAAAAAAAAAAACCCAACACACACGCCCGAGUUGACGCCAAGCAUGUCAUCAUUAAUGCAUUGCCGUCGUACACAUUAAGAGAAACGACAAAAGGAAAACAAUAAAUUAAAAAGGAAAAUAUGAGAGCCAAUCUAAGCUAGGAUUGGUCGGUCAACAAGAAAGAAUAUCGGAACGUUAGGUUCGAGAGAUAAGGAAUAUUGAGAGUAAUAUAUAUUUAUGUUAAAACAAGAAAGCUGAGAUUAAUAUUUCACACAAAAAAAGAAAAAGCAAAAAAGAAAAAAAAACAGUAUAGAAAGCUCAUUGGAACGGCCGCUUCCGCACAACGUUACGACACGCAACAAUUAGAGGGCGGCUCCCAAUUUGAGAGAUAAAAAAGAAAGAAAAAAAAAGUAAGAAGUAAAAAAUAAAAAAAACACUAUAAAAAGAAACAUUGAUUGUCCUUUUUUUUUUUGUCGAAAUGGAAAUAUAUUAAAUAGCUCGAAAGUCUGAGUAGAAAAGACUUGAAUUUAAACAAAUUAAAGCCAAAAGGGUUUCGGAGGGCUGGACGCCUCGUUGAUCAAAUUCUCCAAAUCCCACGAGCAGCUGGUCUCAUACAGGGUUUCAACCGUUGCGAUACUCUCCAUCUGUUCAGCCAAAGCCGAUCUCCACCCAUCUCACAAACCCUUCCACUAAUUCUCCAUCUUUGUUCCGGCACACGCAGCUUAUUGCUCCCACCGGCGAAUCCGAGGAGUAAGACCUGUCAAUAUUGAUUUUGAGGGCAUUUGCAGUCGGCCUUUUCCAGUUCUGAGGUAAGGAGCCUUCGUCACCGUGCGCUUUCUUCUUUGAGUUCGCCUGAUUUGUAAAACAGAGAUUCUCCACCUUGGCUAAGCUGAUGAUUUUCUUUGGGUUCGGUUUCUGUUGGCGAAAAAUUGUGUUGUUCCUUUCUUUCCAGAUCUGCUAGAGUACUGUGGCUAGGAGAUUGAAACUUGUUGAGGUAUAUGGGUGAAAUCUUGAAGCCAUUCAUCUAUUCGACGAAGGCCGUAGUGUGAGAUGUGGAUCUGUAAGGCUGGGUCUUGCCAAACUUCUCGGUGUCGUUGCUGCUUUCGUCCGGCGAUCUGGUUUGCUUUCUCUUCGGAAUUCUCGAGACCUUGUUGCCGGCUUGCCCAUCGGCCCCGCCCCUCACCAUUCACCGCCCUUACUGCCAGCUUACCCAUCGUCGCGCCUCUACCUCGCUUGCCGGCUUAUUCUAACACCACAGCAGCAGUCCCUGGCGGUUUCCGGUGAUUCCAGGUGGCAUCCCGGCUCCAUUUGACGCCACCGCUUGCUGUUUUGUUUCCUCUGCUACGUUUGAUUUCCUUUCGCUGGUUGCCCAGAGCAGACUAGCAUUGAUCGAACCCACACUGUCGCCGCCAAGCAGAGUACGACCAACAAACCUUCACCGCUGCAUCUUUUGUUCUAGCGAACCUGUCUGCAAUUUGCCGUGUCCUUGCUGGAUCGCCAUCGUUGCUGCUUUGGUCCUGACGUUCCUCCUCACCGGUCGAGGUAAAGCUCCCCGCCCCGGUCCGAUUCUCGGAAACAAAUACUUCAAACCAGGUAAUUUCUUGAACCAAUUUGAUAGUUUGCAAUUAUUGAUUAUCUAAUUCGAUAUUAUUCAAUUCUAAUCUUGAUUUGUGCCUAAUUUUUAGGCAUCUCCAUGUUAGGAAAUUCCCUAUUUUGAACACUGCGUGUAGUUAAUAAUUCGAUAUUUAGGUAAUGAGAUAGGCUUGUGGAUUGCAUAAACAAAUUUUAAAAAAUUUGAUAAUGAUUUUAAUUUUCCUUCUAUGUUAAUUUAAUUCAAUAAAAAGUUAUAUAAACAAAUCAUCCAACCUAAAUGAAUAUAAGUUAACACGGUUUCAUAAUCUUAUAUUCUCCCACUCUAUUAUUAGAAAUGCAUAUCUAAUUAAAAUUAAGAAGCACCUAAAGUAGUCACCAAUCCAGCUUUUUCAGAUUUAUUUUUCUUGUUGCUUUUGACCGAUAAUAGUACAAUAAAGUAGCUACCAAAAAAAAAAAAAGAAGGAUCACUUUGUUCAUGACUAUGACCGUAAAGUUCAGGCCACUCAAAGCAUCCUAGAACAGUCGGUUUACUUCUGACGCUAUUCGCGAUCGAGGAGCAAUUUUUUGUCUUUGUUUUUUUCGGUUACAAUCUUUUCGGGUAAAUUUUUCCCUUUUUUUAAAGAGAAAUCUUAAUGUCAAUCAAGUGCCAAUUCUUCUUUUCUUUUCCUUUUUUCGGUACAUGUGUUUCAUAUUUUUAGUUUACUUCGACUUGGAUUUGGACUAAAUUAUGUUGACUUGACUUCAAGGGCCUCAGGCCAGCCAUCAUCGCCAUGCAGAUAAAUGGUGAUUCUUAUUUGUCGGCCAACGGAAGUGAAAAUUUGUUGCUUUGCUUCAAUAACACAAUAUCUUACACUUUAUAUUUGAAUGAACAUUUAAAUCUUAACAAGAAAGUAAAAAAGGUUUUGCUUUCUAGAAAGCACCAAACAAACUAGUCUUAAUAAAACACUCUAACCAUCGGGAUUAUAUGCCAUUUGUGAAACCAAAUUGUGUAUAUAUCUAAGUUCCGUUCGUUUCGUGAAAAUAAUUUUAAGAAAAUAUUUUUCAAAUUUUCUGGUAUUCAUUUCAUAAAAAAUAAAUUGGCAAUGAAAAACAUUUUCUAUCAACAGAAAAAUGUUUUUUGAAUAGGGAGAAAAUGUUUUCUGCUCUUCAAGUAAGAGAAAACAUUUUACUCACUCAGUCUCUCUUAUCUAUAUAGCCCACGCUUCUUUCUUCUUUUUUAUUUUUUAAAAAAAUUCGAAUUUCUAAUUAUUGUUUCUUUCUUUUUCUCUUUUUUCUUUCCUUUCUUUAUCGGCCGAUUGCCAGCCACAAGCAAGCCUCGAGCUUGCCUUGCCUUUGGCUGGUCGCUGGCAACCGAAGAAGAAGAAGGAGGAAUAGAAAAAUAAAAAAUAAAAAGAAAAAAUAAAAAUAAAGAAAAAUAAAAAAAAAUUACAAACUGCAAAUUCGAUUUUAAAAAGAUUAAAAAAUCAUUAAAAGAAAUGCACGAAGGUAAAUCAAAUUGAAUUUUCCAUACCGAUUGAUAGAAAAUUUUCAAGUUUUAGCCGAACACCAAAAAAUUGAUAUUUUUAAGAAAAUGAUUUCCUAAAAUACAUUUUCCAGAAACACUACAAUUUCCAUAAAAUGAACGGAGCCCUACAUCUAUCAAUAAUUAAGAAAAUAAGGUAGAAUGAAGCUUAGUGGUUGAACCACAUAAUCACAAAGUUCCAUCUCCUCCCUUCCCCUUAACAUUAAUCGGACAUAUUACUUCAACAUAAAUUAUAAAAAAAAUAAAACUUAAUCAUCACAUUUGAUUUGAUAUACCGUAUCUAGAGCAGUACACUAACGUCAACUUGCCCUCCUAAUUUUCAGUUUAUUUAGAAUUUGGCUUGACUCUGGCGAGCCAUGAAAAUCGGAAAAAAGAAAAUCAAUUUCUCAUAUCUCGAACUAAUAUAGACUUGCUGGAGUCGCAUUUCCCGGCAUCCCGAGACGUGUGACUCCACUUGUGUAGAGUUACAUUUCUCAUUCUCGCCACAUCUCACCAAUCAACUUGUGGGGCUUAGGCCGUUUCUUAAUCUUCAAUCAUAUAUAUGCAAUUUCUCCCUAUUAAUGCCGCGACACAACGGAAACUGAGCCUGAGCUUGGCUUACCUACCUGACCAUCGCCUAUUGGCCCUUGUUAAAGCAUAUCAAAUCUUUUGUGAUUUGCUUACAGAAUUUUAGCAGACGCGGCUAAGAUGAAAGGAAAAUGGAGCUCUUCUCCGGAAAUUGGAUCCACCGGCAACGGUGCAUCGGGAGCUUUGUUUGACGUGUUCUUGAGUUUUCGAGGGCUGGACACUCGUUUGAAUUUCGCAAAUUCCCUCUAUCAUGCCCUGCGAGAUAAGGGUAUCCGUGUUUUUUUAGACAAUGAGGGGAUCGACGUCGGUAAAGAGAUCGGCCAUGAGAUUUUCCAGGCCAUUGAUGACUUGACAAUCUGCAUUCCCAUCUUCUCCACAGGCUAUGCCUACAGCAGGUGGUGCCUACGCGAGCUGGAGCACAUGAUGAAGCGUAGGAAAUCCCAUGGACUGGAGGUCAAGCCCAUAUUCUAUGACGUGGAACCUUCCGUUGUGAAGCUUGAACCUGGAGUAUAUAGGGAGGCAUUGAUUCAGCAUGAAAAAGAACGUGGGGCUGAGACUGUGCAGGGCUGGAAGGAGGCCCUCAAGGAAGUCACUGAAAUCGCAGGAUGGAAAGCCGAAAACACAGGGUAUGUUAACUCACUCAACUCCAGCUUCCAUUUUCUCUCCGUUUCUUAUGCUUGAAUACUGAUCAUAAUUUGAAUAGCCAAUUUUUUUGUUUGGACUUUACACUUUUACAAACUGUAACUACUAUGGAAAAACUUGAAAAAAAAAUGCGAAAGAAGGAUAUUCUUGAGACUCCACUGAUCUUCCCGAGACAGUCCAUGCUCAAUUGUGGAAAAUCACGAGACAGAUCAUCAUAGCAAGGUGACCUCAUAAUAAGAGUGUAAAUGGUUUAGUUUAGUUUGGUUUUUUUGGAAAAUUGAACCGAACCGAUAAGGAAAUUUAUUGAACUGAAUUGAAAUCCGAUCUGAACUGAAAUCGAAAUCCUGGUUCGGUUCGAUUUUUUAAUUUUUACUUUUGCUUUUUUUUCCUACAUGCACCCCUUUCACUAAAUUUUUUAAAUAAUUAAAAAAUCGAUUUUUUAAUUAUUUUUUAUUCCUUUUCUUUUCUUUUUCUUUUUUCUUUUCUUUUCGUUUUUCUUUCUUUUUUUCCUCCUUCCUCAUUGGCCGGUUGCCGGCCACGGUCAGAGGCGAGCUAGAGCCUCGCUAACUUGUGGUGAGGUUGAGCUUACCGGAUGCCGGCGAGCUUGAGCCUUGCCAGAUCCGACGUUGAGCAAGCUUGGCCUCGCCUGACCAAGUGAGGUGGAGCCUCGCCAAUUCAACCUCACCGGAAUUUGGUGAGCUGGAGCCUCACUGGCCUAUGGCAAGGCUCCAGUGAAAAAGGAGAAGAAAAAAAAAAGAAAAGAAAAAAAAUUAAAAAUCAAAAAACGAUUUUUUAAAAUAUAAAAUGAAAUUUUUUUAGAUUUUAUUAGUUUGGUUUGGUUAAUCGAGUGGGUUAAAUUUUUUUUGGUUUUUAAUGAAAACCGAACUGAAUGAGAACCAAAUUGGAGAAAAAAAAAAAAACUAAACUUUUCGGUUCGGUUUUUGACACUCCUAUUGACACUCCUACCUCAUAGUAGUAGAUCUAUUUGCUCAUAAUGUCUCUCUGCGGCCGGUGGAUGCCCAUCGGUGACUCCACUUGUAGAUUGUAAACUUUUUCAUCUAUUUUGGUGCCCUGCUUCCUCACCCUCUUUCAGAUAUUGCUGUUUCCCCAAAUCAGUUUCCUUUUCCACUUUCAGAUCUGAUUUAAUUCGUUAGUGUUUUUUUUUUUCCAAUUAGAAAGGGGUCGGUUUAUGUUUUUCGGAUUUGAAGCGAGGACCCAUCGAAUAAUGUUUAUCGAGCAGUAUGAACGUGAAGCUUCAUAACACUAACCAAUCCGUCUAGAUUGGAUAUGGGCGGGGCCGGACGGGUCUUGUAAAUUUCUUUCCACGGGUAGCUAGUUUUGAUGGAGCUCCUAUCCUUUGACUAGAUUCGAAAGAGUACUAACGGACCAUAUUGGCUUUUGGGUGGAGUCAACUUUGAAUCAGUCUAUAGAUGAGAUCCUCAAACAAUUCCCAAAAUUCUAAACGCCCAUUUAUAUCAUACCAUGUAAUUCAGUAUAUUAACAGUUUCUACUUCACAAUUUUUUUGGGUGCAUUAUGUAUCUUUUUUUUAUACUUAACAUGAAACUAAGAAAGUUCGCGGCAAAAAGUUCUCCCAUCCAAAAGCUUCAAGUGGUUGGAGGAAGUCGCCAAAAGGUUCUAGGAUGUGUCUGUAAGAGAAAGAAUUGGUUGGCCUUUUCACCGUCCUUGAGUUCGCAACUUUUGGGGCAAUGGAAUAAUGCCACGCCGGAGAAUAUAGGGAAAAGCAAGAGAUUUGCUUCAAAGCAUGAAUUAAUUAAUUUCAAGGAGGGUGCCGGAUAAAAUUAGUUUUUAUAGAAGGUAGAUUUAAGAUUCAGUCAGUUAGCAUCGUGUAGUGUAAACACAUCAAAUAUUGAUUAUUGUCAUAUGAUACGAAUCUAGGUUAGACUCAAAACGAGUGUGCAGAUUAGAUUUUAUAUUGCAACUAUAAAUCUAGGUGGACUCAGAACGACAUGCCCAGCCCACCUUAAACUCAAGCAUAAGAGAGCCCACACCCACACUAAAACUCAACUCACUCCCAGCCCGCACAACGAAUCCAAACAAAACUUUAUUUCUCGACUCUCUGUAUCUCUCGCCUCACAGCUCAAUUGUUAUGUGAGAUUAUAAUAUGAAAAGGUUGGUUCUUAAAGUUACCAGUUACAACGACAUGCAGAGCUCUCCUCUACCGCUAAUGGUAGUUUUCAUCGGAGUCACCCUGUUUUAAACCCUAAAUUACAGAUUUCGUCCUCUUGCUUUCUGCGAUGUUCGCAGUUCCCGUCUCACCUCAUCUUUCCGCUCUUCCUCGGUCUCGGUCCUCAUCCUUGGGCUCGUCAUCUUUCGCCUUUAUCUUGCGAAAUUCUCUUCCCACGUUCCAAUUCACCAAAGUAUGAAUCUGUCAUCGCCCCAUCUAUCGCUGUAGCUGGUUUACUUGGGAUUACCUAUCCUUAUCUAUGGAGUUGUCGUUUGCAGCCUUCGUUUCACCGAACACCAUGAUCUCCAAUUGUCAACCAUCUUAAUCUUUCCUUCCUUCGUUGUAUUGUCAGCCAUACCCUCUGCAUGUUGGCUUUUCUUCCUCACCUCGGCAUUUUGUAUUGACAAUUACUCAUGGAACCACAUGAUCCGGAUGAGUCAUCUCGCCUUGCUGCCCUGUGCAAUAGAUUAGGUAAUUUAUGGUCUGAACAGGAAAUUGAUGUUUGGGAGGACUUGCCGUCCCAGGAAAAACUUGAAGAAUGCCACAGAACCCUAGUUGGUAAGAUAUUCACCAAUUCCACAGUUAAUUUACAAGCAUUCCAAUCUACCAUGAGGAUUGCUUGGCGCACAGAACAGGUAGAAAUUUCUCAACAGGAUAUGGGUAUCUAUGUGGCCAAGUUCAAGCUGGAAAGUGAUAAAACGAGGGUUGAAAAUGGAGGCCCAUGGCGAUUUUCUACAAACUUGGUGCUAUUUAAACCUUGGAAACCAAAUACUCCUCUUCACAGGUACGAUUAUUCAAAAUGUGCAUUAUGGAUUCAAGUUUUUGGUCUCCCCCUAGAGUGGUCCACUGCUCAGUUGAUCAGCAAGGCAGUUAAACGAGUUGGGCGGGUGCUGGAAGUAAGAGUGGAUAAUCAGGAUGGACUUACCUCGAAAGUAGGUCAUGCAAGGGUAGAGUUUAACCUAGACGAUCCUUUGAAACCAGGUCAACUGCUUCGGCUUGAUGGUAAAGCCUUUUGGCUGGACUUCCGGUAUGAACGGCUCCCCCACUUUUGUUAUUCCUGCGGCAGGUUAGGCCAUUAUGCAAUGUACUGUCAGAAUAUACCUUUUAAUGAAGCCAAGAUGGCGGGUAAAGAAAAAAUGGCCUUUGGUCCGUGGCUACGCGCUGAAGUAAAAGAAAAUAGUCCAUACUGGCGAGCCUUCUAUGAAGACGGGUCUACAUCCGAUGACCCUGAUGACGUUAUCCCAGAAACUCCACCUUUCAGGACGCCUACUGCUCUUGCUUUGCCAUCUGCAGCAAAUAUUGAGAAGGUAGUUCAUCAGGAAGGCAUACACCAAAAGCGAACUGUAACUACUGAUAUGAUCCCCCUCUCCUCAAAAAUGAAAGGAGUUCAAAAUUUACCCCUAGGAAAGGAAUCCAGUGUUUCUAUCUUCGCAGUGGAUACCGACGCCGCAAUGCAGCAAUUGACCCCUAUUGUGGAAGCAAGAGAUACUCUGUCCCGACCCUUGCCAGCUAUUACAGAGAGUGCUUUGAUUCCAGCACCUGUUCGGGAUCAAGGGCAUCGACAUAAACUAGCAGCAGCUGCCAAUAAGAAGAAAGCCAAACCAUCUUACCUUCCUACUAAAACAGGGACAGCAAAGAAACUUAAAAGGUUUAAUCCCUACGAUCUAUCCUCUCAUGCAUCUGAGCAAGUUGACGAUACUCAAUUACUUGAAACUCCUGUCAUGAUGGCUGAUGAAGUCAGUAACUGGGCUGAGGUGGCUUGCCCGAAAAAGCCACCGGUUGCAAAAUGAAGAUCCUUUCCUGGAACUGUCAGGGUCUUGGCUCUCCCCUGACGGUUCAAGCACUUACAGCCCUAGUGGCUAAAGAGAAGCCGGAUGUUAUUUUUUUGAUGGAGACUAAGAACAGAGAGCUGGUUCUUUCAAGAAUUCAGCGGAAACUGCGUUUUGUUAACUCUUAUACUACUAGCCCUGUAGGCACAGCUGGAGGUUUGGCUAUGUUUUGGCAUUCUCAUGUUUCUAUACAAGUGGAAAUAGCUACUCCAGACUUUUUUGAUACUAUUUGUUCAGAGACAGGAAGGGGAAUUACCAUGCGACUGACAUGCAUACAUGCUCCAGCGACUCCUCAUUUGCGCCAACCUUUAUGGACCGCUCUCAAACGCCUGGCUUUCAUCAAUUCUUUACCCUGGGUUUGCGUAGGAGACUUCAAUGAAAUAGCCUACCAGUGGGAGAAGUUUGGUAAGAGACUCCCUAAUGUUUCACGAAUGCAAACCUUUAGAGAAGUAUUACAUGAUUGUGCAUUAAUGGAUAUUGAAAAUAAAGGAUGCGCUUUUACCUGGUCCAACAAUCGUGAGGGGGAUGAAUUGGUUAAGGAGCGGUUGGAUCGCGUUCUGUGUACCUGGAACUGGCGGCUAACCUUUUCUGAGGCCGAAGUCUUGGCUUUCCCAGCAGUCGGAUCAGAUCAUAGUCCUUUGAUGAUUAACACUGAAGGCCAGCAGCGCCGUAAAGGUAAGAUCUUCAAAUUCGAAGCUUACUUGUUGCAACAUCAGUCUUGUCGGAAAGUUAUUCAGGAGGCCUGGUCAUUAGCUCGGGCAAAGGGAUAUAACCUGUCAAAAGUAUUAAAACAGGUUAGUUGGGCUCUGUUGCGAUGGAGUAAAGUCAGUUUUCCUAAAGCAAAUGAACAGAUUGAGAAAAUUCAGCAGCAACUUCAAACAAUUACUAAUCAAACACAUGGUUCUUAUGACAAGCAGUUAGUUCAGCAGUUGAAAGACAAGCUCCACGAUGCUUGGCAGCAGGAGGAACAGUAUUGGGCAUCGAGGUCUAGGAUCAAUUGGCUCCGGUGGGGUGAUAGGAAUACUAGGUUCUUUCAUGCCACCACUAUUCAACGCAGGAAUAGAAACAGAAUUAGGGUGCUGCUUGAUGAAGACCAACGAUGGGUUACUAAUGAUCGGACUCUCAAGCAAAUGACGAUGGAUUUCUUUUCAACGCUUUAUAAAUCAGAAGGAGCUCGUGACUAUGGACCGAUUCUUGAUAAAUGUGCAAGUGUUGUCACAAAUGAUAUGAAUAUGCAAACUCAUUUCAGAAAUUACCCGAGAGGAAGUAAAAAUAGCCGUUUUUCAGCUGGGAAAGAAUCAGGCCCCAGGCCCGGAUGGCUUCAACGGUCUCUUUUACCAUCAUCAUUGGGAUAUAUUAGAAGAUGAGGUUUUCUUCUCGGUUCAACAAUUCUUUCGAUCGGGUUCUAUGCCACCGGAGCUCAACCGAACCUCUCUCACUCUUAUUCCAAAAGUCCCGAAUCCAGACAGCCUAGAUCAAUAUAGACCCAUCAGUCUUUGUAACUUUGCAUAUAAGAUCAUAUCCAAAGUGAUUGCUAACCGACUGAAACCCCUCCUACCCGACAUCAUUUCUACCGAGCAAAGCGCAUUUGUCAGCGGUCGCCAAAUACAGGACAAUAUCCUAAUAGUGCAAGAGGUUCUACAUCAGCUCAAAACCAGGACUCGCAAGCGAAAAUUUCAGGCAGUUGUAAAAAUGGACAUGAAGAAAGCGUACGACCGACUCGAAUGGGAUUUUAUCCACGACUACUUACUCAGGUUAGGCUUCCAUUCGACUUGGGUUAAGUGGAUUAUGCAAUGCAUCACUACUGUUUCAAUAAGUGUUAAAUUUAAUGGGGAACAGUUAGAGUAUUUCCACCCCACGCGAGGAAUUCGGCAAGGAGAUCCUUUAUCUCCCUAUCUGUUUAUUCUUAUGGCAAACAUAUUGACUACUCUCAUCCAUCAAGCUAUCCACAUGGGAAACCUUAAGGGUAUCCAACUAAAUAGGUGGUGUCCUACAUUGACUCACUUGUUUUAUGCUGAUGAUGCUAUCUUCUUUCUUCACGGGUCAAUAUAGGAAUGCCAAGAACUCUCUAAUAUUCUAAAUCAGUAUUGUCAUGCAACGGGACAAGCUAUUAAUAGAAAUAAGUCGGGUAUUUUCUUUAGUAAAGGCUGCCCUGACCGACUUAAGGACAAUUUAGCCCAGGAAAUCAGAUUACCUAUGCUAGCAAACACUGGGAAAUAUCUUGGUAUCCCAUCUGAUUGGGGACGCUCUAAACGAGACAUGUUUGCAUGGAUACUAGGCCGAGUUAAUAGCAAGCUUGACGGAUGGAAGGAAAAUCUUAUCUCUAAGGGGGGAAAGGAAAUCCUUAUUAAGAGUGUUGUUCAGGCCAUCCCACAUUACGCUAUGUCCAUUUUUAAGAUACCUAUUUCGCUUUGCCAAUCUAUCGAAAAAAAGAUUGCCCGUUUUUGGUGGCAAAAUGACAGCCGGAAAUCUGGAAUCCAUUGGAAACAUUGGGAGGUUAUGAAAACUGGGAAGAAGAUAGGAGGUCUAGGAUUUCGAGACCUAGUGGCUUUCAACAGAGCUAUGUUAGGUAAACAGGCCUGGCGUCUAAUUCAGAAUCCUACUUCUUUAUGGGCAUCUCUCUUCAAAGGUCUGUAUUUUCAUUCUCAAGACUUUUUAACAGCUUCUAAAGGUACUAGAUCUUCCUGGGGUUGGCAGAGUAUCCUAAUGGGAAGGGAUUCCAUUUCCUCAAAGCUUCAGUGGUCGGUAGGGGAUGGUAAGCAUAUUAGGAUUCGAGAAGAUCGUUGGCUUCCUAAAGGCAAAAUAGGCGGAAUUGCUGCUGAACAAGAACCUGAAAGAGUUGCUGAUUUGAUUGAUUCAGAUACUAAGCGAUGGGAUCUGUCUUUACUGGAACGUUUUUAUGAUGCGGAAACUACUACAGAAAUUCUUAAGCUACCGAUCAGGUCGGAAUAUACGACUGACAAGGUUAUCUGGCCAUGUACUGUUCAAGGUGUGUUCACUGUAAAAAGUGCCUAUAAUGUUCUAAGACAGGAGGAUUCUACUCCUAUAGUUAACAGAGCUUCUUCCUCAUAUCACCCACCAAAGCAACUAUGGCACACCAUAUGGAAGAUCCAGAUUGCUCCCAAACUAAAAUUUUUCCUCUGGUCACUCUGUCAGAACGCAUUGCCAACAAAAGAAAAUCUAUAUCGCAGGAAAAUUAGUGUUUCUCCUAUAUGUUCCCUCUGUUCAUCCAAGCUGCCUGAAACUAUCGAGCAUUUAUUUUUAUGCUGCCCCUGGACCUCACAGGUAUGGUCUCAUCCUCAAGUCAGAGUUUCUACUCAACAAACAGCAAUUCAUCGCAUAGAGGAAUGGUUUAAUCAUCUGUCUACAAAAAACCAGACGGUACCUGGAUUGGAGCUGAUCGCCACCCUGUUAUGGCAGAUAUGGAAGUCUCGUAAUCGCUUCAUCUUUGUUCGACAGAGACCCGACCCCUUUCAGGUUGUUGCCCGCUCUCUUGAACAGGUUCGAACGGCCGCUGUAGCCGCAGCUUCUGUCCCCGGCAUCGGGUCAAACCGUCGGCAUCCCGAUCUCCGUACCCUAUGGAGGCCUCCAGAUCCGGGCGCUUUAAAGAUCAACAUCGACGGGGCUUAUCAACCAGGAAGCAUUAUAGGAUCAGUCGCUUAUAUUUGCCGCGACCACACCGGUAAGUUGAUUGAAGGAUUCACGAAGAUCGUACCUGCAGAUUCGGCAUUGAAGGUCGAGGCGGAAGCCCUGAAUAUUACUCUGCAUCAUCUGAUCAACACCAACGAAAAUAGGGUUUCUCUCAUCGAAUCUGAUUGUCUUCUCCUCGUUGAAGCGGUUCGGAAAACGGAUGCAUCUCCAUGGGAGAUCAGACCCUUGAUCACCGAAGCUGUAGCUUUCCUCUCGCGUCUUCCCCGUCUGUGUGUUCAAUUUUGCCCUAGAAAGGCUAAUUCAGCGGCAGAUUGGGCCGCGAAGGCCUGCAACAGUGGCUCUUUAUCUGAAACUUGGGCUUCGUCCCCUCCUGCUCCCUUGUUAGCUUUAUUAGCUUCUGAUAGUCGUCAAGCAGGUUGUAAUUUUCGGUUCAGCUAAUGCAAUGUUUCUUUCCGUCCAAAAAAAAAAAAAGUUAUAUAGGGAAUUGAAAAAAAAAAAAACAGCAAAACAAAGAAGAAAACAUAAGGGGCCGGUUCAGUUCCGAACCGGUUGCUUGGUGGACUAGUUCAAUUUCCAAUUCCAGAAAACCUGGAACGGCCCCCUGUUUCGGUUCCCAAUAAAAAAAUAUGCGAUGAAUAUUGGAAGGGAUCACUUUUCUUUUCGUGGUCUUGGUCAUGACCUAUUAAAUAUCCAUUUUAUCUUAUCACAAUGAGUGAAUCGAUUUGGAAAGUCAUGUACUAUUUCUUUCUCUUUAUAUCCCACAUUUUGUGGCUAACUCAUAUCAUUAACAGUAACUUCAUAAUACUCUCUCUAAUGAUAUGCAGCCAUGGAGAACUCACACGACAAAUAGCUCUUGAAGUUUUUGGUAAGCUUGACGUGUCUCCAGUACAUCUCCCUGAUUUUUUAGUUGGGAUCGACAAAUCAGUGGAUAAAGUUAUAGAUUUGUUGAGUGUUGAAUCUAAGGAGAUAAGACUCAUUGGAAUAUGUGGUAUGGGUGGGAUAGGCAAGACAACUCUUGCGAAGAUCGUUUACAAGAAGUUGUCAGCUCGUUUUCAAAGUAGUAGCUUUAUCCACGACGUUCGACAAGCAUCAGAAAGUUCGAGUUUUGGUCUUCUAGAUGUGCAGAGGAAACUAGUGCGUGAUAUCCUUGGGGAACAGAAAAUUGAGAUUCCAAGCAUUGAUGAAGGGAAAAAUGUGAUCAAAAAAUACUUCAGUGAAAAGAAAGUUCUUAUUAUCCUUGAUGAUGUAAAUGGUGGGGAACAACUAAGGGCAUUAGCAGCAGAGAGGAAAUGGUUUGGUUCAGGAAGUAGAAUUCUGGUUACAACUAGAAAUAAAGAUGUUUUGUCUAAAUUUCAGAAUAGUUUGAUUCAUGAAGUGGAAGGGCUGAAUAGUCAAGAAUCUUUAGAACUGUUCAGCAAGCAUGCAUUUGGAAGCAUCUUUCCUCCAAGUGACUUUCUCAAACUAUCUAGAAAAGCUAUUGCAAGAGCCAAGGGCCUUCCUUUAACUAUUGAAGUGAUCGGUUCAUUGUUACGUGGAAAAGAAGAGGCAGCGUGGAAAGAUAUUUUUAAAAAAGAUGGAAAUAUAUCCUUGUGAGGAUGUGCUGAAACAUUUAAGGUUAAGUUAUGAGGCUUUAGAUGUCACGGAAAAGGACAUCUUUCUUGAUGUUGCCUGCUUCCUAGCUGGAAAAAAUAAGAGAGAUGCAACUUAUAUGUGGGAUGACUGUCGAUUGUUUCCAGAACAGGGAAUCCAAGUCCUACUUUCAAGGUCCUUAGUAAAAAUUAGAGAGGAGAAUGAGUUAUGGAUGCAUGACCAGCUUAAAGACCUAGGUAGGAGUAUUGUACUUGCUGAAAAUUACAAAAAUCCAGGAAAGCGUUCGAGAGUGUGGAAUCCUAAAGAUGCGUUGGACAUGAUCACCAGAGAGAAGGUAAAGCUCAGUGCAACUGCUUGUAACGUUUUCAUAGCAUAAAUCUGCCUAAUAUAAUUUUUUUCCUGCUUAUUUUGUACUUCGCAUGGGUUGAUGGAAGACUCUUUUUCAUCGUUAUAGGGAACUGAAACUGUUGAGGCGAUUUGUGUGCAUUUUGAUGGGAUUUCUUUGACGUUGAAAGGGUUUAAGAAAUUGCCAAAUAUAAGAUAUGUUGAAAUGAGGAGCGGAAAUCUCUCCGGAGACUUUAAGGACGUUUUUCCAGAACUAAGAUGGCUUUCUUGGAAGUAUUGUCCCUUAAUUUCGCAAGUUACCCACUUUUUUCCUGAAGAACUACUCAUCCUGGACCUAUCAUGGAGUAUAAUAACACAGCACUGGGAUUGGACUCAACUCAAGGUAUGGGCAACUUUUUAGGUACAACGUUUGCUUACCUUUUUAUUUCCACACAAGCUCAUGCGUUACACCGGUUGAGGGCAAUCUUAUUAUUAAAGUGAAAGAAGAUAUCUAGCUGUUGAAGGAUGUCCCUAAGAUACCUUUUCCGACCUCCAUAUUCAACUUCUUUUAAUGUUUUCAAACUCAAUUGCUUCCUGAUAGCUAGAAGUAUAUCGAAACAAAAUUAGUUUAACAUAUGUUAAAUAUGUCUCUUUUGGUAGCUGAAUUGUGAUUGCACUAAUGCUGUAAUUUUGUAUUGUAAACUAUUCUAACCAUUAGGUGUGGCAAUGUAAAAUUUAAAGCUGUAGCACAUCAAAGCUGGAUGCGUCAGCUUUCUAAAAGCUUCUAUAAGGUUCCAUAGCUUUGACUUAGUUGCAACUGAGAGGCAUAUUCCAAUUACUUUGUAAAACCAUAACACCAACUUUUUACAACUGAAGCAAUUGCUGCGAAGUUUUACCAAAUAGUCUCAACAAGUUUCUAUGGUAACUUCACGUAACUAGUACAUUUACACACAUUUAUAAUUAAAGAAGUGCGUAGAGUGGAGUUUUGUGAUUGAGUCACACCAUGGCAACUUUUCGUUACCUGCUUCCCUAAACAUUAGAUAGGAAACGCUGCCCUUUACAUUGAUAAGAUAAAAGAACUUCAUCAACGUACUUAAACUAAUAAUUGAUGUUCAUUGGACAGCAUAUUAACAUCUUUAUAUAACAUAGUAACAUGGGUGUAAUUUGAGAUGAUAGUGAAUAAAUCUAAAUACUCUAAUUAACAAAUAUAUUGUGUUUAUCAUGUAUAUGAUUGGUUUAUAAUGCGUCUAUUAAUUAGUAAAUAAGAAUUAUCAAAGUUGUUGGUGUAUGAAAAUAAAUUUAAGAAUAACUUUAAAUUCAAAUAUUCUAAGUAUAAAGUCAUGUCGUAAAAAUAUACAAAUGAAAAAGACAUAGUAUACAACGGAUUACUUAGUAAAGUAAUGAACAAUGUUGAUAAAUAUGAAUCAUAUGUACUAAGUUGCGAAUAACUUUAGAGUAUAUUUUGUAUUAUAUGACCACAUCACCCAAAUAUAAGAACUUUCAAUAAGUCUAGUUUAAAACUUGUGCAACGACUACCGUCACUAAAAUAAUUCACGACAAAAUGCUUUUCGUGUUUUGUUUCAAUGCUUUGAGGGUCUCUUUUCAGAAUUGAGAUGGCUUUCUUGGGAUUGUUUUCCAAACGAACUUUGCAACAGACUUUUGCCCAAAAAAUCUGUUAAUCCUUGAAUUAUCAUGGAGCUCAAUAGACGAACAUUGGGUUGGUUGGACACAACUCAAGGUACGCAUGUGCAAAUAAUUUAGUAUAAAAUGUUAUAUUUUCUUCCAGUCACACAAGCUCUUGCGUCACACGGGGUUGUAGAUCAUCAUUUUAUUCAAAUCUCUGUUUGAUUGAAGUUUAUUGGCUUUCCGACAAAAAAGAAAAGAAAAGUUUAUUGGCUUAAUUCAUACGACAAAUCUUGGCUUCAAGAAGGCUUGUGACUCCAAUCCCUCAUUCCAUAAGGCUGAAACUUACUGUUGUGUUUUCACUAGAAGUACAUCCAAUCAAACAAUUACUUUACAUUUAUGUGAUAGAUUUGAUUGAAGAGAUAAUGCUACUUGUAAAUCCCCGUUGAAGACACUUUGGUCAACGGAAAGAAUGUUAUCCUUGACCACUUUUAUUCGUUUCGUUCAAUAUUGUGUUCAUAGAUAUUAUGUUAUGUUAAUGGAGAGAAUGUGACACGUGUAGAUGUUUCAAGAUUGCCUUUUUCAUUUUUACCUAGUCAAACAAUUCUUUUUAGUCUGAAUCUAAUCAAACAGUUAACUUCCCUAAAAAAAAGAUAUCAUGAUUUGGUUGUCAGUCAUUGAUCUGCAUUGCAUUUUAUAGUUUUACAUUGAUACUAGGUUAUUGCUGUUAUAUCAUUUAUGGCAAUUCUUCUCCUAAUGACCUUCUUCAAUUCAAAUUGAUUGUAGCUGCAUGAUUAGAGGGCAUUGUAAUUUGUACAUUAUAUGUUAAUAGUAACUAAAUUUUUGUGUUGCACUAUGAAUAAAGGAAGUGACUUGAUUAGAUAUUCAUACAUGUUUCGUGAAUUAUGUAGUUUGUCCUGAUGACUUUCUUUGAUUCAAAUUGAUUGUAGCUGCAUGAUUAAAGGGCAUUGUAAUAUGUACAUUCUAUGUUAAUAGUAACUAAUUUUUUGUGUUGCAAUAUGAACGAAGAAAAUGACUUGAUUAGAUAUUCAUACAUGUUUUGUGAAUUCUGUAGUUUGUAGGAUUAUUAGAUCAUCUAAUGGAAGUAAUGGCGUAGCUUAAUAUCUAUUGACUUCAUUACUUUUUAAAGAACAAUUUAUAAACAUUAAUGUUAUUUUGAGUUCCCUAAUCACGCCAACUAGUUGUCACGAUAGAUGUUUAAAUCUAAGUGAAAUAUAAGUAGCGACUAUCUAUACUAUACAAGUAUGCGAUGCCAAAGAAAAACCGAACAAUAGAGAGAAAUUAGCAAAAUAAUAAAAAUUGGCGAGUAAAACUGAAAAUGCAAUCUGAUUUAUUAGAGCAUCAAUACUAUUAAAUGAAUAUUAUUCUCUUCAAAAAGUUCAAUAUAUGAAGCAAAAAGAAAAAAGAACAAAAGUAAAGUGUAAAUAUAAAUUAGUUAACAGUCGGAAGAUAUGUAAAAUUAUUUUCUAUAUUGAAAUUUAGAAGGUACAUUUAGAUAGGAAAAGACGCAAAGUUUAGAGUCAUGAGUGCUAGUGUGGCGACAAAAUCGGUAAUUGGAUGAUGAAGUUAGAAAGGGAUGUUAUAAUUUAUAGGAGAAGUGUUGGCUAUAUUCUGUCUUUUUAUUACUUGAUACUGGGGUAAUAGAGAAUAGAUCUUCUUCUUUUUUUCAAUUUAUUGGUGGGGACAAUAUUGGAAGAAAUGAAAAAAGUUCAACAAAGAUUGGUUUUGGCUUAAGUUAGGAAUGUAUAUAUAGAGUGAUUAUGAGGUUACUUUAGUGGAAUGCUCCUUUAAUCAAUAUAUUUGCUUAUGUCCCGCAAAACUCUAUAAGUUAAACUUGUUAGAUAUAUAUAAUCAUUUGACAGGUACUUACAAGAUUGAAGGUCCUGGAUUUGUCAUUUUUUUUGUUGAAGGAAAUUGAAACUCUUGACCUCUCUAUAUUUUUAUCCUUGGAAAUAUUAAUUCUACAGUGGUGGUGUAAUAAACUUCCCAACUCAAUUGGAAUGCUGAAAUGUUUAGUUGAGUUGGACAUCUCAAACUCACUAAUCUUAGAGUUGCCAAAUACCAUCGUCAAUCUAGAGAGCUUGAAAGUGUUGAAGAUGAACAAAAGUUAUGUGCAAAAGUUACCCGAGGCUAUUGGUAUGAUGGAGAAACUUGAGGAAAUUCAUGGAAACAAUUGCAAGGCACUAAAGAUGAUUCCUAGUGAUAUCGGGAGACUACCACUCUUGAAGAUUUUGGCAUUAACAGCAAUUUUUGUGGAGAAUGUGCCAGAGCUUCCACAAAGUUUGAUAAGUCUAUGUUUGUCCUCAAGAGCCGUAGGAAAAGUUCCAGAGAUCUACAAUCGGGUGAACCUUCCGAGUUUAAGAAAUCUGGAAUUAUGUUUCGGCAAAGACAAUGAUGAAACCUUUGUCUACUAUGAAUCAGAGCGACAACCCCACGCUUUCAGCUCAUCGCGUAUGAAACUUUUGAAUAUUACUAGCGUAACCUCAUUUGGGGGUUGGUUUCAUUGUGCAAGAGAACUUGAACUUAUCUGGUGCGAGACCCUAUGCCAGAUUCAACAUCUUCCCUCCGGUUUGAGGAAACUGAAAAUUAGGGAUUGUAGUCUUCUUGAAGUUGUUGACCUUUCCAACUUGGAGAAUUUGUUGGCGCUAAGUCUAUUAAAUAAUCAAAAUUGUCAUAUUCAAGGGCUUGAAGGUUUAGCAUUGUUGCAAUGUUUAAAUGUGUACAACUGCAAGUCAAGCAAGUUCAACGGGCUUGAAAGACUGAAGAAUCUACAGCUCUUGCAGCUUAAGAUGUGUCCCUCCCUUAAAAAAUUGUCCAACUUAUCUAACUUGAAAAAUCUCAAGGAGUUCGAACUAUGGGAUUGUCCAAAACUGGUUGACAUUGAAGGUCUUGACAGAUUAAAAUCACUAGAAAUGCUUGAUAUCCAAUGCUGCAGUUCCUUGCAAAGCUUACUUGGUCUAUCCCACUUGGAGAAGCUGAAGAACCAGCACCAGAUUCAACAACUUCCCUCUGGUUUGAGGGAACUCACAAUUAGUUAUUACCAUCUUCUUGAUGUUGUCAACCUUUCCAACUUAAAAAAUCUCAAGGAGUUUGAACUACGGAAUUGUCUGAAACCGGUUGAGAUUGAAGGUCUUGACAAAUUGGAAUCACUAGAAAGGCUUGUUAUCCAUUGCUGUAGUUCCUUGCAAAGCUUACUUGAUCUAUCCCACUUGAAGAAGCUGAAGAACCUGCGCCAGCUUCAACCACUUCCCUCUGGUUUGAGGAACCUCACAAUUAGUUAUUGUCAUCUUCUUGAAGUUGUCGACCUUUCUAACUUAAAAAAUCUCAAGGAGUUUGAACUACGGGAUUGUCUGAAACUGGUUGAGAUUGAAGGUAUUGACAGAUUGGACUCACUAGAAAGGCUUGAUAUCCAAUGCUGCAAUUCCUUGCAAAGCUUAGCUGAUCUAUCCCACUUGAAGAAGGUGAAGAACCUGUGCCAAAUUCAACAACUUCCCUCUGGUUUGAGGAAACUCAAAAUUACUUAUUGCCAUCUCCUUGAAGUUGUCGACCUUUCCAACUUGGAGAAUUUGUUGGAGCUAAGUCUAAUCAACAAUCAGAUUUGUGAUAUUCAAGGGCUAGGAGGUUUAGCAUCGUUGCAAUGCUUGAGAGUGGACAACUGCAAGGCAAGCAAGUUCAGUGGGCUUGACAGACUGAAGAAUCUACAACUCUUGCAGCUUAGGAUGUGUUGGUUCCUUCAGACAUUGCCCGACUUAUCUAACUUCAAAAAUCUCAAGGACGUUGAACUAUGGUACUGUCCAGAACUGGUUCAGAUUGAAGGUCUAGAUAGAUUGGAAUUACUACAAAGGCUUGAUAUCCUAUGUUGCAGUUCCUUGCGAAGCUUACCUGAUCUAUCCCACUUGAAGAAGCUGAAGAUGAAUUGGCAGUGAGAAAAAUCAAUAGCUCGAUGAGAUGAUCUCCCACUCUAGCACUUGAAAAAGCUUGAAGAUCAGUAAAUCCUGAAAUUUGAGGCUUGGAGGAAUUUGUCAUCAAAAUGUUGCGAGAUCAAUUUACGGUGAUUGUCCACACCUGAUUUUUAAUCAAAAUUUCCAGCAAAAUCGGCCAUUUAUGUGGUUAUUAAAAAGCCUAGUCCAAUUCGCCUUCAGCCCAAGUCAUUUCUCACAUGAUUUUUUCUAGAAGUUCGGCUCUGACGAAUGGGUUCUGAUCGCAAAAGGGAGAGAUUUCCUUCUCGGUCGCCUUGAAUUCACCAUGGUCUAGCUCCAUAGCCGGCCACUUCGAGCUCAACGACAGCCAUACCAGGAAACAGAGCAUCAUACAUGCACACUGGAUGCAUAACAAUCCUCUCUCGAUGGAGAGAUUCGUGAAUUCGAAUCACAAUUUUUGACGUCUCUUAGCUUAUUCCAUUGGCUGUCGCUAAUGCCGUUGGCCAUUUCACCAUCACACUGAGUUUGUCCCGUUCGACUCUGUCUUCAGAUCCAAGAGUUCGAGAGGAAUCUAAUUCGUGUUCGAUUCUCCACUACCAGCUCCGAUCUUCACCGGCAAAGCUUCCAGAAGUUCCUUUUCCAUUUGGUCCCUAAUGGUUGCUUUGAUGAGGUAAAGUGCACGCUCUGUUUCUUUCGAAAUAGAGACAUUGAACUUGCGAAUUUAAUUAUAUAAGAACUGAACUUUGUUCGACGCAACUACAAUGAUUGCGUACGUGUUUCAAGUUUUACAUGAUGCUUUGGGUGUACUUUUACUUAAUAAGAUUUACAUUCGGACUGCUUGCUAGUUGUUUGAGUCAUUGUCUCAGCGAAGUCUAUAUUCGUGUAUUAUACGUUCGCUAGCUUCUUUUUUGUUGCAUAUUAGUUCAUAUGAAUCAGUUCUCCAAGUAAAUUAGAGGUCCGUGAGCUCGAAAUCUUUGUGCGACCAAUUGAGUUAGAGAGCUUGUUCUUGUUGGAUUGAAAUCAUUGUUCGCUGGCUUCACAUGGAUUGUUCUUGUUUAUGAUACAGGAUCUGUCACCGACAUUGGAAUGGCCUUUGCAUUUUUUCUUUGAUCAGAAAUCUUAAUGCCAAUCAAGUGCACGUUCUUCUUUUAUAUUUUCCUUUAUCAUCCUAUCAAACGCAGAUUUGAGAUCCAAAAUUAAUAGAGCACAAAUAAUUGAGGGGUUACUCAACUUGGAUUAAGAUCAAACGAAGGACCAACCGUUUUAAUCAGCCAAAAUCAUCUACCAACCUAUCUAUAUCGACCUCUAUUAUAUUUCUUUGAAGAUUUCAUAAGCCAUACGUCAAAUUUGAUAUAUGGCACCCUGCUUUUUUAUCUUUUGGGAAUUAGGAUUGAGUAUUAGUUAACAAUCUCUUUUUCCGAGGUUCAUGAGAAAUAUUAUUGCUAGGUUCGAUAAACGAUAUAUAGAGACCAAACAGAAGUCUUCCCUUUGAUCAAAUAAUUUCACAUAAUAAUUGAAUAAAGGGAAACUCACUAUGUAACAAUCCUCAAAGAUAGGACCCCAAAAAAAAAAAAAAUCUCCAAAAAAGAUAGCCGAAAGAAUAAAACUAAAAACAUAGAUAUUAUAUAACUCUAAUAGUUUAGAAAAGUCUAAGCUUAUCGAACUACGAAUACCAUGAUUUAAAUAGUUGACCAUAAAUAAAGAUACAUUAUUAUUACUAAGCGUUCAACUUAUGAGAGUAUGAGUUUUGAAACGAGAAUAAAGAGUUAUCCAGUUUGCAGUCUAAUAGAAACAUAACUUUUACAUUUGCAUGCUAUCUAUAUUUGGUCAAUAUUAAUGAAUAAACUAAUUCGUAAAUGUUUAAAAGUAAGCAUUUCUUUUUUGUUAAAAAAAAUUGUCUAACCGUAAUAUGUGCCGCAGAAUGUGCUGAAGUGGGCAUUACAAGAGGGCAAGUCAAUUUCUAAAGCUUGAAUAGUUCAGAUACUUGGGUUAAGUUUUGCUAUCAUCAAAAUACUUUAGGAAUUUUCCUACAAUUAUGAUCUAGCUUCACCAACCGCUGAGAAUGUCCUCGCGCUAGAGCACACAUCCGUGUGCGGGCGAAUACAACUCCCCUCCGAAUACAUGCCAGCUUACACGAUCCUCGUUGUUUGGCACAAAUCACCCAUCACUAGAAAGUCAAACGCUAAUAACCAUGGCCCUAUCCCAUACUCGACGCACCCACACAUGAAAUGUCAGAUGAUUUGACUGUCCCGAUCUAGUUUCACUCGACAGCGACCUGCCUCACCCCAAUUUGUGUCCCUUUAUGCCCCUAGUCAAUCUCUCAUUUGACCAUGGUCAGAGCCGCUCCGUGUAAGUGCCAAGUCAUACCAGUGACAAGUCCAAAAAUCCACUCCAUCAACGAGCCGUGCUAAUCAGUGGACUAAACCAGGCCAAAGGCAUUCAUGGACCAAGUUUAAUCCUAUUCAGACCGUUAUUCUUCCGGUUUGGUCCAAUUUCUAAUAUAUUUUGGCCUAUAGAUAUUGAGGUUAGUUUUGUAUAUUACUUCUUCUAGAAUUGAGAUUUCCUUGGAUUAUCUUGGCUACCUUGUAUUCGUGUUUACACUAGGGAAAAUCAGGGACAUUGGGAGAAUUUUUAUUAGUGGGAAAACCUAAUAGAAAAUAAAAAGUGAAUGCAAUGUAUUGAUUCAAAUAUUAAAUAUUAUAGUUCUAUGCUUGAAAUAGAAUGAUGACUAAAAUUUUCGUAAGUUUUUCUUAUAGUUUGCACUGAAACCUUCAUAAAUUAUAUUUUUACUUACUACAGUUCUCAAUCAUGGAGCAAAAAAUAAUGAAAAAUUGAGAAAAUAACUAAUUAAAGUGAUUUCUCAUCAAAUUUGUGGGGGCACCAUUGAAAAUUAUUUUUAUAAAUGACAUAAUAUAGUUUCUUCACAAGAUGGUUGGGGCAAUCGCCCCCAGCUUUGCGAACGUAGGUCCAUCCUCGGAGAAAUGGAUGUUGCUCACUCAAUUGUCCAAACUAUCUUAAGUGGUUCUACAAUAGUCCAAGACAUGGUUUCUCAUGGUACAACAAUAUAGAAUGCCAUAAGAUGGUAUGGAUUAUUUAUACAAUUUUUUUUUUUUUGUUACGCGACUAGGACUAUCUAAUGCUUAUGAUCGCAGCGAUACUUGAGAUGGAUGCGACCAUUGAUGACUUUGAAUAUCAAGCAACUACAUGAGAGUUCUUAUGUUUUUACAGAUCAGAAUAAUCAUAUGAAUUUGAAUAGAUGUGUGUUGAUUGAAGUGUUGUCCAAGCUAAACAGAGAGAUUGAUUGGGAGAUCAGAUCAAAUGUGAUCGUCUUCAAAGACGUGCCGCUUACAAGUUGUGCUGGUCAAAUGCAUUGUCUUCUUACUAAUACUUUGAUAAGUACAUUGAUCAAAUUUGCCAAUACUAUUUCCUCUCCUUUUUUAUUUUCCCACCCCUCUUUCUUCUACUUUGCUAUGUUAUGUAUAUGUCGCAUAUGCAUUCUAAAUUAUUAAAAGAAUAGUUGAGUUUAGAUUUCCAAGAAAGGUCAUGGAAACCCGAUAAUGGAUGAGAAAAGCAAGAUCAUUUGUAGUUACUUUCAUGACUAAUCUUUAAUUUUUUUCUUUUUGUCGAGGGCUGGGAAAGAAGUGUUACUCUUUUUCACUUCACACGGUAGCCAUCCAUGGAGAUUAUAUUUUGAGUGUCCUUCUUGGAAAGCUCCACGUGAACUCUAAGAAAUUAGUUAUGAAUGUCUAUUUAUUUUUUGUUUAAUAUACUAACUUUUCUUAUCAUUGAUUAAAAAUAUCUUAAGUAUUGAUAAAUUUAAGGCAUAUUAAAAAAAGGUAAGGUAAAUGAAAAUUGGUACAAAAGAAGAAGAAGAAAAGUUCAUAAUUAAAAAAAUAGACUUAAUAAGUAACUCAAAUAAGAGUUGGUAACCCAAACUAUUUGAUAACUUAAAUAGAAAAAAGUUACCACGUCACUCUAAUUAAAUAUGGUAAUUUAAGAAAAAAAGUUGGUAAUUUUAAGGCGUUACUAAGAAAUGCAAAUAGAAAUUUGUAAGCAAUAAGAAAAGUUAGAAAUAAAGAAGUAAAUAAAUUGUUAGUAACUUACAUGAAUGUUGAUAAUACUAAGUAGUAAUAUUACAGGAGAGAAGUUGGUGAAUCACGUUAACUAAGGCUGGUAAUUUUUAAAUAGAAUUGGUAAAUACAAUAAAAAUUAGUAAACCAAAUAAAAAUUGGUAAUGCAACACUAAUCGGUAAUUUUUUAUAACAAAAGUUGGUAAAGUACUUGAAUUUAGGUUGAUAAUUCAUGCAAUAGUUGCUUUACGGAUCACUACAUUAGAGAUGCUUAGGUGGGGAGGUAGAACCUCGGUUAUGAUGUUUUCGAUCAACAUAAUAAGAUUGGGUGGUGAGAUACAUUGACCACCCAAUCCGCAACCUUAGUGCAAUCCUCUUGCUUGAUCUGCGGCUUGGGCUUGGGCUUGGGCUUUGAAUUUAGGUGGACAAUUCUCUUUAGGUCUUGGAAAUAUGUCAAACGGGCUUGGGCCUUCAGUGAUAAGAGACCACCUCCUAGCUCGCUUGAUCUGUGCCUCCGCAUAUCCCCCGCACCAGAUCAGAGUGUUCUGUUUCCAGCUCUCGACUUCGGUCCGGCUUCUGCUUCGGAUUGAACGGUGGCUACCGCUUCUGCUUGUAACGCCGAGCCCACUCUUGCCAGUCGAGCAAAGCCAUCGAUCAAGAAGCCGUAGCCGUCGCGGUGGCGUACGCGAGCAAUGGCCACUUCCCCUGUUUCCGGUACAGAAGAUCCAUGGACAUUUAUCUUGAGCACGUCGCGGGAUGGGGGGGCUUCCGACAUUGGGGUAAGUGCAUUCGCUGCUGUGACUUCGCCUGCGUUUUUGGCUACCCAUCUUUCUGAGAUUAUGAUUCUUCGCCAGAGCCGAGUCGAUGAGUUGCUUGGGGGGUUCGGACUUCGAGCUCUGAACACGAGGUUGUUCUGCGCUUUCUAGAUCUGCCAUAGCGACAGAGCAAGGAGCUCGAAAGUGACUGAGGUGUGGUUGAACUUCACGAGCCAUGCUUCGAUUCUGGUCACGCCUUGAUUAUAGACCCUACUCGACUUUAUUUCUUCCAAAUUAUGUCAACUCAUGGGCCUUAGGCCAUUCCUUAAUCUUCAAUUAUACUUUGACCACUUCUGUCGAUCGAUGCCGCAGCACAAUGGGAAUGGAGAUGGAAACCGAGCCUCACUUUUCUACCUAACCAUCGCUCACCCCUGUUCCAAACGGAGUUCUUCCAACUUCCUUGAAUUGCAUAACACCAUGUUUUCCAUCAUCCAAUCUUGCAAAAUUACUUUAAAAUGUGGUGUUUAUUGUAAAGCCGCAAAAGCGCGUUCAAUUUUGAGCACGACUUUUUUUGUCAAGGAUUUUCACACAUUUUAAGAGAAAACUACUACUCAUAACAUCCCCGCCUAAGUCGUUGCCUACCGACCGACUUCAACCCUUUCGGCCAAGAACCGCACUCCUCGGCCAGGCACCCAAAAUGUCGAAAAGGAAGGGGGUCGAGGCGAAAGGACACCACGGAGGACCCCAAGUCACCGGCAAAGGCCGACUCAAUACUGAGAAAACCAGAUAAACAACGCACGGGGCUGGGAUUCGGCCACGAACAAAUAGUGAGGCAACGAAUCCCAUACAAGCAUUUUAACAAACAGGCGGUGUACGACACUUACCGAGGGAUCUCCCGCUCAACCAGGACUCUAGAUAAACAACCAGCCAAAACAGACAACGAAGAAACACGAGGCCGAUGGGGAUGGGAUUCACGUGCGCCGGACGGCGACGGAUCUCGGCUGGCGCGUUUGAAAUGGCGCCAAAACGGGGGGAAAAACUCAAAAGGGUAAAAAAGGGGGGUCAGCGAUGGCGCUUCCUAACCAGCUCGAUGGCGGCGAACAGGGGCAACCUCGAUAAACUGGACUAUGUCCAGUCGCCUCACGCCAACAAGUCGGAAUCCUCAGGAAAUCGACUGGAUUAAACCAAGAGAGAGAAAAAAAAAAAAAAAAAAAAAAAAAAAAAAAAAAAAAAAAAAAAAAAAAAGCUCACCAGAAAAGUCGAAAUCGUGGAAAAGGGAAUCGCGGGCUUGGUGGUGCCUGCAGGCUAGGGGUACGUUUGUAUCGAAGAUAACCGAGCAACGCUCAGCCAGGGUGGAUUUUAGCUCUAUCCCCUCUCGUUCAGUCUUGGGCACUCUCUCGAUUUCGCCCACUCUCCCCUUUAACCUCCUCGCAGCCAUGCCCCUCUCUCUCUCUCUCUCUCUCUCUCUCUCUCUCUCUCUCUCUCUCUCUCUCUCUCUCUCUCUCUCUCGUUGUAGACCUAUUCCCGCCCAAAAAGCCCUCUCCACACUGCCCAGUCCUCUGCCCUGCAUCUUGCGCUCCUUUUCCGAAUGAGAGUGAAUUGUUAUUUGCAGAGGGCAUGAGAGGAAGUGGGGAUGAAAUGAAGAAAGUGGAAGGGGCUGGGAUGGAAGAGAAAAAAAGAAAUGGGCUGGGCUGGGCUGGGCUGGGCUGGGCUGGAAGAGAAAGGAAAGAGGAAAGGAGGCCAAGCUGGCCCAUGCCCGGCCCGAUUUCGCUCUCUAUUUUCUUUAAAUAUAUAUAUAUAUAUAUAUUACGUUAAUUUUUUCAACUUUUUGAUAAAUUAUAUUAUUAUUAAUACAAAUUCCCUAAUAUCUAUAUACUAUAUAAUUUAAUGAGAACUAUUUUCUUUUUCUUGGAGUCGAGUCAAUCCCUAAUUUUUUAUAUCAUCAAAUUUUAGGUGUUAAUAGGUAGCGAUUAGCUUAAGGCUCACAAGUUUAGUUUAUAAUGAAUUAGGCCAGAAAUUAGCAGACUUAGGAAUUAAUGCUAGACCUAACCAGAGUAAGUCCAACUAGAAAGUAAGAGAUCAACUUGGACUUAGCAUCACUUCAUCAAUGAAAUGGGUAGCAUAGUCUAGUUUAAAAAAUUCAUUAAAUAAAAUGAGUAGAUUAUUAGGCUCACCUUAAUCUAGUUUAGAUUAGUCUAAUCUCUAGCCUCUUAGUUCAUGGGGAUCAGCUAAUGUGUGGAUUGAGCGAGCUUGCAAAUGGAUUGAGUAAUUGCAUGAAACAAAAAGAUGGGGUUGAUGAUGAAGACCGGUGGCCGAGAGAUAGGAGUGGUGGUCCUUGGUGGCAAUUUGAUUGGGGCUCGCUAGUUUAGCUUAGAAUCGAUUAGUCUAGUUUAGUUAAUAAAUUUAAGAAUUAAUGCUAGACCUAACCAAAAUAAGUUUAACUAGAAAAUAAAAAAAGUCAACUUGGACUUAGAAAACUUCAUCAAUGAAAUGGGUAGCAUGGUCUAUUCUAGAACUUUCAUCAAAUAAAAGGAGUAGAAUAUUGUGCUCGCCUUAAUUUAGUUGAUUAGUCUAGUCUCUAGCCUCAAGCUCAUGGGAUCAUGUCUUGGGGCUUAAGAACAAAGCCAUGUAUAUUUUUGCUUGACUUGGUAUCGUGUCAAGCUCAUGGGAAUCAUAUCUUGGAGCUUAGAACAAAGCCAUAAAUAUUCUUUAUCCAAAGUAUCAGGAUUUCUUUCUUGUACUUUACUUAAACUUUUCAAUACUUGGGUGUUAAUUCCCGCACUUUUAUUAGAAUGGUUGUUCUCUUGCUUUUUAGAAUGGUUAGGACAAACUUUAGGAUCAUAAUAAACUCCUAAAAAACAAUUGCAUAAACACUUAGUGGUUUGGAUGGCCUUUAAGAUUUGUAAUGGGUAAUUACAACUGUUUGGUCACUUAGAUGAAUGAUCAAUCAAGUUAGAGGUACCAAAAGGGCACUAAUAAAAACUAUUAGUGUAAUCAAAUCUUCGGACAUAGUAAACUCUACUUGCCUAUCUCACUUGAUUUCUAGCUAAUCAUAAUAGGUUAAUAGUGACUCCCAACUCACAUAAAAUCGUUUAGGGUUAAUUGAACCUUAAAAUUGAUCCAACAUAUCCUAAGGUAAAAGUUUCGGAGAGCCCGUGCCCCAUUAAAGGCUGUAAGCGCACGUUUUGGACAUUAUCUCUAAACUAAUUCCUUUCCUAAAGGUUGAGUCAGAAAAAGGGCCGUGACAGCUAUAUGGAAGCAUUAAUAAUGCUAGGACCAAUAAAGUGUUGAAUUCAAACUUGUUUAUAGAGAGAUGUAAUCAGACAAUUAAUGUAGAAAUUAUGAGGGACGCCCAAUACCAUCAUCAGGAAAGUUUUUCGUUUGAGUUCUAGACCUCAUCCCAGCAACGAUAUUUCUCAUGUGAAAAGCCUCUAUUUAAGGUCCUUAUGACGCGAAACAUCAACCCACCCUUGGCUCACUGAACCCUAUAGCUGGCUAGCAAGAGUAAGCCUUCGCUCUAACGCUGCACCUCCUCCUCCAUCACCACCACCACCACCACGAAGAUGCAAUCCUCACAACCCUCUCAAGCAUGCACAGACUUGAUCUCCUCUCUCCCUUCGGAUAAAGGUUGGGACAACCCCUCUCUAAUCUUGUACCAAGGCUUCUGGGUCCCCUCUUAGCUAUUCAACGGCGUCCUAGCUUGUCAAAAACACUUCCAAGCUCACAACUUUGAUAUCAUCCUCGUCACCAGCCCGAAAUUUGGUACCACUUGGCUAAAGGCCAUCCUCUUUGCUCUUUUGAACCAUGCCAAGUACUCUGACCCCAACUCAGAACGAUGCCACCCCCUCCAAACCCGAAACCCCCACGACCUCGUGCCCUACUUGGAGUUCCAGCUCUAUCUCCAACAAGAAGAUCCUGAUCACACUACUUUCGCAUCCCCGAGGUUCCUUGCCACCCACUUACCUUAUUCCUCGCUUCCACAGUCAACGGGGGACUCCAAUUGUAAGCUGGUUUACUUGUGUAGGAACCCUAAGGACAACUUCAUCUCGCUAUGGCACUUCACCAAGAAAAUGAUGCUCAAAGAGAACGGCAACCAGACUCCUCUCCCUGAGUGCCUCGACAAGUUUUGUCAAGGGUUGAGCAUGUACGGACCUCACUGGGACCAUGUGCUGGGCUACCACAAGAUGAGCUUGGAGAUGCCCGAGAAGGUGUUGUUCAUGAAGUAUGAGGAGAUGAAAGAGGACCCAUGUGUUCAUGUGAGGAGAUUGGCCGAUUUCGUGGGGUGUCCAUUCAGUGAAGAAGAGCUGAGAGGCGGGACUUUGGAGGGAAUAUUGAGGAUGUGUAGCUUCGACAAUUUGAGCACGUUGGAGGUGAACAAGAGCGGGAGCCGUUGGACUAGAGUAGAGAACAAGUCGUUCUUCAGGAGAGGCGAGGUUGGAGAUUGGGUGAAUUACAUGAGUGCAGAGAUGGGUGAAAAAAUAGACGGUGUCAUGGAAGAGAAGUUGCAUGACUCUGGGUUGAAGUUUUAGCACGCUGAACACACUCAUUCAAUAAUUCUCGUCUGUCGUGUUUUAGCUUUGAAGAUGUUCUGUCUAAUGAAGGAGAAGAAUAAGUACAAAUUGCUAAAAAAAUAAAAAUAAAUGCAUUGAUUUUCAUUGGCAUUGUCAGUCGUUGCUUUGUCUCCAUAGUGAGACGCUACAGGGUUGUGAUUCCAAUCUUCCUUUUAUGUUGUACUAUUGGCAUUUGCAGAUGUUGUUUGGCCCAACAUUUAGUUGGCCAAUAAAAAGCUGCCUUCCUAAAUCAAAGAUUUACUUAGAGUUUUGCUCCAAAUUUCUUUGCCAUUUUCAAAUCUCGUUUAACUUUACCUGCGCCAUCCCAAAUAAGCUCCUCCUGCAUUGCCAAGAGGGCAUCUACCCCUAACACUAGAUAAGUUUAGACCAAAUAUGUAUCGACACACGACGUUAAGGAGAUGGUGGAAUAAACCCUUUUCUCUCCUUAAUAUGAAAUACUUACCAACUAGGCUAAGUUUAGUUGGCUCUAAUCUCAUUGACCUUACAAGUGAAAUGAUGAUAAUCUUUAACCAUCGAUUUUAAUUGGUCUCUUUCCUGUAUUGAAAAUAAUUAUUGUGUCCUCUUCUACAUUUAGAAGAAAAAAAGUACAUUUUAUGUACAAUUAAAUAGUCUCAAAUUCAAUCAUAUAUAAUAUAUCAUUAUGGGAUAUACAGACAAUUUAAACAUGCACAGAUUCUUGUGUAAAAGGAUGAGAAGAGAAGUUCCGUUUUUCAGGAUAUUUGCUAUCUUCUCUCCCCAAGUGCCUUAAUGAAAUCAUCGGACUCUAAACACACAUGCAAGCUCAAACAAGUCACUGACUCACACAGUCCGAACACAAACAGUCACACCUUCCAACAUGCAUCAUCCAUGCCUCGGUUUUGCUCAUUAAACACCUAAAACUCAACAUGCAAACCACAUAUCAACAAGCAAGAGAAGCUAGAGGACUUCCACUUGCCUCUAGGACGGACGGCGACGGCUUACGGCGGCGUACACGGUGGACGAACGGCGGACGGACAGCGGUUUCCCUCCUCCUCUCUCUCGGCCGCUCCUCCUCUCUCUCGCACACCUCUCUCUCUCUUCCUCUCCUUUGGGCGAGCAAAUGGCCGGCCACUCUCUCUCUCUUCCCUUCUUAUUUCCCCAAUUUCUCAUGAUUAGCAAUCAUGAGAUUGCCUAAAAACCAACCAAUGCAUGGCCUUCCCCUUUGCCACUUGUCACAUUGAAUUUUGAAUUUGGGUUUGGGGCUUCUUGGGCUUGGGCCUCUAUGGCCGGCGACUACUCCUCUCUUGGGCCUCUAUUGGGCCGGCGAGCUUGGCCCAUCAAGCUUAGGCCAAAUGGGCUUAAGGCCCAUCCUAAAAUUUAACCUUUUCUUCUCUUUUUUUUUUUUUUUGAAUUCCUUUCUAUAAUUAUUUCCAAAUUCAAAUUCUAUCUUGGCCAAAGUCUUAGGACAUCUUGGUUAUUGAAAUUUAAUUUAUAAAGUACAUGGCCAAGCAUAAAUUAUUAAUCUAUCAAAUUUAAAUUUCCACAAUCAUAUGCACAAAUCAUCUAAUUAAAAAGGCUAAUGGCUAAAGCAUAAGCCAUGGAAAUUUUUAUCACCUAAUUAGAGACUUUAACACACCUUAUGGCUUGGUUUUGAAUUUUGGGAUGCCACACACAAUGAUUAUUACAAAGAAUUCUUAAAUUACAUGAGUAUCCUCCUUGUCAUGUGUGUUUGAGCUUGCAUGUGUGUUCGGAUGUGUGUUGAUGCAGCAUGGCAAAGUAGUAGCCUAUGCAUCCAGACAAUUGAAACCCCAUGAGCUGAAUUAUCCGACGCAUGAUUUAGAGCUAGCAGCUAUAGUGUUUGCCUUGAAGAUAUGGAUACACUAUUUGUAUGGAGAAAAGUUUGAGAUUUAUACGGAUCAUAAGAGUUUGAAGUAUCUGUUCUCACAAAAGGAGUUGAACAUGAGACAAAGGAGGUGGAUGGAGUUGUUGAAGGAUUAUGAUUGUGAGAUAAGAUAUCAUCCAGAAAAAGCGAAUAGAGUAGCAGAUGCUCUUAGUCGAAAGUCGGCUGUAGAAAUGGCUAGUUUAAGGAUGGCAGAAUGGGAAUUGUUAGAAUCUGUGGCAAAUUCAGAAUUUAAAUUGGAAAUGGAUUGUCUUACUGGCAUGCUUAGUGCAUUAAGGAUAGAGCCAGAGAUUAUCCAGAAAAUUAAAAUCCUGCAAGAAUCUGACCCAAAGAUUUUGAAAGUGAAAGAUGCAGUAUCUUUAGGAAAAAGAUCAGAAUUUCAGAUCUCUAAUGAUGGAAUAGUAAGAUGUCAAUGACGACUUUGUGUUCCCGACAAUGAGGAAUUGAAGAAGGAAAUUCUGUCGGAGGCACAUAAGAGUAAUUAUAGUAUCCGCCCAGGCAGUACAAAGAUGUACAAGAAUUUGCGUCAGCAAUUUUGGUGGAAUGGUAUGAAGGCAGAUACGGCUAAAUACGUAUCUCAAUGUUUGACGUGUCAGCAAGUGAAAGCGGAGCAUCGUAAACCCGCAGGACUUUUGAGACCAUUAGACAUUCCAGAAUGGAAAUGAGAACAUAUAACGAUGGACUUUGUGCAAGGAUUGCCAAGGACAUCAAGGAGUCAUGAUUCAAUUUGGGUGAUAGUGGAUCGUUUGACUAAGUCGGCUCAUUUCUUAGCGAUUCGCAUGGACUACCCAAUGGAUAAGUAUGCGGACAUGUAUGUAAGUCAAGUGGUACGCUUACAUGGUGUUCCAGUGACCAUUACUUCAUAUCGAGAUUCGAGAUUUACUUCGAAUUUUUGGAAAAGUCUUCAAGUUGCAUUAGGGACUAAGCUUCAAUUUAGUACUGCUUUUCAUCCCCAGACAGAUGGUUAAUCAGAAAGAGUAAUCCAGAUAUUAGAGGAUAUGUUAAGGGCUUGUGUAAUCGAUUUCAAAGGAAAUUGGGAUGAAAGAUUGCAUUUAGUAGAGUUUGCCUAUAAUAAUAGCUUUCAGAAAAGUAUAGGCAUGGCUCCAUAUGAAGCGUUAUAUGGAAGGAGAUGUAGGACUCCUGUCUGUUGGAGUGAAGUAGGUGAAAGGAAAUUGACGGGACCUGAACUGGUACAAGUUACCGUUGAGGCUGUUGAAAUUAUCAGAGAAAGACUUAGAACAGCUCAGAGUAAACAGAAAGGCUACGCAGAUAGGCGUAGAAGACCUUUGGAAUUUAGUGUAGGAGACCAUGUAUUUCUUAAGGUAUCUCCAAUGAAAGGAAUAUCUCGAUUCGGGAAUAAGGGUAAGUUAAGCCCUAGAUUUGUUGGACCUUUUGAAAUUCUCGAGAAGAUAGGGGAUGUAGCUUAUCGUUUAGCGUUACCUCCUAAGUUAGAAAAUCUGCACGAUGUGUUUCAUGUAUCGAUGUUGACGAAGUACCAGCCGGAUCCUGGUCACAUACUCGAUCAUGAAGCCAUCAAAAUGGAUGAGAAAGUAAGGUACAUUGAAGAGCCUGUGCAGAUAUUAGAUCGAAAGGAGCAUAUUCUUAGGACCAAGAAGAUCCCAUUGGUUAAGGUGUUAUGGCGACAUCAUGAUAUGGAGGAAGCCACAUGGGAAAGUGAGGAUCAGAUGAAGGGAAAGUAUCCCUAUUUAUUUCAAGAAGACGCAAGUGGUGUUUGAAUUUCGAGGACGAAAUUCUCUAAGGAGGGGAGAAUUGUGGCAUCCCAAAAUUCAAAGCCAAGCCAUAAGGUGUGUUAAAGUCUCUAAUUAGGUGAUAAAAAUUUCCAUGGCUUAUGCUUUAGCCAUUAGCCUUUUUAAUUAGAUGAUUUGUGCAUAUGCUUGUGGAAAUUUAAAUUUGAUAGAUUAAUAAUUUAUGCUUGGCCAUGUACUUUAUAAAUUAAAUUUCAAUAACCAAGAUGUCCCAAGACUUUGGCCAAGAUAGAACUUGAAUUUGGAAAUAAUUAUAGAAAGGAAUUCAAAAAAAAAAGAGAGAAGAAAAUGUUAAAUUUUAGGAUGGGCCUUAAGCCCAUUUGGCCUAAGCUUGAUGGGCCAAGCUCGCCGGCCCAAUAGAGGCCCAAGAGAGGAGUAGUCGCCGGCCAUAGAGGCCCAAGCCCAAGAAGCCCCAAACCCAAAUUCAAAAUUCAAUGUGACAAGUGGCAAAGGGGAAGGCCAUGCAUUGGUUGGUUUUUAGGCAAUCUCAUGAUUGCUAAUCAUGAGAAAUUGGGGAAAUAAGAAGGGAAGAGAGAGAGAGUGGCCGGCCAUUUGCUCGCCCAAAGGAGAGGAAGAGAGAGAGAGGUGUGCGAGAGAGAGGAGGAGCGGCCGAGAGAGAGGAGGAGGGAAACCGCCGUCCGUCCGCCGUUCGUCCGCCGUGUACGCCGCCGUAAGCCGUCGCCGUCCGUCCUAGAGGCAAGUGGAAGUCCUCUAGCUUCUCUUGCUUGUUGAUAUGUGGUUUGCAUGUUGAGUUUUAGGUGUUUAAUGAGCAAAACCGAGGCAUGGAUGAUGCAUGUUGGAAGGUGUGACUGUUUGUGUUCGGACUGUGUGAGUCAGUGACUUGUUUGAGCUUGCAUGUGUGUUUAGAGUCCGAUUUUGGCUUUUAUUUCUUCAUGAGAGUUGUAACUAACAUCUUGAACUACAACAUAAUUAAAUUUCGUGAAAAAUGAUGGAGAUUUGAGGGGUUAAAGUCUUGUUCUAUGGAGACCUCAGAUCUGGAGAGUUUUUACUGACCUCUUGUUGGAUUUGUGGUUGCAUGUUGGUUUUUGUUGAAAAUCUCACUUCGGUUUCUCAUGAAAGUUGUAGGAGACAUCUUAAAAUACAACAUACUCAAAUUUGAAGUGAAAUGAACAAGUAUAUCCUAGUAAAUCGACUAGAUCUUGAAGAAGAUGAUUCUGGUGAUGUAUUCCGAGAUACCCGAGACUUCAAGGACCUAAAUGAUGACUAUAAUCUGGUUAUUUGACUUGGAUCUCUUCAUGAAACUUGUAGAGGAUACCUUGAUGUAUAACAUAUCCAAAUUUAAGAGAAAAAAAAAAGAGAAUAGGUAGGUUAAAUCUCAAUAUUUCGGUGAUAUGUGCACUGGACGAUGCGGUAAUGGAUCCAGAAGCUUCGUGAGGUUGUAUAAAAUAAUAUAAAAAUAAUCUGGCUUGGAGUUCUUCAUGAAAGUUGUGCGAAAAUUUCUUGGCUAUCACUCUGUAAAAUUUCGUAAUUUUUGGAGACCAUAUGGAUAUUUUAAUCGAAUUUCUUCGGAAACUGUGCGUGCUGGUUUUAUCCGAAUAUUAUGUGUUGUUUUGUGAAAAUUGUGAAAUUGUGUGAAAUUCAAUUUGGCCAUGAAUUUUGCAUGAAAUUGUCAUCCUAUUGGUUGUUUAAUGAUUGCUUGAAUUUUUAUAAUUUUGGGAAUUUAUGGAUAUUGAAUUUAAUAUUUAUUUAUUAAAAAUAAAUAAAUAAAUAAAUAAAUUGGAUUAUCUUAUUGGCCAUAAAUUCCAUUGAAUUUAUUAAUAAAUAAUUAUGCAUUGUUACAUGUAUAAUGAGAUAUUGGUGUAUGUAUGACAUUGAAUUGUGAUGCAUGUGUGCCAAGUAUGAUUUGUUUGAUGUCAUGCCAUAUGCCAUGUUAAAUUGAGAUUAAAAUAAUGGUAAAUGUGGAUAAUGAUAAGUGAGGAAGUGGUUGUGGUGGAGGAUGAGGCCGGAAUGUAUAGAGAUACAUUGCCGGAAUUCCCUGGGAGAUUCAGGAUGCCCGGAAUGUGGGGGGCCGGAAGCCUUGUCGGAGGUCUUUGCCCGAAAGGAAUGCCUUGCGAUGCCAGGAUUGGGGUGCGGGAUGCCCAGCCAGGGAGUGUAAAUGCCGGAAGCCUUGUCGGAGGUUUCUGCCCGAAGGGAAUGCCUCGUGAUGCUAGUUGAGAUGCGAGAUGCCCGGAAUGUGGGGGGCCAGAAGCCCGGUGGCCAUGGGAUGGCUGGAAUGCUGGGAGCCCUAUCGGAGGUUUUUGCCCGAAGGGAUGAUGAAAUUGAUGAUUUGAGAAAUGGGUGAUGUGGUGAUCAAAUUUAAAGAUUAAAGAUAAAAAUUCACCCAUGAUAUGAUAUGCAUGAUGAUAUGCAUGAUGAUGAUGAUGAUGAUAUGUGAUGUGAUAUGAUGAUCACCCAUGAUAUGAUAUGCAUGAUGAUAUGCAUGAUGAUGAUGAUGAUGAUAUGUGAUGUGACAUGAUGAUCACCCCAUGAUUGAUAUGCAUGAUGAUAUGCAUGAUGAUGAUGAUGAUGAUGAUGGUGAUAUGUGAUGUGACAUGAUGAUCACCCAUGAUCUGAUAUGCAUGAUGAUAUGCAUGAUGAUGAUGAUGAUGAUGAUGAUGAUGAUGAUAUGUGAUGUGACAUGAUGUUCACCCGUGAUAUGAUAUGCAUGAUGAUAUGCAUGGUGAUGAUAAUGAUGAUGAUAUAUGAUAUGACAUGUAUGAUGUAAUGAUGCCAUGAUGAUAAUGACAAGUGUAAUGUGAUGAUGUCAUGAUGAUGAUGACAUGUAUGAUGUAAUGAUGCCAUGAUGAUAAUGACAAGUGUAAUGUGAUGAUGUCAUGAUGAUGAUGACAUGUAUGAUACGAUGAUGAUACACAUGUAUGUGUUAUAAAUUGAUAUGAUGAUGCAUGAUAGUGUGUGCAUGGCUUCAAGGUAAGUAAUGCCUGCAAUGCAUAUGUAAUUUGCAUGAUGCAUUGAGUUGUUAUUGAAUUUCCCUAUCUGCUGAGUGAUUGUACUCACCGCUUUAGGGACCCACAUUUCAAAUUAGCANNNNNNNNNNNNNNNNNNNNNNNNNNNNNNNNNNNNNNNNNNNNNNNNNNNNNNNNNNNNNNNNNNNNNNNNNNNNNNNNNNNNNNNNNNNNNNNNNNNNNNNNNNNNNNNNNNNNNNNNNNNNNNNNNNNNNNNNNNNNNNNNNNNNNNNNNNNNNNNNNNNNNNNNNNNNNNNNNNNNNNNNNNNNNNNNNNNNNNNNNNNNNNNNNNNNNNNNNNNNNNNNNNNNNNNNNNNNNCACCGGGUUGGGUGUGAGGCCUGCACGUGAUGAGUAGGAGCUGUUUCUUUUUGGGGAUAGUUAGCCGACACUUAUGAUGGGGGUUGUUGCACGUGUGACGUUGAGGGUCGAGGUUUCUUUUUGAGGUUUUAGGCUGGACGUGGCUGAGUCCUAGCUUUUCCUUUUUGAUGUACCGACCCAAAAGAGAUCCCAUCUUGAAAAUAUAUAUGUAAAUAAAGUGUCGUGGCUUGUUUAUAAAAUUAUGGUGAUUAGUGGUGUGUAUUUGUAUCAUGGUUGGUAGGGGGGAGAGACGGUGAUGUUUUAAUUUGCUUCCGCAUAAUGAGUCGCGCUGGGACCGUUUUGUUUUAAAAAAAAAAAUGUGUCUACAAAUUAGGACACUUCUUCAAAGUAGAAAGGUGUAAUAUUGGCGCUGGUGACGACUUGCGAAGGGUUCGGGGUGUCACAUUGUGACAUUUUUUUUUCUCAGGGAGAUACUUUCCUCUCCUCUUCCCCAUUAAGAAAAUAUAAAUUGUUGCCAAAAGGUCGUUUUUACGUAUUUUCAAAAAACUAGAGCUUGUUCUUGCAGUUUAGAUUACUUAAAAGGGGAUUAGUUUCCUAGGAAUCUAUUUUUACCAAAAAAAAAAAAGUAAAGCAAAGGGGACAUGAGCAUAUGAGAAAAAUCAGGGAAACUGCCCGAGUAAAAUAGAGAGCGGGGCAUGCUGCCGACAAAACAAAUGAGACCUGCAGCAAGAAGAGAUAUGGGGUCUUCAGCCGACAAAAGACAACAUGACGAGAAUUCAGCUGCAAUGUCAUGUGGUCGACUUUCCUCAGCUCCACAAUUUGACCCCCAGAAUCAUUACCAAGAACCUAAAUCGACCAUCACUUGGGAUCUGCCAUGUGGUUCAAACUGGAAGAUUGGAAAGAAAAGCCGUGUGGUAUUCCCCUGAAGACAUCGAAGUUGAAAUUCUCCUAAGGCAAAAAAUCGAGAGUCAAAAGCAAAACAUGAAGGAAGUGAAACAUUACGUGCAAGGGUGAGGUUGUGGGCAGAGAGUGAAUGAACAGAGAGAGAAUACGUUAGCUGCAUGUGUUGUCAAGGAAGUGAAGGUGCUCUUGGUGUGUGUUUAAACCGACUGCUAAGCAUGUCCCCGUUACUCAGGCCGCCAACAAUAUCAUCUGAUCAUACUAUGAGGUAUUUACUAAGUCCCACGAUCUGAACAUGAAUAUGGAUACAUUCUCAAUACACCAACUCGAAGGUUGCGUGUUGAACUCAGAGUCUUCGUCAUUUCAUUAUGGGAGGGGCUUAUGUGCAGCGAUCAUCGUAGUUAUGCAUCAUUAGUAGACUCUCAAAUGGUGGGUUUUCCCACUUUGGAAUAUUCAGCAUCCUUUCUUAUAAAUCUGUAUUCCACCUGAUCUUGAGCUGCUACUGAUGAAGUACCAAGCCAUUUUUAGGAAAGGGAGUUGAGAAAUUGAACUGGAUACUGAUUUGCAGUUGGAUAUGCGGCACCCGCCUUGCCUGUCUUGUUGGCUGUGUGAACUCUGGAAUUCAUUGAUUGCAAGCCGUACCUUUCUCCUGCAAAUUUGUGGACGUGAAUGUUCAUGGCCACCGGCCCUUGAGACCGAUUGAUAGGUGUCCAAGUUGCUGUUUCUUCACGCUCGCGGAGACGAGCGAGGAAGGACGCUCGUACAGCAGAGAACAUUGCAGUGGCAGCAGCGAUUGUCGAGCGAGAAUUUUUGUCGGGGAAGUGACCAACAGAGAGGACGGGGGCGUCGACCUCGAGGAGAAGAAUCGCUGUUUGGUUGCUCUUUAAAGGGAGAGACUGAGAGGGUGAAGACGGUCAUUUCCGACGGUCCUUGCUCAAGGUAGGCCUCUUGCUGCCAUCGUCGUCAGUGCUGUCUUCCGAUGAUCUCGGGGCUUGAUGGGGUCGAAAGAUGUGAGAUCACGGUUCAUCCCGUUUUCGUGUAUGGAAUGAACCUGGUCUUCUAUUUCCAUUGUCACCAUCUCGGUAGGGGGCUCUUGGCGUUUUGGGUGUCGUAUCUCCGUUAAGUCGUUGCCCGCAUCUCGUGAGUGCUCUUUGGUUCUUUAGUUUGAGUCGCUCUUUCCCAGGAAUCUUGGCUUGGAGCCGGCCAGAGCGCGGUUCACCUCGAACUCGCCCUCUAGUCGUCGUCUCCGAGGCGGGUAGGGACUUCCUCGUUAAAUGGUCACCCACACGAGUCCCUUCAGCUCCGCCUUGUUCCGUUUAAAGGACGAUCUGGGCUUGGUUUCUCCGGUUACUUGAGUGUUCCAUGUCCAACUGAGUUGAUCUCUUUGGCGUCACGGGUCUAGAUCCGAGUUCGGGUCUUGGAACGGUCAGUAACUUCUCCUCAACGCACUGCACACCGCGUGUUUGCAUAAAUGUCUAAAUGAAGCUCUGUUUUUGUCUGGGGAACGUCUCCAAAUUUAAAACAUUUUGAUGACCAUUUAAUUUUUAAAUCGCAACAUCCAUCUUCGAUUGAUUCAUUUCGAGUUCAUCUUUCUGUGGUUCGAGUAUAUGGCCGUAUGUCCUGCCUUUUUUUUUUCUUUUCUCUUGUGUUUGGCUCCUCGUUUUGCACAUGUUUUGGUGUUACUUGUGUGAUGCUUGCUAGAUGGAGUGUACGGCUGGAAUGUAUAUCAUGAAUUGACAUAAUGAUUGUUAGUAAGUAGAGAAGUCCAUUUGUUUGUGGCUUGAGAUUUUGUUACGUCCGUAAAUUAUGAGUCUUGAGGUUCAUGAGUUAGUGGGUAAAAUUUAAUGAUCUCUCAGUCCACUAACUAAAAACUAUAGAUACAGAAAGUUUAGAGUGUCUUUGGUAAUAUUUUUAUACCCAAAAAUAAUUUCUAUUUAGAAAUUAGAUUUUUAUUUUUAUUUUUAUUAUCAAGAACAAGGAAAUAGAUUUUUUUUUCUUUUUGUUUAUGUUCCACAUCUAUUUCCUAACAACUUAGAAUAGAAAAAUUAACUAACGUUUUAAAUAGAUUUUUAUUUCUUUUAUGUUCCGGAAAAAAAAAAUAGAAAAUUCGAAAAAUAAGAUAGUUACUAAACAUGCUCUUAGUAAAUAGUAUGGGGAAGUGAGAGGAGGAGCCAAAAGAGGGGAAGUUUUAGAAGUGUUUCCAUGGACGAGUUGAAUGUGAAGAGUGAGCGUAAAGAAUAUAAAAUUAAGGUAUGAUCUCUACAAUGAUAAGUGGGUUUAACAUGGACCUGGGUUUAAUUCAUCCUUAUUUGAAAGAGGCUUUAGCAUGGGCGUAGUGUUGCUUUUGCUGGAAGAGCAGGCUAGUCAUGAGUCUUCUUAAUUUGGGCUUGAUUUAAGUUAAACAAACAUGGGCUUAAUUAGGAGUCUUUAGAAAUCGGGCUUAGGACAGUUAGAAUUGGAGGGGGCUUGAGGAUGGACUCAAUUGCGCUGUUUAGCCCAUCUCGGCAAGGCUAGAAUUCUGUCUUUAUUUAGACUGGGCUCAAGGACCCAGCCCAAUUCACCAUUUUUGAGAUUAUUAAAAAAAUAAAAAAUUUAAAAAAAAUCAUAAAAUGCUUGGAAGUAGGUUUUCAUGAAAUUUUUAAGUUGUAGCAUUAGAUUUAAUUUAGUUUAGUUUAAUUAGUGUAUAUGUAGCUUAGUCCUAGUAGAGUACCCUUUUGAAAGUAAUUAAACUUGAUUUGGAUUGGCUCAUGGGGACAAUGUCUUGGGGAUUACAACAUGACUAUGUAUAUUUUUUGCUCAAUUUGUAUCAUGUUUUCUUUUUCGCUUUUACUUUAAAAGUCAUUUCAAUAUUUGGGCGUUUACUUACUCCUCCAUCUUUCAGUAAAUUGGUUGUUUAUCGCUUUCCUUGAAUAAGUUAGGAUUAGUUUAGAAUUUGAUGAAAAUGAACCCUACAAAAACAUUUGUAGGAUCAUUUAGCAAUUAUGAUGCAUUUAGGAUUGUAAUUGGCAGUCAAGACCAUGUGACUGCUUAAGUAAUGACCUUCCAAGCUAGAGCGAAAAGGUGCUCAUAGACAUUAACAUAAUCAAGUCCUCGACUCUAAAAUCUUUGAUUGCGUAGGAAUUAAGACAACACUUAUGUAUCUCGAUUGAUUUCUAACUGACUCCAAUAGGUUAUAGGUUGUUAAGAACUAAAAAAAUGAAAUCCAACGUUGUGUGAGGUAUAAGCUUAAGAGAGUCCGCACUUAAUUAAGGGUUGUUGGCCUGAAUUAGGCAAUAUCUUUAAAUCUAUUUCUUUUCCCUUCCGGACAGAAAGGGUAACUCGCAACAAUGACUACAAAGACCAAGCCAAUCGAAGCAUCCUAGAGAGAGCAGGUUUUCUUUUGACGCAAUUCACAAUCGAGGUGAAUUUAUUUUUCCUUUUUCUUUGGAGCGGUCAUCUUGUCAAGUGUGACUUUUCCUUCUUUUUUUAUUAAAUCAGAAAUCUUAAUGUCAAUCAAGUGCAUAUGUUUCUUCUUUCCCCUUUUUCAUCCUAUCAAAUGCAUACUUGAGAUCCAAAAUUAACAGAACUCCAAAAAAUGAGGGAUUUACUUUACUUGAAUUAUGACCAACCAAAAGUCUAACCUUUCAAAUUAGCUAAAGUUACCUUUAUCAGCUAAUCUAUAUCUAUCAUUAAUUGUUGAAGAUCCAUACUUCAAAUUUGACAAAUGGCACCAUACAUUUUAGGCAAGUCUUACUUUCUCCUAAAAUUUAUCACUUCUUUACGUUAGUAUAUUUAAAUAAUAAAUAACGCAUUCAUGUUUAAGCUUUUAAAACAAUUUGUGGUAGUCUCAUAAAAUUUUACACUCUAGGCAAAUCAGUUCCAAUGCAAUGGACAUGUAGAAAAGAUACAUGAAAAUGAAACACAAAAUUAAAAUUGCAUUACUAUAAAGCAAAUAAAGCUUAAUAAUCAAUUAAUAAAGGAAAAAUUGAAACUUUUUAUGCAAAAUUUGAUCUUAGAAUGACGGAUUUAGGAAUUAGGUUGGAGUAUUAGUUAAUAAUCUCUUCUUCUUCUUUUUUGGAGUCCUGUUUGAAAUAUUAUUACGGGGUUCAAUAGAUAAGAGUACAAACAGGAAUCUUCCCUUGAUCAAUUAGUUCCAGGUUAUUAUUGCAUAAGGUCAUGGCCGCUACCCGACGAUCCUCAAAGAAGAUGGCUUCGAAGCUGAUUUCAUACACGCAAAUAAAACUGGAAACACCUAGAUAUUAUAUAACUUUAAUAGUUUAGAGAAAUAAUACCUUUAGUAAAUUUCACCAAAAAAAAAAAUACCUUUAGUAAACUACAAGUACGAUAGAUGCAAUACAAAAAUUUGACGAUAACAAAAUAUACAUUAUUAUUACUCAGUAUUAAACUUAUGAGAGAAUAUGAGUUAAAAAGGAAUAAACAAUCAUCCAGUUCGCAGUCUAUGAUAAACCUACCAUUUGCAUUUGCUAGCGUUAUGUAUAUGGUCAGUAUUAAUGAAUAAACUAAUUUGUAAAAGUUUAAAAACAUGCAUUUCUUUUCAGCUAAAUAAAUUUUGUCCAACUGCAGAAUAUGCUGAGGUUGGCAUUACAAGAUGACAAGCCAUUAUCUCGGCGAGAAAAAUGCCCAGUUUCAUGCAUACAAAGAGUCAAGGAUGUGCACGUCUAAUGAUUAAUAUCUCUUGCUAUACAGAUUUUAUGUACGUUGAAUAAAUGUAAAAUUUUUCUAUGUAUGUAAUUUUUUUCCUUAAACUAAUAAAUAAAAUAAUGUUCUGGCUAAGAUUACAGCCGUGGUACUUUAAUUUAUACCCGUGCAUGGCACGGGCUUGUGCUCUAGUACUAAUAAGUGUUUUUGUGUUAUGGGGGAGACAUUGGUAAUGCAAUUGGGACCUGACCCUCUAUUAAUUUGACGCAGAGCCCCACUUUGCCCCUUUUAAAAUUGUUUGAUUCUCCUUUUGACAUUUCUUUUUCUCAUGGUUGCCUUUCCUUUCAUAAUUAUGAAAACCAAUUUGAGAUUACCAAAUACCGACAUUUUACAUUGUGUUAUCAGUUAAUUUUAAUUACUCAUCAACUUUUUUCACUUACUUGGGUUAGAAAAGUACCAGCAUCUAUUUAUAUUUGUUAGAUUACUGACUGGUUAAAUAAUGAACCUAUAUUUAUUUUUGUGGCUUACCGAUGCCUUGAAAAGUUACCAAUUCUUGUAUGAAAUUACAAACCUCAACUUGAUUGGUAUAUCAACAUCCGUCACGUUAAUCUUGCUUGGUUUUGAAAGUGUCAACAUUUCCUUAUGCUUCUAAGGUUACCAACUACUUUAAUAAUCUACCAAUAUCUAUCUAAUAAUUUACCAAUGCCUCUGAAGUUAGCCAAUUCUUAUUUGAAAUUAUCAAUUUUAUCUUGAUUGUCAUACCAACAUUCGUCUAAGUGAGAGCCAACUAAUUUUUCUCAUAUGGAAAAACAAGGUGCAACAAGGGGUUAACAAAUUCAUUAGGAUGACAAAAUUGCAUCCUUAGAAAGGGAAAAAAAAAAGGGAUAAGUGCAUUGGAAGUCUUAAAAUUUGUCAUGAAAAUGCAAUUAAGUCCUAAAAUUUUCAAAAAGUGCAAUUAAGUCAUAAAACUUGUCACAAAAUGCAAUUAAGUCUUAAAACUUUCAAAAAAGUCUUAAAACUUUCAAAAAGUGCAAUCAAGUCUUAAAACUUAUCAAAGUGGUUCGAUUUAAGUCAUUUUAUUGAUUGCACUUUUGAAAAUUUUAGAACUCGGUUGCACUUUCUAAACAAGUUUUAGGACUUUAUUGAACCUUUUGAAAGUUUUAGGACUUGAUUGAAUUUUCGUGACAAGUUUUAGAACUUAAUUGCACUUUUUAAAAGUUUUAGGACUCAAUUGCAUUUUCAUGAUAAAUUUUAAGACUUCUAAUGCACUUAUCCCAAAAAAAAAAAAAAAAAAAAAAAAGCUCAACUUUGAAAGUCUUGAAAGAGGAACCGCAAAGUUUCUGGAAACUCACCUCGAAAGGCUUAAAUUUCACAAAGACUCAAGAUUUUUCCCCCCUGAAAAAAAAGGAAAGCCAAAACAGCAGCGUUUUUGGCACUGUCCAUGUUUUGACAUCAGAAAGCUAACUUAUGCCGUCCCUCUGCAUCCGACAAUUGCUGCCAAGUGCCAAAUCAUUCAAGACGGUUUGGAGGACUGCAGUUGGGAUAUUCCAGUUAUGAAGUUCUUUGAGAAGAGUAGCCAAAUACCAACCAACGCUUGGAAAGAUUCUUUCACUCUUUCAACAAUUACUUCACAUUGCAAUGGGCUAAUGGCAAGUAAAGGAUCUGCUGUUUCUUUUAAAAUGCGCUGCAUGGAUUCGUUCAACAAUUCUGUCAAUAUCGCUUCAAUAUUAGCAUUUAGAAUUUGAAAGGAUUUGUCCCCUAAAAUGAAGCCAUGGGAACUGAAGGCGGAAUCGAAUCUGUGCAGUUUUGUCUUUCACCACCAUCCGUUCUAGUGUUGCCAAGACCCUGAUUUAACCCAUAUUAUAUACCAGCCUGUUUUUUUUUUUUUCCCUUCCCUUCCAUUUAUGCGAUUAGUGUUAGCCCAUAUUUAUAGAGAAAUUUUUGCGAUCGGUACUAAAAAAACUAUCAAAAAUCAUUUGCUCUAACUUAUUAAAUUUAUUAUAAAAAGGUUGAUGAUCGCUCUAAAAUAAAACUUUAAGAAAUCGACCAUUCUUUUUUUUUUUCCUUUUUGGGGAUAAUCCCUUAGAAAAUGCUUGUUGGAUCAUGACAACAAUGUUAUGGAAUUCACGAGAGACCAUGACAACAUUUGUUCAUUCUUUAUUUUUCACGGAUUGGGUUAUGGAAAGGCCAAUAAUGAGUUGAUUGAUGAAGAUAGAGACAACCCUCUUUCUGGUUAAUAAGGUGUAGCAUUUAUUAUAAAUGGUUCAUUGUAAAAGAAAUUGGCUUGACGAAUAUAUAAUGGACACCUUGAUUUAUAGCUUCAAUUUUCCAAUUUUUGCAUUGUGACGAUGAUUUAGUUGGCUUUUCCUUUAUUGAUGGACUAAGGUGUAUAAAAAUUAACUACUAUAUCGAGAGAAAACGCCACUAUUGAUAUGUCACGACAUUUAUUACCUCACUCUGAGGGGGCUUCUCGGCAUCCAGAUUUCAUCCCUCUUUUAAUAAUUUCAUCGCUUCAAUUAAUUCUCAAGUAUGUACUGAGUGCAAAUCCUGGGUUAAUACUAGCCUGAAAAAUGACUGUCAUGAGAGCUAUUUUCGUUAAUAUAAACUAGACUUUUGCUGAUGUGAGACUAUUGAGUCCAAACAUUACUUGCACAUAGGAUUGUCAUCCAAGAUGCGCACCAUCUGUUAACAUAUGCUCAAGUUAAAUCGAUGUUAUCUGGCUCAUUCUUAUGCGUGUGUACAGCUUUGUCACUUGCUAAAUGUAGUUGAAUCGUUUCUGGAAAUGACCACUGAUGAGAUAAGUUUUCCCAAUUUGAGUAGAGCUUAAAUGUUCAUCAAAUAAACUUACUAUACUUUCUGCGUUGAAGUAGAUCUAUCAGUUCCUCGUUUGUGUCAUGGCGCAACGAUUACCGGAAAUCUUCCUUUGUGAGUGAACCACAGUAUUCGUUGAAGAUUCAUUGAAUAUGUUAAUAAUUUCUCUGAUUUGUGGAUGUUUGCUUUGAAAUUGUGCUCUAAGCAUGAACAAUGACAGUGUUCGGAAGCGGUUGUCGGAGCGUUUGCUGGUGGAGCGUUCUUGAUCGGUUUAAGAUAGUUUAUUGCUAAAUGUAGUUGAAUCGUUUCUAGAAAUGACCACUGAUGAGAUAAGUUUUCCCAAUUUGAGUAGAGCUUAAAUGUUCAUCAAAUAAACUUACUAUGCUUUCUGCGUUGAAGUAGAUCUAUCAGUUCCUCGUUUGUGUCAUGGUGCAGCGAUUACCGAAAUUCUUCCUUUGUGAGUGAACCAUAGUAUUCGUUGAAGAUUCAUAGAAUAUGUUAAUAAUUUCUCUGAUUCGUGGAUGUUUGCUUUGAAAUUGUGUUCUAAGCAUGAACAAUGACAGUGUUCGGAAGCAGUUGCCGGAGCGUUUGAUGGUGGAGCGUUCUUAAUCGGUUUAAGAUAGUUUAUUGCUAAAUGUAGUUGAAUCGUUUCCGGAAAUGGCCACUAAUGAGAUAAGUUUUCCCAAUUUGAGUAGAGCUUAAAUGUUCAUCAAAUAAACUUGCUAUACUUUCUGCAUUGAAGUAGAUCUAUUAGUUCUGCGUUUGUGUCAUGGUGCAGCGAUUACCGAAAAUCUUCCUUUGUGAGUGAACCACAGUAUUCGUUGAAGAUUUCAUUAUAUAUGUUAAUAAUUUAUCUUAUUCGUGGAUGUUUGCUUUGAAAUUGUGUUCUAUGCAUGAACAGUGACAAUGUUCGUAAGCGGUUGCCGGAGUGUUUGAUGGUGGAGUGCUCUUGAUUGGUUUAAGAUAGUUUAUGGGCGUAGUAGUCGAAGUCCACAUUUGAACUAAAUUGUUCCCACCCCAACCCCCGAGAAGAUGGGGAUUCGAACCCCCCACCUCCCUCUUUCACGUUGGAAGAGUGGCCACUAGGGCAAACCGAGUGGUUAAUGUUCUUGAGUCAAUAGGUGAGUUUUGGGGGUGGACUUAGCAUAGGUCUGGGCUGGUUUUAAGUUUUUUUCAGUCAGUUUAAUUUGUUUGGUUGGGCUUUCUUUAACAAGCCCAAUCUUAUCCUUGGCCCACGUCUUGGAGUCCAACUUAAUCUUACAUGUAAACUGCGCUCAAGGGGCCCAGCCAGAGUCCCUAUUUUCCAGAAUAAUAAAAUCGAAAAUUAAAAGAAAUUAAAAAAAUCGAAAACUUACAAAAAAUAAGAAAAUAUUAUAGAAGCAGGUUUUGAUUAAUUUGUUUUAUUUUAGCGCUAGAUGUAGCUUAGUUUAUUUAUUUAGCACACCUUUAGUUUAGAGAGUUGUAGUGGUUAUCUAUGUUACUUAGGUUUGGAUAGGUUGAUUUUUUAGGCAAGUUAUUGGACUCAAUUUGAGCUUAGCUCACAGGGAUUGUUGUCCUGGGGCUUUAUAACGAGGCCAUGCGUAUCAUUUAUAUGAUACUUUAUUGAGUUUACUCUCUUGCACUUUACUUUUAUCAUAUUGUUUUUUAUUUUUCUGCCUUUUUGUGAUUGCAUACUUAUGGGUUAAUACAAUGGUCAUAUAGGUAACAAAUUAAUAGGGCAUUAGUUAGAUAACUAAUGUAAUUAAGUCAUCAAUCCCAAAUCUUUGAUUGUAUAGAAAGUGGAGAUAUGCUCUUGUACCUCACUAGUUUUUGUCGACUUUGAUAAGGUUUGGGAGAAACAGUGAUAAUCGAAAUUUUAAGGAAACAGUUGAUUCUAAAUUUCCACAAAGGUCAUAGAAAUGUGAUACUAGAUUGGAAAAAGCAAUAUCAUUGAGAUUCCUUUCAUGACUAAUCUUAACCUUUUCACUUUGUUGAUGGCGGGGAAAUAUAGUUUUAGUCUUUUCCAUUUUGUUCAAUGUGCCAUCCAAGGAGAUAACCUUUUGAGCAUCCUCCUUGGAAAUUUCCUCUUGGGCUCUAAGAAAUUGGUUCCUAACUUCUAUUAAAAAAAAAAAAAAAGAGUAGGUGAUCGAAAUUUUUUAAAGGAAACAAUUGAUUCUAGAUUUCCAAGAAAAGUCAUAGAAAUGGUAAUGGAUGGGGAAAAGGCAAAAUCAUUUGAGAUUUUUUUCAUGACUGAUUUUGGAAACUGGAGUAAUUGUCCUCUAAAGUCUCUCAUGAUCCUCUACAACAUCCUUCAAAGAUGCAUCGUCUACAAAGCUACUGGUUAAAUGUGUUCCCUUAUUUUCUUGUUCUCACUUCUGUCAAGGACUUAUGAAACAAACAAUUUGUAGAAGACAAAAAAGUACACUAGCUCACAGCUUUGUUAUUUGAUUUUUUUUUUUAUAACCAAAUUGUUUGAUUAAUAAACAUUAUGCUGCAACUCACAAACAUGAACAUUUGUUGGAAAGGAAGAAAGAAGAAGAAAUUCGAUCUAUCCAUCGUACAAUGAAUAUCAUUAUCGUAAUGAUUUAUGGAAAGAAUUGAACUUUGAUACAAUCUAAUGUCAUUGCUAAAUCAUGAUUUGUCAAAGACUGAAAUCAUUGUAAAGAUGGGACAAAUUAUUCAAAGUCAAAAUCACGAAGAGAUUGAGGUUGUCUUAAAGCAAGACAAUAGCAAUUGAUUCUAAACUACCAAGAAAGGUCGUAGAAGCAUGACAUUGUAUGAGAAAAAGUAGAGCUCGUUUGCGAUUCCUUCCAUGACUGAUCUUUAACUUUUCCCUUUUGUUGAUGGCUAGGAAAAAAGGGUUAAAAGCGCUUUCCAUUUCACACGGUACCCGGAAGGGGAGGUUGCUUUUGGGGCGUUCUUCUUGGAAAGCUCCUCGUGGGUCCAAGAAAUUAGUAGCCAACUUCCUUUUUAUUUAUUUAUUUAUUUAUUAAUUACCAAUUUCUUUCAUGACUGAUAAACCAAUUCUCAGAUUAUUUGGCAAAUUUUGUUUAAUUAUCAAGAUCUUAAAUUUACAAAUUAUACAGAAAAUUACCAAUAUUUCCUUGGUGACUUCUUGAUUUUUUCCAAAUUAAGUAACUCAAUGGAAAAGGUUAAAAAAUUAAGAAAAACCAAAUAAACAUCUAUAGUUAACUCAAAUAAGAGUUAGUAACCAGUUGAAAGCUCAAUCGAACAAAAGGUUGACAAAUAAGAGUUAGUAAAUUUAAGGCACAAUAAAGAAAGGUGAAUGUAAAAUUGAUAAUAAAAAUAAGAAAAGUUGGUAAUUGAAAAAAAAAACUUGGUAACUAAUUUAAAUAAGAGUUGGUAACUCCAAAUUAAUUGAUAAUUUAAAUAGAGAAAAGUAGGUAAGUCACUCUAAUUAAAAUUGGUAAUGUUAAGGCAAUUUUGAGAAAUGCAACUAGAAGUCUGUAGACGAUAAAAAAAAUUGAUAAUUAAAGUUAUAAGGUGUUUCCCUUUCAUUUUUAUUUUCAAGUGAGCAAGGUUAGAAGUGCAACUCCAUGUGUCUACAUUUCUCAGACAUUUCAUUUGAUUCUCACCCCGUGCGCCCCGUCACUUGUGGGACUUAGGUCCAAACCUUCAUUAUAUCUCCACCACCUUGCGCUUUCCUGCAUGACCAUUGCCCAUUGACCCUUGUUCUACACGUUCUUGCAACUUCCUUGGAAUCGUUUUGUAUCAUCCCGGGCUUGUAAAAUCACCAUAAAAUGUGGUGUGAUUUGUUUUCAAAAUUUUAGUAGGUGCAGCCAAGGUGAAAAAAAAGGAGCUGGUUAUACUCUUUCCUCAGACUUAGACUUUAUAUGACCACCUUACAAGUGAUUUUUUUUAUGACAUUUUUAUUUUCCCAAUGCUUACAUUCCGACAAAAAUACGUGUAUGCAUAAAAAAAAUUCUAAGUUCCAUGGGGUAAAUGCACUAGAAGAGGACAAAUUUUAGCAAAUGGUGUUGUUAUAGUUAUUGGCGAACUCGCUUUGGGUAAAAAAGCAUUAGUAGCUUAUUUGUUGUCAACACAUAUUUUUGACAACUUAAUUAGUUGUUAAUUGCAUAAAAAAUAGGAAUCGACCUCGAUCUCUUGCAUUUUGCAUAUUAGUUGCAUAUUUCUUUCAUGCAUUAUUUAAAACAAAGAAGAAAACAUAAGGGGCCGGUUCAGUUCCGAACCGAUUACUUGGUGGACUAGUUCAAUUUCCAAUUCCAGAAAACCUGGAACGGCCCCCUGUUUCGGUUCCCAAUAAAAAAAUAUGCGAUGAAUAUUGGAAGGGAUCAUUUUUCAUUUCGUGGUCUUGGUCAUCACCUAUAUAAUAUCCAUUUUAUCUUAUCACAAUGAGUGAAUCGAUUUGGAAAGUCAUGUACUAUUUCUUUCUCUUUAUAUCCCACAUUUUGUGGCUAACUCAUAUCAUUGACAGUAACUUCAUAAUACUCUCUCUAAUGAUAUGCAGCCAUGGAGAACUAACACGACAAAUAGCUCUUGAAGUUUUUGGUAAGCUUGACGUGUCUCCAGUACAUCUCCCUGAUUCUUUAGUUGGGAUCGACAAAUCAGUGGAUAAAGUUAUAGAUUUGUUGAGUGUUGAAUCUAAGGAGAUAAGACUUAUUGGAAUAUGUGGUAUGGGUGGGAUAGGCAAGACAACUCUUGCGAAGAUCGUUUACAAGAAUUUGUCAGCUCGUUUUCAAAGUAGUAGCUUUAUCCACGAUAUUCGACAAGCAUCAGAAAGUUCGAGUUUUGGUCUUCUAGAUGUGCAAAGGAAACUAGUGCGUGANNNNNNNNNNNNNNNNNNNNNNNNNNNNNNNNNNNNNNNNNNNNNNNNNNNNNNNNNNNNNNNNNNNNNNNNNNNNNNNNNNNNNNNNNNNNNNNNNNNNNNNNNNNNNNNNNNNNNNNNNNNNNNNNNNNNNNNNNGUAGAUUCUGGUUACAACGAGAAAUAAAGAUGUUUUGUCUAAAUUUCACGAAUAGUUUGAUUCAUGAAGUGGAAGAGCUGAAUAGUCAAGAAUCUUUAGAACUGUUCAGCAAGCAUGCAUUUGGAAGCAUCUUUCCUCCAAGUGACUUUCUCAAACUAUCUAGAAAAGCUAUUGCAAGAGCAGGGGGGCUUCCUUUAACUAUUGAAGUGAUCGGUUCAUUGUUACAUGGAAAAGAAGAGGCAGUGUGGAAAGAUAUUUUAAGAAAGAUGGAAAUAUAUCCUCGUGAGGAUGUGCUGGAACAUUUAAGGUUAAGUUAUGAGGCUUUAGAUGUCACGCAGAAGGAGAUCUUUCUUGAUAUUGCCUGCUUUCUAGCUGGAAAAAGUAAGAGAGAUGCAACUUAUAUGUGGGGUGACAGAUUGUUUCUAGAAGAGGGAAUCCAAGUCCUACUUUCAAGGUCCUUAGUAAAAAUUAGAGAGGAGAACGAGUUAUGGAUGCAUGACCAGCUUAAAGACCUAGGUAGGAGUAUUGUACUUGCUGAAAAUUACAAAAAUCCAGGAAAGCGUUCGCGAGUGUGGAAUCAUGAAGAUGCGUUGGACAUGAUCACCAGAGAGAAGGUAAAGCUCAGUGCAACCGCUUGUAACUUUUUCAUAGCAUAAAUCUGCCUAAUAUAAUUUUUUUCCUGCUUAUUUUGUACUUCGCAUGGGUUGAUGGAAGACUCUUUUUCGUCGUUAUAGGGAACUGAAACUGUUGAGGCGAUUUGUGUGGAUUUUGAUGGGAUUUCUUUGACGUCGAAAGAGUUUAAGAAAUUGCCAAAUAUAAGAUAUCUUGAAAUGACAAGAGGAAAUCUCUCCGGAGACUUUAAGGACGUUUUUCCAGAACUAAGAUGGCUUUCUUGGAAGAUGUGUCCCUCAAUUUCUCAAGUUACCCACUUUUUUCCUAAAGAACUACUCAUCCUGGACCUAUCAUGGAGUUUAAUAACACGGCACUGGGAUUGGACUCAACUCAAGGUAUGGGCAACUUUUUAGGUACAACGUUUGCUUACCUUUUUAUUUCCACACAAGCUCAUGCGUUACACCGGUUGAGGGGUAUCUUAUUAUUAAAGUGAAAGAAGAUAUCUAGCUGUUGAAGGAUGUCCCUAAGAUACCUUUUCCGACCUCCAUAUUCAACUUCUUUUAAUGUUUCAAACUCAAUUGCUUCCUGAUAGCUAGAAGUAUAUCGAAACAAAAUUAGUUUAACAUAUGUUAAAUAUGUCUCUUUUGGUAGUUGAAUCGUAAUUGCACUAAUGCUGUAAUUUUGUAUUGUAAACUAUUCUAACCAUUAGGUGUGGCAAUGUAAAAUUUAAAGCUGUAGCACAUCAAAGCUGGAUGCGUCAGCUUUCUAAAAGCUUCUAUAAGGUUCCAUAGCUUUGACUUAGUUGCAACUGAGAGGCAUAUUCCUAUUACUUUGUAAAACCGCAACACCAACUUUUUACAACUGAAGCAAUUGCUGCGAAGUUUUACCAAACAGUCUCAACAAGUUUCUAUGGUAACUUCACGUAACUAGUACAUUUACUACACACAUUUAUAAUUAAAGAAGUGCGUAGAGUGGAGUUUUGUGAUUGAGUCACACCAUGGCAACUUUUCAUUACCUGCUUCCCUAAACAUUAAAUAGGAAACGCUGCCCUUUACGUUGAUAAGAUAAAAGAACUUCAUUAACGUACUUAAACUAAUAAUUGAUGUUCAUUGGACAGCAUAUUAACAUCUUUAUAUAACAUAGUAACAUGGGUGUAAUUUGAGAUAGUGAAUAAAUCUAAAUACUCUAAUUAGCAAAUAUAUUGGGUUUAUCAUGUAUAUGAUUGGUUUGUAAUGCGUCUAUUAAUUAGUAAAUAAGAAUUAUUAAAAUUGUUGGUGUAUGAAAAUAAAUUUAAGAAUAACUUUAAAUGCAAAUAUUCUAAGUAUAAAGUUAUGUCGUAAAAAUAUACAAAUGAAAAAGACAUAGUAUACAACGGAUUACUUAGUAAAGUAAUGAACAAUGUUGAUAAAUAUGAAUCAUUUGUACUAAGUUGCGAAAAACUUUAGAGUAUAUUUUGUAUUAUAUGACCACAUCACCCAAAUAUAAGAACUUUCAAUAAGUCUAGUUUAAAACUUAUGCAACGACUACUGUCACUAAAAUAAUUCACGACAAAAUGCUCUUCGUGUUUUGUUUCAAUGCUUUGAGGGUCUCUUUUCAAAAUUGAGAUGGCUUUCUUGGAUUGUUAUGGCUUUCUUGGGAUUGUUUUCCAAACGAACUUUGCAACAGACUUUUGCCCAAAAAAUCUGUUAAUCCUUGAAUUAUCAUGGAGCUCAAUAGACGAACAUUGGGUUGGUUGGACACAACUCAAGGUACGCAUGUGCAAAAAAUUUAGUAUAAAAUGUUAUAUUUUCUUCUAGUCACACAAGCUCUUGCGUCACACGGGGUUGUAGAUCGUCAUUUUAUUCAAAUCUUUGUUUGAUUGAAGUUUAUUGGCUUUCCGACCAAAAAAAAAAGUUUAUUGGCUUAAUUCAUACGACAAAUCUUGGCUUGAAGAAGGCUUGUGACUCCAAUCCCUCAUUCCAUAAGGCUGAAACUUACUGUUGUGUUUUCACUAGAAGUACAUCCAAUCAAACAAUUACUUUACAUUUAUGUGAUAGAUUUGAUUGAAGAGAUAAUGCUACUUGUAAAUCCCCGUUGAAGACACUUUGGUCAACAGAAAGAAUGUUAUCCUUGACCACUUUUAUUCGUUUCGUUCAAUAUUGUGUUCAUAGAUAUUAUGUUAUGUUAAUGGAGAGAAUGUAACACAUGUAGAUGUUUCAAGAUUGCAUUUUUCAUUUUUACCCAGUCAAACAAUUCUUUUUGGUCCGAAUCUAAUGAAACAGUUAACUUCCCUAAAAAAAAGAUAUCAUGAUUUGGUUGUCGGUCAUUGAUCUGCAUUGCAUUUUUUAGUUUUACAUUGAUACUAGGUUAUUGCUGUUAUAUCAUUUAUGGCAAUUCUUCUCUUGAUGACCUUCUUCAAUUCAAAUUGAUUGUAGCUGCAUGAUUAGAGGGCAUUGUAAUUUGUACAUUAUAUGUUAAUAGUAACUAAAUUUUUGUGUUGCACUAUGAAUAAAGGAAGUGACUUGAUUAGAUAUUCAUACAUGUUUUGUGAAUUCUGUAGUUUGUCCUAAUGACUUUCUUCGAUUCAAAUUGAUUGUAGCUGCAUGAUUUAAAGGGCAUUGUAAUAUGUACAUUCUAUGUUAAUAGUAACUAAAUUUUUGUGUUGCAAUAUGAAUGAAGAAAAUGACUUGAUUAGAUAUUCAUACAUGUUUUGUGAAUUCUGUAGUUUGUAGGAUUAUUAGAUCAUCUAAUGGAAGUAAUGUCAUAGCUUAAUAUCUGUUGACUUCAUUACUUUUUAAAGAACAAUUUAUAAACAUUAAUGUUAUUUUGAGUUCCCUAAUCACGCCAACUAGUUGUCACGAUAGAUGUUUAAAUCUAAGUGAAAUAUAAGUAGCGACUAUCUAUACUAUACAAGUAUGUGAUGCCAAAGAAAAACCGAACAAUAGAGAGAAAUUAGCAAAAUAAUAAAAAUUGGCGAGUAAAACUGAACAUGCAAUCUGAUUUAUUAGAGCAUCAAUACUAUUAAAUGAAUAUUAUUCUCUUCAAAAGGUUCAAUAUAUGAAGCAAAAAGAAAAAAGAAAAAAAGUAAAGUGCAAAUAUAAAUUAAUUAACAAUCGGAAGAUAUGUGAAAUUAUUUUCUACACUGAAAUUUAGAAGGUACAUUUAGAUAGGAAAAGACGCAAAGUUUAGAGUCAUGAGUGCUAGUGUGGCGACAAAAUCGGUAAUUGGAUGAUGAAGUUAGAAAGGGAUGUUAUAAUUUAUAGGAGAAGUGUUGGCUAUAUUCUGUCUUUUUAUUAUUUGAUACGGGGGUAAUAGAGAAUAGAUCUUCUUCUUUUUUUCAAUUUAUUGGUGGGGACAAUAUUGGAAGAAAUGAAAAAAGUGCAAUAAAUAAUGGUUUUGGCUUAAGUUAGGAAUGUAUAUAUAGAGUGAUUAUAAGGUUACUUUAGUGGAAUGCUUCUUUAAUCGAUAUAUUUGCUUAUGUCCUGCAAAACUUCUAUAAGUUAAACUCGUUGGAUAUAUAUAAUCAUUUGACAGGUACUUACAAGAUUGAAGGUCCUGGAUUUGUCAAGUUGUCUGGUGGUGUUGGGGGAAACUGAAACUCUUGACCUCUCUACAUUUUUAUCCUUAGAAAUAUUAAUUCUACGGCAGAUUUGGUGCAAUAAGAAAAUUUCCAACUCAAUUGGAAUGUUGAAAUGUUUAGUUGAGUUGGACAUCUCAAACUCAGGAAUUCUAGAGUUGCCAAAUACCAUCGUCAAUCUAGAGAGCUUGAAAGUGUUGAAGAUGAACGAAACUUAUGUGCAAAAGUUACCCGAGGCUAUUGGUAUGAUGGAGAAACUUGAGGAAAUUCAUGGAAACAAUUGCGAGGAACUAAAGAUGAUUCCUAGUGAUAUCGGGAGACUACCACUCUUGAAGAUUUUGGCAUUAACAAAAACUUGUGUGGAGAAUGUGCCAGAGCUUCCACAAAGUUUGAUAAGUCUACGUUUGUCCUCAAGAGCUGUAGGAAAAGUUCCAGAGAUCUGCAAUCAGCUGAACCUUCCAAGUUUAAGAAAUCUGGAAUUAUGUUUCGGCAAAGACAAUGAUGAAACCUUUGUCUACUAUGAAUCAGAGCAACAACCCCACGCUUUCAGCUCAUCGCAUAUGAAACUUUUGAAUAUUACUAGCGUAACCUCAUUUGGGGGUUGGUUUCAUUGUGCAAGAGAACUUGAACUUAUCCGGUGUGAGACCCUAUGCCAGAUUCAACAUCUUCCCUCCGGUUUGAGGAAACUGAAAAUUAGGGAUUGCAGUCUUCUUGAAGUCGUCGACCUUUCCAACUUGGAGAAUUUGUUGGAGCUAAGUCUAUUAAAUAAUCAGAAUUGUCAUAUUCAAGGGCUUGAAGGUUUAGCAUCAUUGCAAUGCUUGGAAGUGUAUGACUGCAGGUCAAGCAAGUUCAGCGGGCUUGAAAGACUGAAGAAUCUACGUCUCUUGCAGCUUAAGAUGUGUCCCUCCCUUCAGACAUUGCCCAACUUGUCUAACUUAAAAAAUCUCAAGGAGUUUGAACUUCUCCGGUGCGAGACCCUAUGCCAGAUUCAACAUCUUCCCUCCGGUUUAAGGAAACUGAAAAUUAGGGAUUGCAGUCUUCUUGAAGUCGUCGACCUUUCCAACUUGGAGAAUUUGUUGGAGCUAAGUCUAAUCAACAAUGAGAUUUGUGAUAUUCAAGGGCUUGAAGGUUUAGCAUCGUUGCAGUGCUUGAGAGUGGACAACUGCAAGUCAAGCAAGUUCAGCGGGCUUGAAAGACUGGAGAAUCUACGACUCUUGCAGCUGAGGAUGUGUUGGUUCCUUCAAACAUUGCCCAACUUAUCUAACUUCAAAAAUCUCAAGGACAUUGAACUAUGGUAUUGUCCGGAACUGGUUCAGAUUGAAGGUCUUGACAGAUUGGAAUUACUAGAAAGGCUUGAUAUCAUAUGCUGCAGUUCCUUGCGAAGCUUACCUGAUCUAUCCCACUUAAAGAAGCUGAAGAUGAAUUGGCAGCGAGAAAAACCAAUAGCUCAACGAGAUGAUCGCCCACUAGCAUUUGAAAAAGCUUGAAGAUCAGUAAAUCCUGAAAUUUGAGGCUUGGAGGAAUUUGUCAUCAAAAUGUCGUGAGAUCAACUUACAGUGAUCAUUCACACCUGAUUUUUAAUUGAAAUUUCAAGCAAAAUCGGCCAUUUAGGUAGUUUUUAUUAAAAAGCCUAGUCCAAUUCGCCUUCAGCCGAAGUGAUUUUUUACAUGAUUUUUUCUAGAAGUUUGGCUCUAAUGGAAUGGGUUCUGAUCGCCAGAAAAAGGGAGAGAUUUCCUUCGUGGUCGCCUUGAAUUCACCACCGUCAAGCUCCAUAGCCGGCCACUUCGAGCUCAACGACGACCAUACCAGGAAACAGAGCAUCAUACAUGCACACUGGAUGGAUGACAAUCCUCUUUCGAGGAGAGAUUUGUGAAUUCGCAGCACAAUUUUUGACGUCUCUUAGCUUACUCCAAUGGCUGUCGCUAACGCAGUUGGCCAUUUCACCGUCGCACUGAGUUUGUCCCAUUCGACUCUGUCUUCAGAUCCAAGAGUCCGAAAGGAUUCUAAUUCGUGUUUGAUUCUCCACUACCAGCUCCGAUCUUCACCGAAAAACUUCCAGAAAUUCCUUUACGGAUUUGGUCCUCAAUCACUGCUUAGAUUCGGUUCCCUGAUAAGGUGAAGUGCACGCCCUGUUUCCUUCAAUAUAGAGACCUUGAAUUCGCGAAUUUGAUUACAUAAGAACUGAACUUUGUUCGAGGCUACUAUACUGAUUGCGUACGUGUUGCAAGUUCUACAUGAUGCUGUGGGUGUAGUUUUACUUAAUAAGAUUUACAUUCGGACUGCUUGCUUGGAGUGCUUGCUAGUUGUUUGAGUAAUUGUCCGAGUGAAUUCUAUACUUGUGUAUGCGUUUUUUGUUCCUGUUAUACGUUCGCUAGCUUCUUUUUUGUUCCAUAUAAGGUGAACUGAACAUUUUUUGUUAUACUUAAUAAGAUUUACAUUCAGAAGUGCAUGAGCUCAAAACCUUUGUGUGACCGAUUGAGUCAGAGAACUUGUUCUUGUUGGAUUGCAAUCAUUGUUCGCUGGCUUCACAUGGAUUGUUCUUGCUUCACAUUGGAAUGGCCUUUGCAUUUUUUCUUUGAUCAGAAAUCUUAAGGCCAAUCAAGUGCGCGUUCUUCUUUUAUAUUUUCCCUUUUCAUCCUAUCAAAUGCAGAUUUGAGAUCCAAAUUAAUAGAACACAAAAAAUUGAGGGGUUACUUUACUUGAAUUAAGACCAAACGAAGGACCAACCAUUUUAAUCAGCCAAAAACAUCUACCAACCUAUCUAUAUCGACCUCUAUUAUAUUUCUUUGAAGAUUUCAUAAGCCAUACGUCAAAUUUGACAUACGGAACCACACUUUUUAUUUUUUUAUUUUUAUGGGAAUUAGGACUGAGUAUUAUUAAUUGACAAUCUCUUUUUCCGGAGUUCAAGAGAAAUAUUAUUACUAAAUUCGAUAAAGGAUAUAUAGAGACCAAACAGAAGUCUUCCCUUGAUCAAUUAAUUUCACGUUAUAAUUGAAUAAGGAGAAACUCGGCUACGUAACAAUCCUCAAAGAUUGGACCCAAAAAUAAAAUAAAAUAAAAAAUCCUUAAAGAAGAUAGCUGAUAGAAUAAAACUAAAAACACAUAGAUAUCAUAUAACUCUAAUGGUUUAGAGAAGCCUAAGCUUAUCGAACUACGAAUACCAUGAUUUAAAUAGUUGACCAUAAAUAAAGAUGCAUUAUCAUUACGAAGUGUUCACCUUAUGAGAGUAUGAUUUUUGAAAUGAGAAUAAAGAGUUAUCCGGUUUGGAGUCUAAUAGAAACAUAACUUUUACGUUUGCAUGCUAUCUAUAUUUGGUCAAUAUUAAUGAAUAAACUAAUUCGUAACUGUUUAAAAGUAUGGAUCUCUUUUUUGUUAAAUAAAUUUUGUCUAACCGUAAUAUGUGGCGCAGAAUGAGCUGAUGUUGGCAUUACAAGAGGGCAAGUCAAUUUCUAAAGCUUGAAUAGUUCAGAUACUUGGAUUAAGUUUUGCUAUCAUCAAAAUACUUUAGGAAUUUUCCUACAAUUAUGAUCUAGCUUCACCAACCGCUGAGAAUGUCCUCGCGCUAGAGCACAUCUGUGUGCAGGCGAAUGCAACUCCCCUCCAAAUGCAUGCCAGCUUUACACGAUCCUCGUUGUUUGGCACAAAUCACCCAUCACUAGAAAGUCAAACGCUAAUGACCAUGGCCCUAUCCAAUACUCGACACACCCACACAUGAAAUGUCAGAUGAUCUGACUGUCCCGAUCUAGUUUCACUCGACAACGACCUGCCUCACCCCAAUUUGUGUCCCCUUAUGCCCCUAGUCAAUCUCUCAUUUGUCCAUGGUCAGAGCUGCUUUGUGUUAGUGCCACGUCAUGCCAGUGACUAGUCCAAAAAUCCACUCCAUCAACGAGCCAUGCUAAUCAGUGGAUUAAACCAGGCCAGAGGCAUUCAUGGACCAAGUUUAAUCCUAUUCAGACCGUUACUCUUCCGGUUUGAUCCAAUUUCUAAUAUAAUUUGGCCUAUAGAUUUUGAGGUUAGUUUUGUAUAUUACUUGUUCUAGAAUUGAGAUUUCCUUGGAUUAUCUUGACUACCUUGUAUUCGUGUUUACACUGGGAAAAUCAGGGACAUUCAAAGAAUUUUUAUUAGUGGGAAAACCUAAUAGAAAAUAAAAAGUGAAUGCAAUGUAUUGAUUCAAAUAUUAAAUAUUAUAGUUCUAUGCUUGAAAUAGAAUGAUGACUAAAAUUUUAAUAAAUUUUUCUUAUGGUUUGCACUGAAACCUUCAUAAGUUUUAUGUUUACUUACUGCAGUUCUCAAUCAUGGAGCAAAAAGUAAUGAAAAAUUGAGAAAAAAAACUAAGUAAAGUGAUUUCUCAUCAAAUUUGUGGGGGCAUCAUUGAUUUUUAUUUUAUUUUAUAUAAAUGACAUAAUAUAUUUUCUUCACAAGAUGGUUGGGGCAAUCGCCCCCAACUUUGUGAACGUAGGUCAAUCCUCAGAGAAAUGGAUGUUGUUCACUCAAUUGUACAAACUAUCUUUAGUGGUUCUACAAUAGUCCAAGACAUGGUUUCUCAUGGCACAACAUUAUAGAAUGCCAUAAGAUGGUAUGGAUUAUUUAUACAAUUUUUUUUUGUCAAGUGACUAGGACUAUCUAAUGCUUGUGAUCACAGCGAUGCUUGAGAUGGAUGCGACCAUUGGAAGUCAGAGUUGAUGACUUUGAAUAUCAAGCAACUACAUGAGAGUUUUCAUGUUUUUGCAGCUUAGAAUAAUCAUAUGAAGUCAAAUAGAUGUGUGUGGAUUGAAGUGUUGUCCAAGCCAAAUAGAGAGAUUGAUUGGGAGAUCAGAUCAAAUGUGAUCGGUCUUCAAAGAUGUGUCGCUUACAAGUUGUGCUGGUCAAAUGCAUUUUCUUCUUACUAAUACUUUGAUAAGUACAUUGAUCAAAUUUGCCAAUGCUAUUUCCUCUCCUUUUUUAUUUUCCCACCCCUCUUUCUUCUGUUUUGCUAUGUUAUGUAUAUGUCGUGUAUGCAUUCGAAAUUAUCAAAAGAAUAGUUGAGUCUAGAUUUCCAAGAAAGGUCAUGGAAACCCGAUAAAGGAUGAGAAAAGUAAGAUCGUUUGUAGUUACUUUCAUGACUAAUCUUUAACUUUUUUCUGUUUGGCGAGGGCUGGGAAAGAAGUGUUACUCUUUUUCACUUCACACGGUAGCCAUCCAUGGAGAUUAUAUUUUGAGCGUCCUUCUUGGAAAGCUCCACAUGAACUCUAAGAAAUUAGUUAUGAGCGUCUAUGUAUUUUUUGUUUAAUAUACUAACUUUUCUUAUCAUUGAUUAAAAAUAUCUUUAGUGUUGGUAAAAUUAAGGCGUAAUAAAAAAUAUAUAUAAGGUAAAUGAAAAUUGGUAAAAAAUAACAGAAGUUUGUAAUUAAAAAAAUAGAUUUGAUAAGCAACUCAAAUAAGAGUUGGUAACCCAAACUAUUUGAUAACUUAAAUAGAGAAAAGUUAACAUGUCACUCUAAUUAAAUAUGUUUUAAAAAAAAAGUCGGUAAUUCUAAGACGUUGCUAAGAAAUGCAAAUAGAAAUUAGUAAACAAUAAGAAAAGUUAGAAAUAAAGAACUAAAUAAAUUGUUAAUAAGUAACUUACAUGAAUGUUGAUAAUACGAAGUAGUAAUAUUACAGAAGACUAGUUGGUGAAUCUAAUUUUUAAAUAGAAUUGGUAAAUACAAUAAAAAUUAGUAAACCAAAUCAAAAUUGGUAAUGCAACUGAAGGCUUUAUUAGUAUUGGGCUUAAGGCCCGUCCGCCCAAGUUGGGCCCAGAAAGCCCGGCCCAUGGGAAUAGGGCCCGUGGAAGGAGAGAGGUAUAAAAGGGAGGAGAGAGAGAGAAAAAAGACACCGUUUUGUUUUAGAAAAAGACGUACGUUUUUCUCUCAACGUACACUCCCUCUCUCUCUCGUUUUCUUCAAAGCAAAAAGGCAAACAGUGAGGCGCGUAGGCCAAUUUGCUUCACCGGAUCAACAGGACCAAGUUUCUCUUCCUCUAUUGGCGUCGGUGUUUAAUCUGUGGCUAAAAGGUAAGCUCAAAUCCGUGGUGUGCUUUACAAUCGGUGAUACGUGUUUUUCCCGGGCUUCGUCUUCCGCAUUGAUUUAGGGGUUCGAUUUAGUGUCGAAUCCGGUUUUCGGGGAUCCGUUAUUCCCAACAUUGGUAUCAGAGCCUUAGUUCACGUUUUCCCGACCUGUUUGACGUUUUUGAUUGAUUUUUCGCAAAAACAAUUCGGCCGUACGGAUCGGGGCGAGAAAUCCCAACACCCGAGCGUUGUUCGGCCAUUUUUCCGAGUUUUCGUAAGUCGAAACAAAAUUCUAAUGGCAUUGGAAGAAAGGAGACGUCGCGACGAGUCCGACGACAGGUCGCGCGCCGCCGAGAGAUGCCGCACGCGCCCACACGCGCGGCCAGAAGCCUCUGCGCGUGGGCCCGACGCGCCCGGAAGCACUGGCUCGCCCAGCACGUGCGACACACGCGCCGGUUGGCGAACCGGCGCGUGCUCGCCGCCGGCCGGCGAACCGGCACGCGCCGGUCCUCGGACCGACGCGUGCUGACGUCAGCAUGACGUCACCCAACGGUCAGUAACCGCUAGGGUAACAUCAUCGAUGACGUCAGCACGACGACGUUUCGCCGGGCGGUACCGGCCGGCGACCCGACCCGAGGAUGCCGGCACACGCGCGACCUGUGUCGGAUGACGUCUGCGUGACGUCAGCCCGCGCACGCGUGCGGCACGUGCCUUCGGUUCGCCCGAACCGGCCCGACGGUCGACCGGUUUGUCCGUCUGACGACCUGACCGUUGACCGCCGACCGACGACCGUUGACUUUGACCGUUGACCCGGAAAAAAAAAAAAAAAAAAAAAAAAAAAAAAAAAAAAGAGGAAAAGAAUUUGUUUCUUUUUCAAUUAAGUAUGUGUGGAUUAUAAUGUGAUCCCUUAUUUGUUCUGCAUUUUUUGCAGGAACAAUGCCUCCUCUGAGAUUGCGCAGACCUAUUCGCGCAAUUACCGAUGAACAAAAGGAUAGGCUGUCUAAGUUUAUAGCUGAGCUGACUAAUCAUCGAUGGGAGAGAGGUGACUUAAUUGAUCAUGUCCUUGAAGUCAACGGGAAAAUUCAACAGGUCAUAUGGAAUGGUCGUCCUAUAUCACAGUCAGAGAUGGUGCGAUUUUUCAUAAACACUCUUCCACCUGAAUGGCAAGAUGUGUUGAAUCGCAUAUGGGAUGUCAACGGAGCUGCUUCCUAUAAGAAAAUUGUGAUGGAUUUUGUAAAUGAAUAUUACUAUAUUGUUUCAAGGGAAAAGAUCAAGAAAUUGAACAAAAGAGGAUCUUUCCCAGUUCGUGUGCUGACUUGGUGUUAGUUGUAUUGGCUGAUAUAUGUUAAGUGUGAUUUGUGGACAUAUUAUGUAAUGAUUACUACCUAAUUGUGUUAAUUGAAAGCAUUAUUGUUUUAUUGGAUGUCUAUUAUAUAUUGCUUUCUGUUAUUGCCGGUUGUUGUGGGUAAUUAGCUGUGGGUAGUUUUAGAAGUUUUUGUAGCUUCAUAGAAUUGAUUUUGCAUAAAACAAUUAUAUUGAUGAUAGUUUUAAGUUGGGAUUUUGGAGGAUGAUUGGAAACAUAGUGACCUUUUGAUUCUGAAGCCUUACCUGNNNNNNNNNNNNNNNNNNNNNNNNNNNNNNNNNNNNNNNNNNNNNNNNNNNNNNNNNNNNNNNNNNNNNNNNNNNNNNNNNNNNNNNNNNNNNNNNNNNNCAAUGGCUUCAGCCGCAAGAGCAUAGUUGUCGAGCUGAACAAAGGUGAAAAGCUCAAUGGUGACAACUAUGAAAUUUGGCACAUGAAAGUCCAAUAUGUGCUGGAAAAGCAAGAAGCACUAGAAGCUCUUGACCAUAUUAUGGAAGAUCUUGAGGAUGCCGUGCGCCACCUUGAGCUAGUAGAGGACCGUCUAAUGGCAUUUGAGUCGAAAGUAGACAUUUACAAUGCUGGUUCUAGCUCAGAAAGGGCUUUGAGCUCUAAGCGCAAGCGUAUUGAUUCGUUCAAUAUGUGGGAUUGCAAAGGAUCAAAUCCUUGUUGCAAGAAAUCAAAAGUUAACCAACACAAGAGAGGAAAACGUCCUCAAGUGAAGAAAAUGUCAAGGGUGAGGUGUUAAAAUUGUGACAAGAAGGGUCACUAUGCUCGCAAUUGUCGUGAGCCAAAGAAGGUAAACACCCCUUGUACUUUUCAGAACUUUACUUUUGUGUCGAGUUAUGUAUUCUUGACUGAGUCUAAUCCUUUGUGGACUGUAGAUUCAGGAGCGACAGACCAUGUAGCGAAGGAUAGAGGAUCCUUCGUGGAAUUCCGACGAGUACCAACUGGAACUAAGUGGGUCCAUGUGGGAAACAACUCCCGAGCUGAAGUAAAAGGAAUUGGCACAUGCCAACUGAAUAUGCGUGGUGGACGCACUUUAUUCCUACAUGAUGUAUUGUAUGCUUCGGAGAUUCGUCGGAAUUUAGUGUCUGUUUUAGUGUUGGUUAGACUAGGUUUUAAUAUGAACUUCCAUAAUAGAGGUGUAGAUUUGUAUUUGGAUACAAACUACUAUGGUUGUGGUUAUUUUCUGGAUGGUUUCAUUGUAUUAGAUAUUGAGUAUGUUAAUGCAAAUGUUUGUUAUUCCCUUAUCACGUCUCCUAAUUCAUAUGAUAAUGAUGUGAAUGUGUGGCAUGCUAGACUUGGUCACAUUGGCCAACAACGUAUGAAUAGACUAGCCAAAGAGGGCUUGUUGGGCAACAUUGAAAAAGUCGAUUUGCCCAUAUGUAAGCAUUGCCUAGAAAGGGAAAACGACACGGAAACCAUUUGGGAAAAGGUAAAAGAGCUGAAUUUCCUCUGCAUUUAAUCCAUUAUGAUGUCUGUGGUCCAAUGAAUGUGAGAGGAAGGCAUGGGGCGGUUUAUUUCAUCACUUUUAUUGAUGAUUAUACUCGAUUCAGAUAUGUCUAUUUGAUUUCUCAUAAAUCUGAAGCAAUAAGUUGUUUCAAAAGGUUUAUGAACCUAGUAGAGAAUCAAUUAGACAAGAAAAUAAAAGCAUUGAGAUCCCAUCGAGGUCGAGAAUAUUUAUCUGAUGAGCUCAGAAAAUUAUGUGAUGAAAAAUGAAUAGAAAGACAGUUGUCUAUUCCCAUAUACUCCNNNNNNNNNNNNNNNNNNNNNNNNNNNNNNNNNNNNNNNNNNNNNNNNNNNNNNNNNNNNNNNNNNNNNNNNNNNNNNNNNNNNNNNNNNNNNNNNNNNNNNNNNNNNNNNNNNNNNNNNNNNNNNNNNNNNNNNNNNNNNNNNNNNNNNNNNNNNNNNNNNNNNNNGAGUUAUGGACAGGCAGAAAAUCAGACUUAAGUUUUCUUAAGCCAUGGGGUUGUGCCACCUAUACACAUGAGUCAUCUCACAAAUUUGAGAAAUUGGGUCCCAGAGGAAAGAAGAGUAUUUUCAUAAGGUACUAUGAACACUCGAAAGGUUAUGUGUUUAUAGGUGAGCAGGAAAGUUGAAGUAUAACUGAAUUUGAAUCACGAGAUGUCACAUUCUUAGAGGAUGAAUUUCCUAAGAAGGGCGAAAUAGGGGAAGAUUGUUCCCUAUUUGAGACCUUGAAUCAGGAUAAUGAUGUUAGUGGAGUUCGUCCAAGUGGGAGUAAUAUGAGAAGUGAUGAAUUGAAUUCAACUCAUUCUCAAUUGCAACCACAUGAUGAGACGACAUCAUCAUUACCUAAUCCAAGUGGGAGCAUGAUGGGGAAUAAUGUGCAAAGUGUACAAUCACCCAUACGGCGAACAAGUCGCCAAAGUAUUCCCCGUCGACGUUUUGACAUUGAAGGGGAAACUUUUAUGGUUGCUCCACAAGAUGAGGAUGAGCCAAGAAAUAUUAAUGAGGCUAUGAAUUGCCCUAGUAAGGAAAAAUAGAUUAAUGCAAUGGAAGAGGAAAUGGAGUCAAUGAAAUCAAACCAAGUCUGGGAACUGGUUAAUCUUCCAAAAGGACGCAGAGCUAUUGGGAACAAGUGGGUUCUCAAAAUAAAGCGAAAGGCUGAUGGCUCGAUAGAAAGGCAUAAGGCUCGCCUUGCGGCGAAGGGGUAUAAUCAACAGGAAGGAAUUGAUUAUGAAGAUACGUUUUCUCCUGUAGUGAGAUUUACCUCGAUUCGCAUUAUUCUGGCAAUAGUGGCUAGUCUGGAUCUUGAGUUACAUCAAAUGGAUGUAAAGACUGCUUUCCUCAAUGGAGAAUUAGAGGAAGAAAUAUAUAUGGAACAACCUGCUGGUUUCAUAGUGAAAGGCCAAUAAGAAAAAGUAUGUCGACUUUUGAGGUCGAUAUAUGGUCUUAAGCAGUCAUCAAGACAAUGGUAUAUAUGUUUUCAUAAUGCCAUAAUGGCAUAUGAUUUUACGAUGAUUGAUGAGGAUCAUUGUGUAUAUAUCAAAAGAUCCAAGGAUCAAUUUGUGAUCAUAUCAUUAUGUGUUGAUGAUAUACUAAUUGCUGGAAGUAAUAUGGAGUUUAUUAAGACUGUCAAGAGUUGGUUGUCUUCCAACUUUGAAAUGAAGGAUAUGGGUGAGGCUGCAUACAUUCUUGGAGUUAAGAUUUCAAGAGAUCGUUCGAAGAGAUCGUUGUCUCUUUCGCAAGAAACUUAUAUAAACAAAGUUCUUGAACGGUUUCGUAUGCAAGAUUGUAAACCCAUAGACACUCCUAUUGCGAAAGGUGAAGGAUUGAGCCAUAGACUGUGUCCAAGGACUCCACAAGAGAAGGAACAAAUGAAACAUGUUCCUUAUGCUAGUGCUAUUGGGAGCUUGAUGUACGCUAUGAUGUGUACAAGACCCGACAUAUAUUUUGCAGUUGGAAUGGUGAGUAGAUACCAAUCCAAUCCAGGUCCAGCACAUUGGAAGGCCGUUAAGAGAGUACUGAGGUAUCUGAAGGGAACUGUUGAUUACAAGUUGAAUUACCAAGGAAAGGAUCUGCGACUUGAAGGCUAUUCAGAUGCUGAUUGGGGAGGAGAUUUAGAUGAAAGAAAAUCUACCUCAGGAUUUGCUUUCUUACUGAGCAAUGGCGCCAUAUCAUGGAGUAGUAAGAAGCAAACGUGCAUAGCCUUAUCCACGAUGGAAGCUGAGUCCGUGGCAUUAUCAGCAGCAAUACAAGAAGGAGUUUGGCUUAAGAGAUUCUUGGAUCAUUUAGGUGUUAUUGAGAAAGCUGCGAAUCCAUUAUUGGUUAACUGUGAUAGCCAAGCAGCUAUAGCGUACACCAAAGAUCCAAAAUAUCAUGGCAAGACCAAACAUAUAGAUACCAAGUAUAACUUUGUCAAGGAUAUGGUUGCACGAAAGGAUGUGAACUUACAGUACAUAUCUACGCAUAGAAUGGUAGCAGAUCCUAUGACAAAGCCAAUACCUAGAGAUGUGUUUUGUGGUCAUGUAAAAUCUCUAGGAUUGCGUAGAGUCUGAUGUACUGGAUUGUAAUUUCCCUGAGUUGUUCACAUUUAUGAACUAGUGUUGUUUCAUUAUUAACGCCUAUGAAUCUUUGUUUGAUCUUUAUGCAUCUUAAUGCUCAGUGCAUUAUUUUAAGUUGAGGAAGUAUGUCGGACAGAUAAAAGAUUAGCCCACUCACACAGGUAAUCGCCUCUAUUUACUGUGUGAUAAAUAGAGAUGAGAUUGUUUUUAAGCUUAUUAUCUAGAUGAUAAUCGAGAGCUCAAGCUUAAAAUACGUAUGUCGCCUUAACUGAGUGUUAAGAUGAGGACAUAAUACUUAUUAUGUCCGAAAGUAAAAUACCCCACAUAUUUUACUUUAUCUGUCUAAGAUGCCAGAUGUGAGUUCUGAUGAAUUUUGUAAAAGAGUAUAUACGUGAACUCAAGUUAGACAUUGGGUAUGUCUGAACUAUCAUCUGUACAGUAUUGAAAGGUGUAGACUUACGCUCCAUGGGAAAGGAGUUAAUACCGUAAUACGUAUUUUCAUACUACUUAUGCAUGAGCCGACCAAUAAAAGUGGCAAAAAAGAUUUGAUCUCAACUUUUAUGACGUGUGNNNNNNNNNNNNNNNNNNNNNNNNNNNNNNNNNNNNNNNNNNNNNNNNNNNNNNNNNNNNNNNNNNNNNNNNNNNNNNNNNNNNNNNNNNNNNNNNNNNNNNNNNNNNNNNNNNNNNNNNNNNNNNNNNNNNNNNNNNNNNNNNNNNNNNNNNNNNNNNNNNNNNNNNNNNNNNNNNNNNNNNNNNNNNNNNNNNNNNNNNNNNUGUAGUUUUUGUAAUUAUGAUUGUCUUUGUGAUAACUGUAAUUGUGAAUAUAAUAUAUAUAUAUAUAUAUAUAUAUAUAUAUAUAUAUCAUUGUUUAAAGGAGAUCAAGAGAGAUAUAAAUGUGAUCGAUCGAUCUAGGGUACUGCAUACUAAGUCUACUCGGAGUGUGACGCCCAUUAUGAGCUGCUAUAUAUUCCUAACAGAUGUAUAGCAACGAGCUCUCAAAGUAUGCUGGUCGCACGGAUUAUUCACCGGUAUGAAUGUUGAAAAGAGGUAAAGAGAAUUCUGUUCGGCCCACCAUGUGCGAGUGGGAGAUGAAGGCUUUAUUAGUAUUGGGCUUAAGGCCCGUCCGCCCAAGUUGGGCCCAGAAAGCCCGGCCCACGGGAAUAGGUGUGACACCCCGAACCCUUCGCAGGUCGUCACCAGCGCCGAUGUUACACUUUAUUACCUUUCUUGCUUUCGAACAAGCGUCCUGAUUUGCAGACACAUUUUUUUUUUUUAAACAAAACGGUCCCAACGCGACUCAUAGCGGAAGCAAAUUAAACAUCACCAUCUAUCCCCCUACCAAUCCAUGAUACAAAUACACACCAGCUAAACAUCGGGAUUUUAUAAACAAAUAUCGACACAUUAUUUACAUAUAUUUUCAAGAUGGGACUACUCUCGGGUCGGUACAUAACAAGGAAAAGCUAGGACUCAGCCAUGUCCAGCCUAAAACCUCAAAAAGAGACUCUCGACCCUCAACAUCAUGCGAGCACAAAAACCCCCCAUCGAAAGUGUCGAUUAUCUACAUCAAAAAGAGAUCCAGCUCCUACUCGUCGCGCGCAGGUCUCACACCCAACCCGAUGCAUCAGGUGGUGGCGGCGGCAGCAUCCCUCGCAUAGCUCCAUCCCGUCGAACGUGCACAGAAAUGAACUCUUGUAUGACAGGGCCCCAAGCCAGGCCGAUAUCAUACAUCACUAGACAUCGCACUCGGAUAAAAGUCAGUCCGGGAAUAGAGGGACAAUCUAUCUCCGCACACUCAACCUCUACAUAAGACGGUAGACCAUAGAAUACCCCCCGCGAAACGGCAGGAAACGGCAUAUUGGCUAAUCUGAAAUGUUAUCCCCAAAAGGGGUGAGUACAACCACUCAGCAGAUAGGGAAAUCCAAUAACAACUCAAUGCAUCAUGCAAUUUACACAUGCAUAGCAGGCACUACUUACCUUAAAGCCAGGCACACACUAUCAUGCAUCAUCAUAUCACAUCACAUAUCAUCAUCAUCAUCAUGCAUAUCAUCAUGCAUAUCAUAUCAUGUCAUAUCAUGGGUGAUCAUCAUAUCACAUCACAUAUCAUCAUCAUCAUCAUGCAUAUCAUCAUGCAUAUCAUAUCAUGUCAUAUCAUGGGUGAUCAUCAUAUCACAUCACAUAUCAUCAUCAUCAUCAUGCAUAUCAUCAUGCAUAUCAUAUCAUGGGUGAUCAUCAUAUCUCAUCACAUAUCAUCAUCAUCAUCAUGCAUAUCAUAUCAUGGUUUAAUUUUGAUCUUUAUCUUUCAAUUUUGAUCACCACAUCACCCAUUCAUCAAUCUCAUCAUCAACCCUUCGGGCAGAAACCUCCGACAGGGCUCCCGGCAAACUUAGCCAUCCCAUGGCCACCGGGCUUCCGACCCCCCACAUUCCGGGCAUCUCGCAUCUCAACUAGCAUCACGAGGCAUUCCCUUCGGGCAGAAACCUCCGACAGGGCUUCCGGCCUUUACCCUUCUAGCCAGGCAUCCCGCACCCCAAUCCCGGUGUCACGAGGAACCUCCGGGCAUGUAUCCAAGAUACAACCGGACAUCCGGCCCCCCACAUUCCGGGCAUCCUGAAUCUCCCAGGGAAUCUCUGGAAUUACGCCACUAGGCCACCAGACAUCAUCAUCCACCACAACCACUUCCUCAUUUACCAUUUCUUUAUCUCAAUUUAACAUGGCAAUUGGCAUGGUAUCAAACGAAUCACACUUGACAUGGAAUUCACACUUGCAUCUCAAUUCAUAUGUCAUACACAUGCCAAAACUUUAUCACAUAUAUAUCUCAAUCCAAUUCAUGUGCAAGGACCAUGUCAUACGCAUACCAAGACUUUAUCACAUAUAUAUCUCAAUCCAAUUCAUGUGCAAGGACCUCAUCACACAUAUGCCACACAAAUAGAAUUGAAUCCAUGGCCAAAUAAAAAUCCAUUUUAUUUUAUUAUUAUUUUUUUAUUUUUUUAUUUUUUUUAUUUUUUUUAUAUUUAUUUAUUUUCAUAAAUAAAUAUUAAAUUUAAUAUCUAUGAUUUUCCCAAAAUCAUAGUAUUCAAACAAUCACUAAACAAAUCAAUAGGAUCACAAUUUCAUACAAAAUUCAUGGCCAAAUUGAAUUUCUCAUAAUUUCACAAUUUCCACAAAUUAGCACAUGAUAUUCGGAUAAUGACCAGAAUUGCACAGUUUCCAAAUAAAUUCGAUUAAAAUACUCAUAUGGCCUUCAAAAAUUACGAAAUUUUACAGGGUGAUAUCCAACACAUUUUUGUGCACUUUUCAUGAAGAACUCUAAGCCAAAUUAUUUUUAGAUUAAUUUAUACAACCCCACGAAACUUCUGGAACCACUACCGCGUCGUCCAGAAUACACUUCUCCGAAAUUUUUAGAUUUCACCCCUCUAUUCUCUUUCGUUUCCUCUGAAAUUUGAUUAUGUUAUGUACCAAGGUGUCCUUUACAAGUUUCAUGAAGAGAUCUAGGUCAAAUAACCAGAUUAUGGUCACCAUUUAAGUCCAUGAAGUCUCGGGUGUCUCGGAACACACCACCAGAAUCAAUCAUCUCCAAGAUCUAGCCGAUUCACUAGGCUAUACUCGUUAAUUUCUCUUAAAAAUUUAGUAUGUUGUAGUUUAAGAUGUUACCUACAACUUUCAUGAAGACAACGAAGUGAGAUCUCCAACAGAAAUCAACAUGCAGUCAAGAAAUCAACAAGAAGUCAGUGAAGAUUUCGCAGAUCUAGGGUCUCCGUAUGAUAGAACUUUUGACCCCUCAAAUCUCCAUAGUUUUCUACGAAAUUUCAGUAUGUCAUACUACAAGAUGUUAGCUUCAACUUUCAUGAAGACACCGAAGCAAAAAUCGAACUCCAAACACACAUGCAAGCUCGAACAAGCUACUGACUUCCACAAACCGAACAAGAACAGUCACACGGUUUGAAAAUAACCAACUCUUACCUCGGUUUUUCGCACAAAUCACACCUAAAAUCGAACAUGCAACCACCAAAACAAACAUGCAAGAGAAGUUACGGACUCCACUUGCCUCUAAACCGUACUAGCGACGAGCACACGGCGGCGAAUCGAGCGGCACACGGGCGGACGGACGGCGAACGAACGGCUCCCUCCUUCCUCUUCCUCUCGGCCUCUCCCUCUUUCUCUCGAAAUCUCUCUCUCUCUCUCUCGCACUCUCUUUGGACGAACACAAUGGCUAACCGGCCAUCUUCUCUCUCUCCUCAUCCCUUUUAUACUCCCCAAUCCUCAUGAUUAGCAAUCAUGAGAUUGCCUACAAACCCACCAAUGCAUGCCAUUCCUCCAUGCCACUUGUCACAUUGGGUUUUCUUUUUAAAUUUGGCUUGGGCUUGGGCUUAGGCCCAUCCGGCCAUUCCUCCUUGGGCUGGUCGAGCUCCCUCUUGGGUUCUAAUGGGCCGACUAGCUUGGCCCACCAAGCUUUAGGCUAAUGGGCCCAAGGCCCCAUUUCGAAAAUUCAAUCCCCUUUUUCCUUUUUUUUUUUUUGAAAUUCUUUUUAUAAAUAUUCUUGAAUUCCAAAUUUUCAUCUUGGCCAAAGUCUUGGGAUAUUUUUGCUCAUUGAAAUUUAAUCAUAUGGCCAAGCAUUAAUCUAUUAAAUUUAAAUUUCCACAAUCAUAAGCACAAAUCAUCAAAUUAAAAGGCUAAUGGCUAAAACAUAAGCCAUGAAAAUUCUACCACCUAAUUAAAGACUUUAACACACCUUAAGGCUUGGCUUUGAAUUUUUGGGAUGCCACAAUAGGGCCCGUGGAAGGAGAGAGGUAUAAAAGGGAGGAGAGAGAGAGAAAAAAGACACCGUUUUGUUUUAGAAAAAGACGUACGUUUUUCUCUCAACGUACACUCCCUCUCUCUCUCUCAUUUUCUUCAAAGCAAAAAGGCAAACAGUGAGGCGCGUAGGCCAAUUUGCUUCACCGGAUCAACAGGACCAAGUUUCUCUUCCUCUAUCGGCGUCGGUGUUUAAUCUGUGGCUAAAAGGUACGCUCGAAUCCGUGGUGUGCUUUACGAUCGGUGAUACGUGUUUUUCCCGGGCUUCGUCUUCCGCAUUGAUUUAGGGGUUCGAUUUAGUGUCAAAUCCGGUUUUCGGGGAUCCGUUAUUCCCAACAGCAACACUAAUUGGUAAUUUUAUAUAACAAAAGUUGGUAAAUUACUUGAAUUUAGGUUGAUAAUUCAUGCAAUAGUUGCUUUACGGAUCACUACAUUAGAGAUGCCUACGUGGGGAGAUAGAACCUCAGUUACGAUGUUUUCGAUCAACAUAAUAAGAUUGGGUGGUGAGAUACAUUGACCGCCCCAUCCGCAACCUUAGUACAAUUCUCUUGCUUGACCUGUGGCUUGGGCUUGGGCUUGGGCUUUGAAUUUAGGUGAAAAAUUCUCUUCAGGUUUUGGAAAUAUGUCAAACGGGAUUGGGCUUCAGUGAUAAGAGACCACCUCCCAGCUCGCUUGAUCUGUGCCUCCGCAUAUCCCCCGCACCAGAUCAGACUGUUCUGUUUCCAGCUCUUGACUUCGGUUCGGCUUCUGCUUCGGAUUGAACGAUGGCUACCGCUUCUGCUUGUAACGCCGAGCCCACUCUCGCCGGUCGAGCAAAGCCAUCGAUCAAGAAGUCGUAGUCGUCGCGGUGGCGUAUGCGAGCAAUGGUUCCUUCCCCUGUUUCUGGUACAGAAGAUCCAUGGACGUUUUUCUUGAGCACGUCGUGGGAUGGGGGGCUUCCGACAUUGGGGUAAGUCCAUUCGCUGCUGUGAUUUUGCCUGCGUUUUUGUCCACCCAAUCUUUCUGAGAUUAUGGUUCUUCGCCAGAGCCGAGUCGAGGAGUUGCUGAGGGGGUUCGGACUUUGAGCUCUGAACACGAGGUUGUUCUGCGCUUUCUAGAUCUGCCAUAGCAACAGAGCGAGGAGCUCGAAAGUGACCGAGGUGUGGUUGAACUUCACGAGCCAUGCUUCGAUUCUGGUCACGCCUAACCUACUCGACUUUACUUCUUCCAAAUUAUGUCAACUUGCGGGGCUUAGGCCAUUUCUUAAUCCUUCAAUUAUACUUUUACCACUUCUGUCGAUUGAUGCUGCAGCACAAUGGGAAUGGAGAUGGAAACCGAGCCUCACUUUCCUACUUGACCAUCGCUUGUCGACCCUUGUUCCAAACGGAGUUCUUCCAACUUCCUUGAAUUGCAUAACACCGUGUUUUCCAUCAUCCAAUCUUGCAAAAUUGCUUUAAAAUGUGAUGUUUAUUGUAAAGCCGCAAAAGCGCGUUCAAUCUUGAGCACGACUUUUUUUGUCAAGGAUUUUCACACAUUUUAAGAGAAAACUACUACUCAUAACAUCCCCGCCUAGGUCGUUGCCUACCGACUGACUUCAAUCCUUUCGGCCAAGAACCGCACUCCUCGGCCAGGCACCCAAAAUGUCGAAAAGGAAGGGGGUCGAGGCGAAACGACACCACGGAGGACCCCAAGUCACCGGCAAAGGCCGACUUAGAACCAAGAAAACCAGAUAAACAACGCAGGGAGCUGGGAUUCGGCCACGAACAAAUAGCGAGGCAACGAAUCCCAUACAAGCAUUUUAACAAACAGGCGGUGUACGACACUUACCGAAGGAUCUUCCGCUCAACCAGGAUCCGAACCUACGCCAGGACCCUAGACAAACAACCAGCGAAAAUAGACAACAACGAAACACGAGGCCUAUGGGGAUGGGAUUUACGUGAGUCGGACGGCGACGAAUCCUAGCUAGCGCGUUUGAAAUGGGGCCAAAACAAGGAAAAAAAGAAGAAGCUCAAAGGGUAAAUAAGGGGGGUUAGCGAUGGCGCUUUCUAACCAGCUCGACGGCGGGGAACAGGGGCAACCCCGAUAAACUGGACUAUGUCCAGUUGCCUCAUGCCAAGAAGUCGGAAUCAUCAGGAAAUUGACUGGAUUGAACCAAGAAAAAAAUAAAAUAAAAGCUCACCAGAAAACUCGAAAUCGUGGAAAAGGGAAUCGCGGGCUUGGUGGUGCCUGCCCGCUAGGGGUAGGUUUGUAUCGAAGAUAACCGAGCAACGCUCAGCCGAGGUGGAUUUCAGCUCUCUCCCCUCUCGUUCAGUCUUGGCCACUCUCUCGAUUUCUCCCACUCUCCCCUAAACCUCCUAGCAGCCAUGCCCCCCUCUCUCUCUCUCUCUCUCUCUCCCCCCCCCUCUCUGUCGCUGUCGACCUAAUCCCGACCAAAAAGCCCUCUCCACACUACCCAGUCCUCUGCCCUGCAUCCUGUGCAUCUUUUUCGAAUGAGAGUGAUUUGCUGCUUGCAGAGGGCGUGAGAGGAAGCGGGGAUGAAGAAAGUGGAAGGGGCUGGGAUGGAAGAGACAAAAAGAAAUGGGCUGGGCUGGGCCUAGCUGGAAGAGAAGGGAAAGAGGAAAGGAGGCCAAGCUGGCCCAUCCCCUGCUCGAUUUCGCUCUCUAUUUUCUUGAAAUAUAUAAUACAUUAUGUUUUUCAACUUUUUGAUCAUUUCUAUUAUUAUUAAUACAAAUGCCUUAAUAUCUAUAUACUAUGUAAUUUAAUGAGAACUAUUUUUUUUUCUAGGAGUUGAGUCAAUCCCUAAUUUUUUAUGUCAUCAAAUUUUAGGUGUUAAUAGGUAGCGAUUAGCUUGAGGCUCACAGGUUUAGUUUAUAAUGAAUUAGGCCAGAAGUUAACAGACUUAGAAAUUAAUGCUAGACCUAACCAGAAUAAGUCCAACUAGAAAAUAAGAGGUCAACUUGGACUUAGCAUCACUUCAUCAAUGAAAUGGGUAGCAUAGUCUAGUUUAAAAAAUUCAUUAAAUAAAAUGAGUAGAAUAUUAGGCUCACCUUAAUCUAGUUUAGAUUAGUCUAAUCUCUAGUCUCUUAGUUCAUGGGGAUCAGCUAAUGUGUGGAUUGAGUGAACUUGCAAAUGGAUUGAGUAAUUGCAUGAAACAAAAAGAUGAGGUUGACGAUUAAGACCGGUGGCUGAGAGAUCGGAGUGGUGGUCCUUGGUGGCAAUUGGCUUGGGCCUCGCUAGUUUAGCUUAGAAUCGAUUAGUCUAGUUUAGUUAAUAAAUUUAGGAAUUACUGCUAGACCUAACCAAAAUAAGUUUAACUAGAAAAUAAAAAAGUCAACUUGGACUUAGAAAACUUCAUCAAUGAAAUGGGUAGCAUGGUCUAUUCUAGAACUUUCAUCAAAUAAAAGGAGUAGAAUACUAUGCUUGCCUUAAUUUAGUUGAUUAGUCUAGUCUCUAGCCUCAAGCUCAUCAUCUNNNNNNNNNNNNNNNNNNNNNNNNNNNNNNNNNNNNNNNNNNNNNNNNNNNNNNNNNNNNNNNNNNNNNNNNNNNNNNNNNNNNNNNNNNNNNNNNNNNNNNNNNNNNNNNNNNNNNNNNNNNNNNNNNNNNNNNNNNNNNNNNNNNNNNNNNNNNNNNNNNNNNNAUUCCCGCACUUUUAUUACAUUCGUUGUUCUCUUGCUUUUUAGAAUGGUUAGGACAAACUUUAGGAUCAUAAUAAACCCCUAAAAAACAAUCGCAUGAACACUUAGUGGUUUGGAUGGCCUUUAGAAUUUGUAAUGGGUAAUUACGACUGUUUGGUCACUUAGAUGAAUGAUCAAUCAAGUUAGAGGUACCAAAAGGGCACUAAUAAUAAUUAUUAUUGUAAUCAAGUCUUCGGACCUAGUAAACUCUAUUUGCCUAUCUCACUUGAUUUCUAGCUAAUCAUAAUAGGUUGGGACAACCCCUCUCUAAUCUUGUACCAGGGCUUCUGGUUCCCCUCUUGGCCACUCGACGGCGUCCUAGCUUGUCAAAAACACUUCCAAGCUCACAACUCUGAUAUCAUCCUCGUCACCAGCCCGAAAUCCGGUACCACCUGGCUAAAGGCCAUCCUCUUUGCUCUUUUGAACCAUGCCAAGUACUCCAACCCCAACUCAGAACAAUGCCACCCCCUCCUAACCCGAAACCCCCACGACCUUGUGCCCUACUUGGAGUUCCAGCUCUAUCUCCAACAAGAAGAUCCUGAUCACGCUACUUUCGCAUCCCCGAGGCUCCUUGCCACCCACUUACCUUAUUCCUUGCUUCCACAGUCAGUGAGGGACUCCAAGUGUAAGCUGGUUUACCUGUGUAGGAACCCUAAGGACAACUUCAUCUCGCUAUGGCACUUCACCAAGAAAAUGAUGCUCAAAGAGAACGGCGACCAGACUCCUCUCUCUGAGUGCCUCGACAAGUUUUGUCAAAGGUUGAGCAUGUACGGACCUUACUGGGACCACGUGCUGGGCUACCACAAGAUGAGCUCGGAGAUGCCCGAGAAGGUGUUGUUCAUGAAGUAUGAGGAGAUGAAAGAGGACCCAUGUGUUCAUGUGAGGAGAUUGGCUGAUUUUGUGGGGGUGUCCAUUCAGUGAAGAAGAGCUGAGAGGUGGGACUGUGGAGGGAAUAUUGAGGAUGUGGAGCUUUGACAAUUUGAGCACGUUGGAGGUAAACAAGAGCGGGAGCCUUUGGACUGGAGCAGAGAACAAGUCGUUCUUCAGGAGAGGCGAGGUCGGAGAUUGGGUGAAUUACAUGAGUGCGGAGAUGGGGGAGAGAAUAGACAGUGUCAUGGAAGAGAAGUUGCACAGCUCUGGGUUGAAGUUUUAGUAAGCUUAACACACUCAUUUAAUAAUUCCCGUCUGUCGUGUUUUAGCUUUGAAGAUGUUCCGUCUAAUGGAGGAGAAGAAUAAGUACAAAUUGCUAAAAAAAUAUGAAUAAAUGCAUCGAUUUUCAGUGGCAUUGUCAGUCGGUGCUUUGUCUCCAUAGCGAGACGCUACGGGGUUGUGAUUCCAGUCUUCGUUUAUGUUGUGCUAUUGGCAUUUGCAAAUGUUGUUUGGCCCAACAUUUAGUUGGCCAAUAAAAAGCUGCCUUCCUAAAUCAAAGAUUUACUUAGAGUUGCUCCAAAUUUCUUUGCCAUUUUCAAAUCUCGUUUAACGUUACCUGUGCCAUCCCAAAUAAGCUCCUCCUGCAGUGCCAGGAGGGCAUCUACCCCUAACACUGGAUAAGUUUGGACUAUAAAUGUAUCGACACACGACGUUAAGGAGAUGGUGGAAUAAACCCCUUUCUCUCCUUAAUAUGAAAUACUGACCAACUAGGCUAAGUUUAGUUGGCUCUAAUCUCAUUGACCUUACAAGUGAAAUGAUGAUCAUCUUUAACCAUCAAUUUUAAUUGGUCUCUUUCUCGUAUUGAAAAUAAUUAUUGUGUCCUCUUCUACAGUUAGAAGAAAAAAAGUACAUUUUAUGUACGAUUAAAUAGUCUCAAAUUCAAUCAUAUAUAAUAUAUCAUUAUGGGAUAUACAGACAAUUUAAACGUGCAUAGAUUCUUAGGGUUAAUUCCAAAAAUAAGCACCAACUUUAGGUCGAUGGACAAAUCUGGCCCAAACUUUUUUUUGUCUCGUAAAAAAGCACCAACUUUAGGUCAAUGGACAAAUUUGGCCCAAACUCUUUUUUGUCUCGUAAAAAAGCACAAACUUUAGGUCGAGUGACAAUUUUGGCCCAAAUUUUUUUUGUUUGGAAAAAAAAUCACCAACUUUCACUUAAAUUCUAAAUCUAGCCACCCUUAACUUAUAUUCAUUGAUUGUCCUUAAUCCAUGUGCACUUGUUGGCUAACACCAUCCAUUUUCUUCUUGUUUGAGCCAUAGCUUGAAGAAUAACAGUGAAACUAUGCCAUCUCCUAUACUUCACUAGCAAGUAAAAAAAUCUCUCGAUUGAAUUUUUCUCGCUAGACUUUAUUGUUUUGUCGUAAUAUGAAACUGUAGAUCACCGCUUGUCAAGAGAAACCAUGGAUGAGAUCCACUAACCUCACAGCUAGAACAUUUUCUCUUGAAAUAAGAUUAACUUCAAAUAUAAAGUUAAUGGUAAGGGUUAGAUUUUGGAUAUGAGUGAAAAUUUGUUAUUUUUUAUGAGACAAAAUAAAAAUGGGGCCAGAAUUGUCACUUAACCUAAAGUUUGUGCUUUUUUACGAGACAAAAAAAAGUUCGGGCCAGAUUUGUCCCUCGACCUAAAGUUUAUGCUUUUUCAUAAGACAAAAAAAAGUUUUGGCCAGUUUUGUCCAUCAACCUAAAGUUGAUGCUUUUUUAUGGAAUUAGCCCUAGAUUCUUAUGUGAAAAGAUGAGAAGUUUCCCUUUUUCAGGAUAUUUGCUCUCUUCUCUCCCCAAGUACCUUAAUGAAAUCUUUGAUGACAAUGAGGAUACUCAUGUAAUUUAAGAAUUCUUUGUAAUAAUCAUUGUGAUAUUUUUUUUUCUCAGGAAGAUACUUUCCUCUCCUCUUCCCUAUUAAGAAAAUAUAAAUUGUUGCCAAAAGGUCGUUUUUACGUAUUUUCAAAAAACUAGAGGUUGUUCUUGCAGUUUAGAUUACUCAGGUAUAUUGUACAUCUUCUAAAAUGGGAUUAGUUUCCUAGGAAUCUAUUUUUCCCAUGAAAAAAGAAAAAAGUAAAGCAAAGGGGACAUGAGCAUAUGAGAAAAAUCAGGGAAACUGCCCGAGUAAAACAGAGAGCCGAGCAUGCUGCCAACAAAACAAAUGAGACCUGCAGCAGGAAGAGAUAUGGGGUCUUCAGCCGACAAAAGACAACAUGACGAGAAUUCAGCUGCAAUGUCAUGUGGUCGACUUUCCUCAGCUCCAAAAUUUGACCCCCAGAAUCAUAACCAAGAACCUAAAUCGAGCAUCACAUGGGAUCUGCCAUGUGGUUCGAACUGGAAGAUUGGAAAGAAAAGCCAUGUGGUAUUCCCCUGAAGACAUCGAAGUUGAAAUUCUCCUGAGGCACAAAAUCGAGAGUCAAAAGCAAAACACGGAGGAAGUGAAAAAUUACGUGCAAGGGUGAGGUUGUGGGCAGAGAGUGAAUGAACAAAGAGAAUACGUUAGCUGCAUGUGUUGUCAAGGAAGUGAAGGUGCUCUUGGUGUGUGUUUAAACCGACUGCUAAGCAUGUCCCCGUUACUCAGGCCGCCAAUAAUAUCAUCUGACCAUACCAUGAGGUAUUUACUACGUCCUACGAUCUGAACAUGAAUAUGGAUAUAUUCUCAAU